GAAGUAAAACAAGCAUAAUUCCUGACGACAUGAUCCGUUGCUCCACUUCCAGAGGUAGCUUUCUCCCUCCCCUGGCAGCCUCAACAAGAAUCAACGCCAACGAACCCCCAUCUAAAGCAGGCAAAGGAAGAAGGUUUAUAACUGCAAGGUUAAUGUUGAGUAUGGCGGCGAACUGGUAGAGACCAUCGAUGUUCGACCGCGCAACUUCUGCACCAACAGCAAUAAUGGCUACAGGACCUGAAACCUUACUAGCUGACUGUGAGAAGUUUAAAAAUGUCUGCCUUAAGCCAUCUAAAACAUUAGAUGAUAAACCCCAGAAUUCUUUCGCGGUAAAGCUAAAAGCGUCCACCACAUUUUUCGGUUUAACCUUAUCUAACUUCACAUUCGGCGAUAGCUGAACUCCAAUUUUACCAGUUCCAUCAAAAUUCUCAUCAGGAGUGACACCUAUAUCAAAGUUCUGCUCCCCCCUCUUAACCUUGAGCAAAACAUAUCUCUUGGGGUUCCUUUUGAUCACAUCAACAACUUCAGAAACAGCACUAGGACCUUGUUUAACAAACUCAUUUCCAUUAACUUCGACUAUCACAUCCCCGGAGAGCAACCCAUCUCGCGAAGCAGCCGAAAAGGGUCGAACUUCAGGCACACUCACCCCAGGAAAGACCUCUUGAACAGGCAAACCAACAGCAAGGAUUUGAACAAAGAUAAUGACUAAUGCAAAAACUAUAUUGGCAAUAACACCAGCUGAAACCACUAUGACUCUAUCCAAUAUUGGUCUGUUCUUAAGCAAAUCCUCAUCAUCAACAGGAAUAUCACUAUCUGGAUCNNNNNNNNNNNNNNNNNNNNNNNNNNNNNNNNNNNNNNNNNNNNNNNNNNNNNNNNNNNNNNNNNNNNNNNNNNNNNNNNNNNNNNNNNNNNNNNNNNNNNNNNNNNNNNNNNNNNNNNNNNNNNNNNNNNNNNNNNNNNNNNNNNNNNNNNNNNNNNNNNNNNNNNNNNNNNNNNNNNNNNNNNNNNNNNNNNNNNNNNNNNNNNNNNNNNNNNNNNNNNNNNNNNNNNNNNNNNNNNNNNNNNNNNNNNNNNNNNNNNNNNNNNNNNNNNNNNNNNNNNNNNNNNNNNNNNNNNNNNNNNNNNNNNNNNNNNNNNNNNNNNNNNNNNNNNNNNNNNNNNNNNNNNNNNNNNNNNNNNNNNNNNNNNNNNNNNNNNNNNNNNNNNNNNNNNNNNNNNNNNNNNNNNNNNNNNNNNNNNNNNNNNNNNNNNNNNNNNNNNNNNNNNNNNNNNNNNNNNNNNNNNNNNNNNNNNNNNNNNNNNNNNNNNNNNNNNNNNNNNNNNNNNNNNNNNNNNNNNNNNNNNNNNNNNNNNNNNNNNNNNNNNNNNNNNNNNNNNNNNNNNNNNNNNNNNNNNNNNNNNNNNNNNNNNNNNNNNNNNNNNNNNNNNNNNNNNNNNNNNNNNNNNNNNNNNNNNNNNNNNNNNNNNNNNNNNNNNNNNNNNNNNNNNNNNNNNNNNNNNNNNNNNNNNNNNNNNNNNNNNNNNNNNNNNNNNNNNNNNNNNNNNNNNNNNNNNNNNNNNNNNNNNNNNNNNNNNNNNNNNNNNNNNNNNNNNNNNNNNNNNNNNNNNNNNNNNNNNNNNNNNNNNNNNNNNNNNNNNNNNNNNNNNNNNNNNNNNNNNNNNNNNNNNNNNNNNNNNNNNNNNNNNNNNNNNNNNNNNNNNNNNNNNNNNNNNNNNNNNNNNNNNNNNNNNNNNNNNNNNNNNNNNNNNNNNNNNNNNNNNNNNNNNNNNNNNNNNNNNNNNNNNNNNNNNNNNNNNNNNNNNNNNNNNNNNNNNNNNNNGAUCAAAAGUGUAGAAAAUUCUCUCCUGACUGAAUCAUAUUGGAAUGAGAUAAUAACUACUUAAAAAUUAAAAAGAAAACAAGUGCUGCUAAGGAGUUCUGUUUCUGAUAUGUUUUUUUGUUUGUUUGUUUGUCUGUUGGUGAAACUUUCAGGGGAUAUAUAUGAGCAUGCUGUUGUCCUGAGCGUGAAAACCGAGGAUCAAGAUGACUUUGAGAGGAAUUUCUUCCAGUUGAAACCUUAUUAUACAGAUGCCUGGUAACUGAUUGUUUCCCCUUUGUUUACAUUUGCAAAAUAUAUGUUUCCUGAUCACUUUAACUGAAGUCGUAUCAUUAUCAGAGUGUGAUUCUAUGUGCAAUUCUUUUUUCUUUCUUGUUGAGGUCAUGUAAUUUAUUGGAAAUUUUCCUGUGUUGCAGUAGUCGUCUUCCACCAUCUCCGCAGGAGUACCCAAUACUAGGUCUGAACCUGUUGAGGCUACUUGUGCAGAAUAGGAUAGCUGAAUUCCAUAUGGAGUUGGAACUGCUCUCAUCUUCUGCUCUAGAGAAUCCAUGUAUUAAGCAUGCUGUGGAGCUGGAGCAAUCAUUUAUGGAAGGAGCUUACAAUCGCGUAUUGAGUGCUUGUCAGACAGUGCCACAUGAGACAUACGUUUAUUUCAUGGAUCUUUUGGCAAAGACUGUCAGGUAAUUUUUGUUAUCAUUUUAUAUAUAGCCUAGAAGAAACUGGAACUCUUGCUUGAUUUUUUAGUUAUAGAUUGUUAAUUGUUUAGGAUGUGUUCUCUAAACUGAUUUGUAUAAUAUUGUUGCUAAAUUUUAUGAGUAAUUUGUAGUCUUGUAAUUCUAUUUCUGUUUCCUGAAAUGUCAAUUUGGCCAAAGUUUGAUCUUUUAAUCUUUUUCCACACCUCCCCAACCCUUUUUUGGCUGUAUAUUAUUUUACCAUUUUUGCAUCUAUGUUAAUUUUUUAAUUAGUUUAUAUAUUGUCUUGAAACAUUCAGACAUGAAAUAGCAGGAUGCAGUGAGAAGGAGUAUGGCUCUCUUCCAAUUAAGGAUGCUAGGAAAACAUUACGUUUCUCAUCGGACAAGGAACUAUUUGAAUAUAUUAAAGAGGUGAGCCAUGUCAUGACUCUCAGUGUGUCUAGAUCUCAUGAGAGAUCAAAGGCGUUCAUUUUGACCAUACACUAUACUUGGAUGUUCAAGAUUACUUUAAUUUAAUCUUGACUAUUCACUUAUGUUGUGUGAUUAAGACGUUCCCUCUCAUCUGUAUAUAGUGUUUGGGUUGAACUUUUUCUCUUGACAAUGAGUUUACUACUAGUAUGUUUACAAAAUGGAAAAUUACUCAUCUUUAGUUGCGCAUAUCAUUAUGAUUAAAAAUUGUCAUAUAUUGAUUGCAGGAGCACCCUGAGUGGGAGAUUAAGAAUGGCCUUGUCUUUUUUCAAAAGGCUAAAGAAUCUGCACCUUGCAAAGAAAUACCCUCUCUACAACUCAUCAACCAGACACUUAGUUAUGCCAGGGAGUUGGAGAGGAUUGUCUGAAAAGAAAUGAAAUGGCUUUGUGUUUUCUAAAAUUUCUAGGUGUUUGGGUAAUCGUUGCUAAUACUGUCAUUUGAAAUUGUUUAUUAUUUUGAUUCGAUGCGGAACUCUAAAAUGGUUCAUUUCUUUAUUUUGGAUUUUUGGUCCUCUAGAUUGUUGUAUUGUUUCUUUUGGUACCGUUUUCUCUCUUCCUUUUAAUGGCAUGUUUGGGUAAUCGUUGCUAAUACUCGUUUGUAAUAUAUAUGACUAAAAUAUCAAAGGUGUUGCUGCUCUUUGGUUUCUCAUAUAUCCACUUCUCUGGUGGGUUUGAUCCUCAUGAUCAUUUCUUAUAUACACAGUUAAGUUAGCAAUGCCAUGGUAGGGAGAUGCAGUCUUCGUGACAUAUAUCUGCAAUGUCCACCCUCCAGAACUCUGCACAGCAUCAUUCCUCCUAGAGUUUCAAAUUGUAUGCAGAAGUUUUUCCCUUUGUUACCCCAGGUAAAGGAAUGAAGAAAAGAAAGCAAAGGAGGACAUGCAGGAUAUAUUUUAUGGCUGUAGUUGACUCUUCAAUUAUUUUUAAUCGUGUCAUCCAAUGAUCGCAAUGAAAGAUGUGUGCAGAAUCAUAACAUUGUGCAUUUGCAUGGACUAUACAACCCUCAAUAGUAUCACUACUUCUAAUACAUUUCCAAUCUCGGUCAGAGGACGAAUUAGGGGGAGCUGCCAUUUUUUCUUAGCUAGACUUUAAAUCCGGGUAUAAUUAGAUUCAUAUGAAGGAGAGAACACACAUAAGACAACAUUUCAAGCACAUGAGGCUUCGUUUGGAUUGAUGGAACAUAAUGGAGCGGAGCGGAAUGGAAUAUAAUGGAAUGGAAUGGAGCGGAGCGGAAUGGAAUAAAAAUUUCAUUCCAUUGUUUGGAUAUUUUAUGACGGAGCGGAACAAAGUUACCACUGCAUUGUUUGGAUAAUGGACGGAGCGAAAUGAGUUAUAAUUUUUAUUACUCCUAUAUUACCCUUAUUUUAAAAUAAAAGACAAACUGCUGAAAAAGCAAUUGAAAAUUGGGUAAAUGGUCACAUUAGUCCCUGGAUGUUCGCACCGACUUCAGAAUCGUCCCUGAAUGAAUUUUAUUAGGCUUGCGGUCCCCAGAUGUGGCAAAAAAUAGUCAUAUUAGUCCCUGACGUUAAAAUCCCCUAACGUCCGUUAACCCAAUUAAUAAAAGUCAUUAUAUUUCUAAUUUUUUUUCACUUUGGUCCCUUUCUUCUUUCUUCCACCCUCUUCACCCCCUUCUUCCAUCAUUUUCACCAAAACCCACCCCCAUCAUGCUUCAGAAACCCAGAAUGUAAACCCACAAUCUUCACUUCCUUCAUCUUCAUCUUGUUCAUCUUCACUUUAUUCAUCUUCAUCCCCUUCUUCCAUCAUCUUCACCAAAAACUCCUCCCCUUCUUCAUCAACUCAUUCCCCUUUUUUUUUCUUUUUUUUCAUAUCAUCAUCAUCAACACUCUUCUUCUCCUUCUUCAACCAACCAUGCCCAAACCUUCUCUCCAAGAUUUAACACAAACCCAACUCAGAUUUAACACCAAAUUUACCCUCCUUCUCUCCCAAGUUGGGUUUGUGAGUAACAUUAAAAUAUUAGACGAUGUAUGGGUUGUUUCACUGUUACAAUUCACCCUAACAUGUGGAGCUCAAUCAAUAAUUAAAAUCAAAAACUGCCUUGAGCUUCUUCACUUCACAAAACCCAGAUCUGCUUCUUCUCUUCUCCACCCACAAAACCCAUUUUCUCUUCAAAACAUAUUCUCUGCAUCAACUCUCUCCUCGACUUCCCAGGCUCAACCACAGCCACCGAGCAGGACCUCGUCCACAUCUGCGUGUCUCUCGCUCUCUCUAUGUCUCUCUCUCUGCUUUGUGCCCGGGUUUUGAUUUUGGUUCUGGUGACGGUGUCGCCGGCGAGUUCUCCGGUUGAGAGUAGGAUCUGGGUUGCAGGUUUGAAGAUCAGGGAGGUGACCUCGUCCAUAUAUAUGUUUUGCAGCGUGAGAGGAAUCAGUUGAGGGAGGUAGAGGUGGAGGAACUGGUUGACCAUGGCGGAGGCGGAGAAGCCUGAAGUGUUGGAGGCUGUGUUGAAGGAAGCUGUGGAUUUACUAGCAAACCAGAUCUGAAUUUGUUUUUGCUUUUCUUUAGAGUAACAUUGAAUUUGCUUCACGGGUAGAGAGAGAGAACAAAAUCUGGAUUGUGGCCGGUGGGAACAAGAGAAUGCGGCGGCAAUGUUGUUAGGGUCGGAAACCCAAAACGUAAACCCACAAACCCAACUUUCUGGGUUUCUGAAGCAUGAUGGGGGGUGGAUUUUGGUGAAAAUGAUGGAAGAAGGGGGUGAAGAGGGUGGAAGAAAGAAGAAAGGGACCAAAGUCAAAGAAAAUUAGAAAGAUAAUGUUAACUUUUAUCAAUUGGGUUAACGGACGUUAGGGGAUUUUAACGUUAGGGACUAAUAUGACUAUUUUUUUCCACAUCUGGGGACCGCAAGCCUAAUAAAAUUCAUCCAGGGACGAUUCUGAAGUCGGUGCGAACAUCCAGGGACCAAUGUGACCAUUUACCCAUUGAAAAUUUCCAAAACAUUCUAGCUAAGAUGGAUACUACUCCCUCUCUCCUUCCCAUUUCACUCUCUGAAGUUGAAAUUGUUUCUCUUUCAAGUGGAUUUCUUAUUUGCUCAUAAAGACGUUAGCUAGAUCAAUUGUAUCCAUAGUAUACAUAACAGAAUUUAAAGGGGAAAAGAGCAAUAUCAUGCUUUAUACUGCAUCAAACAUGAAAAAGUAAAGGAACAAAGCCAAAAUAGCUAAAAAAAACAGAAACAUAAGUUAUAAUUCUUCUUAGACUACAAAGAAUGAUAAAAAAACUUAGAGGCGUUAAAUGGGGGAAGCUGAUUAUGCUGUACAGAGAAAUCUACAGGGCUACAAAGAAUUUUGGUUUGUUUUCAUGUUAGUUUUGUUGCUGCCAAGACAAAGUACAGGGACAAAAACUAGGCUACAAGAAGAAAAACAAGCUACAGCUACCAAAGAAAAAAAACAGGACAGAAAGCAGGAAAGAAAGAGUAGGAGCACACUCCACGCAGCUAAAAAGGAUCCAUCAAGAGGCACAAACAACAAACACUUGAGCACGCAAACUAUAACAUCAGCAGCCACCAAUUAAACUGGAGACAAUAUAUUGGAGACAAUAUAUACAGUAUAUGAAUCAAAUUUUAUACCCAAAUUAUAAUACUUCUUGCUAUAGCUCCCAUCAUAUAUUUGUUCAAAAGCUAUAAACCAAAGACAAGUCACCUAGGCAUCAUGCGACAAGACUUUUCCUCUUUGCUAAAGUUAGAUGGCAAAUUUCCACUCAAUAAUCCAUCACAGCACUUUUCCACGCAAUACUUUUAUACUUAAAUAGCCAAAGAUUAAAUGGCAAGUGACAUAUUUGUGUAAUUCAUCAAUCUCUCUAGCAAACCAGAUUUAUAAUUCAUCUGUAUAGGACUCCAAGUUUUUUUUGGUAAGCCAAUGUCAUGUCAUAUAUAAAUAAAAGAGAAGCUAGGGACCCCUCAACCCAAAAUUACAAUAUAUACAGUACCCAAUCUAGUUCUGCAGCAAUUCUAAUUCUGCAAUAAAACUAACAGCAAGACUAAAAGCAAAAAAACAGAUCAGAGACAAGCCUUGAGACAGAACACAACAGGGUACAGCUCAAGAAGAGGCCACACCAACACAAGAUCAGAAACAUAUCCUACUCGCAGGAAAAUUCAGAUGAAGUUUAAGCAAUAAACUGGAUUGGAAUGCCAUUCAUAAGUAGAGCAAAAAAAACACACCUUGCCAAGGGAAAAGAUUGCAGCAGAGAGCAAUUGCAGGGCAAAGGGAAAAGCCAAGAGAAGGAGCAAACAACGAUGGCAGCAACUGGGAAUGGGUGAAAGAGUAUUAUCAAGGUAAAAGGCGGGAAGCUUUUGUCAUCUGCCGCCAGAUUUUGUUACGUGAUGACUGAUGAGAGAAAAUUAGGGCACCAACUAGGAGAAGUUAUGAAUGGAGGUUACCAUGGGUAGAAUGGUAUUUUCAUAAUUUAAUAAUUAAGUGACCAAUUUUCCUUUCCAUUCCUUUCCAUCCAAUUUGGGGGGGAGCAAAUCUGAUGGAAUGUAAUGGAGCAUGAUGGAUGUUGGCCCAUUACUUACCACUCCCUUCCACCCUAUUUUAAAUAAACCAAACAAUGGACCUAUCUCUCCAUCCCCUCCCUUCCACUCCACUCCCUCCUCCUCCAUCAAUCCAAACAAAGCCUGAAAGGCAUCCUUUCAACAUCUGAAUCACAUAACAUAAGACAACAUUUCAUCUCUAUCGUAGGAAGUAUAUCCCAGUAUGUUAAUGAUAUUCCAAUUUAUAGUUUUAUACUUCUGAUCAAAGGGCUCAUCUUAGCCAUUAAAGAUAAAACUAAUUCAAUAAAAGAAACUCAUUACAUUAACUAUUAUUUAUCCCUAUUUAUUUUAUUUUAUUUCAGCAAAUUUGUCAUGACAACUAUCAUUCAUCUCAGUUUUAUUCUCAAUGUAAUUAAUUAUUUCAAUUGCAAAAAAAAUGAAGAUUUUCACUAUGAGUUCAUAUAUAUUACUCUCUGUAAUAAACUAUCAAAUUGUUAUAUAAAAAACUAAAAUAAUGCAACAUUUAGAUAAACAAGGACAAAACCCACAUAUAAAUAAAAUUAAGUGUUUGUGGUGGUACCUUAAGUCAGAUUAAAGACUAUGUACAGUUAAAAUUUUAUAUAAACUUUGUUCAUCCAUCAACCAUAGUCAUUUUAGGCGUAUUUCCAUCAUUAAUUAUUCAUUUUCAUCACUCGCCCAUUUUUCAUUAGAAAAUGAAUUUAAUGAGAUAAAGUUAAUCAACAAGUAAAAUCUAAAGAUAAGCAUUUACCUUACCACACUCAAAAAAAUUCAGUUACCACAUAAUUUACGAUAAAAUAUUUGCGCUUCGACCAUAAAACAAACACAUUCAACACAAUUAAAAAAAAAACCUGGAUUGAGGGCACAUUAACGAAAUCAAGAAAGAUAAAGAAAAUUGAUGUAUAAUGCGCACGAAAGAAUACAGUGUAUAUAUUCUUAAUCUUUCAUAAUUCAAAAACUCAAAUGAACAAAUUAUGAAACAGAAAAAAAAAAACUGAGUUGAGGCAGGAGGAGUGAAAGACGUGAACAGAAACUCCAAAAGGUUGAAUUUGCUCCCAUUCUUGAACUCUUGCACGCAAAUAGCACAUUAUGAUCCGGUUUCUAUGUCUCCUUGUUGGACUGUCAUAGCCUGGAUAAGACUCUCGUAGCAAUCCUCACUUUGUAAAUGUCUGGAUUCUUGUCUUAUCGCCACCAAUGACAUGAUAGUCGUUACUAAUGAGGAACAUAUGAAAAAAAUAACUCCAAAACUCUUGUAUCUUAAAUCUAAUGCUACAACAAGCGUCAACACAUUCACUAUUAUUAACAGAAAUAUUGCUUUUUCCAUAAAAUCCAACUUCACACUUUGUAAUUCCGUGGACUUUUGUCUUACUGCUAUCCAUGAGAAGAUAGAGAUACUCAACGAGGAACCUAUAAAAAGAAUAACUCCAAGCAACUCAUAUCCCAAAACUGAUUCUACACCAAGGGUCAGCACAUCCAAUAUUACUAACAGCAAUAUUGCUUUUUCCAGAGAAUUCAUACUUUACAACUCACCACUUACUUUAGGUUAAGUUUUUUGUUCAAGGAAUACAAUCCUAUAUUUAUACACAGAUAAAAGGUCUCUUCCCUUUCUCAAUGAUUUACAACUAAUUAUUUUACGCAUUUCAAAUCUGUAUCUAUCUAUUAUUCCAUAACCGUUUAUAAAUUUAUCUAUCUAUUUAUAUUUAUCCGCAGUUUUUUAUUCAAACGUUUAGAUUUUGAUUGAAGAUAAGAUACAUGAUUAAUAGAGGAUAAUUUGGUAGUGCAGAUUAUUCAUUAGUGAUAAAGAGAUACUAUAAAAUUGAAAUGUUCAUGAAAUUUAUCUUUUUAUUUUCAAAUUCAAGAUAUGAAGGAUAAACCUUUUUUUUAUUUCUUAUUUUAUAACAAAACUGUGUCAUUUGUUGACUAUAUUCUUUUUUUUUUUGAAACUGACCAUAUUCAAUAUAUGAAACUUUUUUUUUGAAAUGCAAUAUAUGAAACUAACUUUACAGUAUAUAAGCACUUCAACUUAAAACUUACAAAUCCAAACACCAAUGUUGCCGAAAAGUAUAAAUUACAAUAUUUUCACCUUAUAAUAUCCUGCAGGUUUCUAUUCAGCUUUUAGUUUCUGAAAAAUUAAACUGUUUUUGUACCACUUAGCUAUGGAAAUAUGCUCUAAUUAAUAAGGUAUGCUUUAUUUAUAAUUCUGCCAAUAAAAGGAGUGUACAUAUAUACAUGGUAGCAAUGUAUCAUAUCAAAUGAGAGAGCAGAAAUGUGGAUUUUUAGUUAAUCCUAGCUGGAAUCUUAAUGUUAGUAACCCCAUAUGCAUUGAAGAGCAGUUAGUUGUAAAUACAGUUAUUAGUUAAACUGAUUAGUUGUUAGUUGUUAAACAGUUAGUUUGAGUUAGUUAUCUUUCAGUUGUUAAACUGAUUAGUUGUUACUUGUUUGUUGUUACAUAGUUAGUUUUAAUCAGUUAUUUUUCAGUUAGUAAGGUAAGGUUAAUUGUGAUCAACCCUCACAUAAAACUCAUCCUCAAACAGAAGCCAAAGUACAUUUUCACUUCUCUUUUUUCUCUGAAUUUCUUCUUAACAAAAGGCACAACAAAAUCAAGAAAUUAAGAAAAAAAAGAUGGCAUGAAUUUUCAGCUGAAAUGUCUAGAGAAUUGUUAACACAGAGAGUGAGUGAACCAUGAUCAAGAGCUUGAAAAACUAAAACAGAAUCAUCACUAACCCUGAUGUAUCAAGAAUCUAUGCACUAGCUACAAUGUAGCAAUGUACAAUAUCUUCAAUUGCAGAUAGAGGAUUCUGCAUUUCUGCUAGCCUAGGCAAGGAUUGGAAAUCCAUUGCAAAAUGGAAACAAAUUUACAUGACAAGAAUUCACAGCUAUACAAAUGAAAACCAAAAUCAAGAUCGAAAAAAAGGGGAACAGCACAUGAAAUGCCCCAUGAGGAGGUGAAUUACCAAAACAAUCACAGCAAAAAAGAUCACCAUUUCCAACACAACAGACCUAGUCUUGCGAACCACGUCACUUUGAACAUCGCACGAUACAUGAAACGGGUGCACAACCGUGGUGGCGGUUACAGAGGAAGAAGAAGAAGAGGAACAGAGCUGAACCUUCACGUCUCCGCAAUGGCCUUCAAGCUUGUCCUUCACAGCAAAAGGCAUGAAUCUUGCACUGGCGUUGAACUUCAGGUCCAAAUACACAUACCCACAUGAUGAUGAUGAUGAUGAUGAUGGUGGAAAGCCAUGAUCCAUGAUGGUGGUCCAUUCAUCAACCUUCAAGGACACAUUUGGAAACAGAGCUUCUAUGGCGGCGGUGUUACUCUGUUCUUGUUGCAGCCGGAGGGAGAAAGUUGACAUCAUCUUUCUUUGUUGGCGGUGGAACAGUGAGGCGUGGAGGGAAUCAUCAUCGGAGUAGUGGAUACUGCUUCCGAUGGGGUUGGAAUGAUCAACGUGAAGCAACACACCCAAGUUGGUUGUGAAGAGGUUUGGGGUGGUGGUGUUGAGAAUUGUAGAAGGCGCAGAGGUUGAAAUUGAAUGCAGAGUGAAAGCAGGGGUGAGGGGGAUGAUGAAGAACAAGCCGAAGAUAAAGGUGAGAAUCACGAUCAGCCAUUCCGCAAGAUAUGUGAAGAAAAUGGUCGACCAUAUCCCAAGAAAUGUCAAGAAAGCGGUGAUUGCUUCACAGGCUCGGUGAAGGAACGCCGUGGAGUCGCCGUCGUUGAGGGGAUUGGUAGGCUGCAGCAGAGGAACUCGUUCGUCAGUGAUCUCAUGGUGUUGUUCCAUGAUCGAUUGUGAGAGGUUAAUUUGGUGAGAGAAUGAGAAGAAGAAGAAGAAGAAGAAGAAGAAGAAGAAGAAGAAGAAGAAGAAGAAGAAGAAGAAGAAGAAGAAGAAGAAGAAGAAGAAGAAGAAGAAGAAGAAGGAUAACAGAACAGAGGGGGAGUUGUGAAUUCAAGGCUCAAACUAAUCAAAGGUGACAAUGCAUGCAUGCCUUUUAAAGCAGAGCAUGCAAUCCAAUCGGGUCAAUGGGCUUCAUAAACCAGGGCCAAUGGGCUUUUCAUGAUUUACCAAAAAAAUCUUGAAAGUGCUAACUCAGCUAGCUUUCAAUCCAUGUUCCACACUUUUUUUUUUUUUUUAAAGUGGUAAAAGUUAAGAGACAUAUGAGUUAGGGUGAGAAGGUCACGGGAUCAAUCCCUAGAGAGAGCAAUUUAUCUUUUCAAUGUACAAAAUGUAUAUAGCAUAAAUUAUUUUCUAAUAUUACGUAUAAAAGGUAAAAUAGUCAUUAUCAACCACACUUCUCUUCUUUCCUUCCACUUUCUUUACCACAUUCUAUCAUAUACAACUUAGAAAACCUCUCACUUUUUUUCUUCUUUCUUUCCUAUCCCUUUCUUUCCAAAAUGUUAAGAGGCAUAUAGGUUGGAAGAUAGGGGUCAUUAUGAAACAACUUUAAAACUUAAUGUGAUUAUUACUAACCCACGUUGCUUGAUUUAGUGCCUUAGUGGGAUACCUAUGUUUUAUUGAUUUUAUUAGAAAAUUUGAUAGUUUAUUGUAGUUUCUAAAAACUGUAUUUAAAAACUACUUUUAAGAAAACUGUUUGAAUUAGAUAUUUUUCAACAUUAAAAAAUUGGAAUUUAAAAACUAAACAAAAAUAUCUUUUGGUCAUUCUGAUAUUUUAGUUUUAAAACUGAAAUUUAGAAUUGUUUUCAAGAAAACAAACAGAUUUUUCCAAUAUUAGUUUAUCUCGCUGUUUCGAUCGGUGAUGUAGCACGGUGAUGAGCUACACAACGUGAAUUUACCUACUUUUGAUAAAGAAAAUUGACGUAUACAUGUAUGCGUACGAAGUGCAUAUAUUAUUAAUCUUCCAUAUAUAAUUCAAAUGAACAAAUAAUGAAACAGAAAAAAAACUCCUAACCUAUGAUUUUGUUCUGUACGCAAAAUCAGAACAAUCACAAAAACAUAUUCUCUAGCAAAUAUCAAUCUUCAAACCUUGACUGCAAACCGGACAAGUGGUUUUUCCAUCAAGCAACCCGGAGUUGAGGCAGGAGGAGUGAAAGACAUGAACACACUCUCCAAAGGGUUGAAUUUGCUCCUCAUUCUUGAACUCUUUUACGCAAAUAGCACACUGUGAUCCGAUUUCUAUGUCUUCUUGUUGGAAUUCCUAAGUAGGGGAGAGACUCUCGUAGCAAUCCUCACUUUGUAAUUUUUGGGAUUCUUUUCUUAGCGCCGCCAAUGCCAAAAAAGUCGUUAUCAAUGAAGAACAUAUAAAAAAAAUAACUCCAAACCAUAACCAAUCAUCUUCAGAAACUAACACUAAAACAAGCAUCAACACAUUCAGUAUUAUUAAUAGAAACGUCAUUUUUCCUAUAAAAUUCAUAGUCUCACUUUGUAAUUGCCUGUACUUUUGUAUUACCGCUAUCAAUGUGGAGAUAGAGAUAAUCAACAAGGAACCUAUUAAAAUAAUAACUCCAAGCAACUCAUAUCCCAAAACUGAUGUUACAGCAAGCAUCAGCACAUCCAAUAUUAUGAACAACAAUAUUGCUUUUUCCAGAGAAUUCAUACUUCACAACUCACCACUUUCUCUAGGUUAUGUUAUUUUUUUCAAAGGAAUACGAUCCUCUAUAUAUACACAGAUAAAAGGUCUCUUCCCUUUCCUAAAUGAUUUACAACUAAUUAUUUUACGCGUUUCAAAUCUGUUAUUCGAUAUACCGUUUAAAUGUGAUUACUAACCCAGUUCCUUAAUUAGUGGGAUAUUUAUGUUUUAUUGAUUUUAUUUUUAAUUUGGAUAGAGGUCGGCUUGAUUGCCGUUUCUAAAAACUAUUUUUAAAAACUAUUUUUUAAUAAAAAUCUGUUUGAAUUUGAUAUUUUUCAACAUUGAAAAAUUGUAAUUCAAAAACUAAAACAAAAAAUAUCUUUUAAUUGAUCUAGUAUUCCUAAUUAAGAUGAAGAAGAAGAUGGGAGACGGUUGAGAAAAAGCAAGAUGUGGUUUGAUCUUAUAUUAUUUUGAAUAAAUUGUUUAAAAAUUGAACUUCUGAGGUGGCAAAAAGAAAGAAUCUCAUUGGAUGACUGUGCAUGUUUACACUGUCAGUGCAUUUCCAUUAAUCUCUUUAGUUUUAAAAUUGAAAUUAUGAAGAAACAGAAUUUUAAACGGUAAUCAAACAAACUUUAUUUAAUUCUGGGGCUUAAUUAUAAAUUAAAAAAAAUUAUUUAACUUUUUUUUAAUUUAAUGAAAAUGACGUGACAUGUACACAUAGGACGGUUGAGCACGGCGGCCGGAGGAAAAGCCCGGCAAUGAUGGAUUUCAAAAAAAAAGGUAGUCCGAGGGUGGCGCUAGGAAGAUUUUCCGGCGAGGGACGGAAAUCAAAUAUAGCCUAAAGUUCAAGGACUGUUUUCAGGUUUAACCCUUAUUUAUUUUAUCUUCUCCCAUUUUCAUUCAUCAUAUAUUCCUAUUUUCCUUUAAUUUGUAAACAAAACAUUUUUUCAAUAGCUUAUCUCACUGUUCCGUGAUGAGCUACCAGAAAAAAAAAAAAAAACCAGGAUUGAGGGCACAGUAACAAAAUCAAGAAAGAUAAAGAAAUUGAUGUAUAGAUGCGUACGAAGUGCAUAUAUUAUUGAUCUUCCAUAAUUCAAAUGAACAAAUAAUACUCAAAUAAUGAAACAGAAAAAAAAAAACUCCUAAACCUAUGAUUUUGUUCCCUACGAAAAAUCAGAAUAAUCACAAAAAGCAAUUUUUCUACCUAUUCCCUCUAGCAAAUAUCUAUUUUCAAACCUUGACUGCAAACCGGACAAGUGGUUUUUCCAUCAAGCAACCCAGAGUUGAGGCAGGAGGAGUGAAAGACAUGAACACACUCUCCAAAAGGUUGAAUUUGCUCCUCACUCUUGAACUCUUUCAAGCAAAUAGCACAUUGUGAUCCGGUUUCUAUGUCUUCUUGUUGGAAUUCCUUAGUAGGGGAGAGACUCUCAUAGCAAUCCUCACUUUGUAAUUGUGUGGAUUCUUGUCUAAUCGCCACCAAUGAGAAGAUAGUUGUUAACAAUGAGGAACAUAUAAAAAAAAUAACUCCAAACUUCUCAAAUUUGGCAACUAAUGCUAGAGCAAGUGCCAGCACAUUCAAUAUUAUUAAUAAAGAUACAGUUUUUUUCAUAAAAUUCAACUUCACACUUUGUAAUUGCUUGGCCUUUCGUGUUACCCCUGUCUGUCAAUGAGAAGAGAGAGAUACAGAAUGAUGAACAUGUAACAAGAAUAACUCCAAACAACUCACAACCCUCAAUUGAUGAUGAUAUAGCAAGCAUCAGCACAUCCAAUAUUAUGAACAACAAUAUUGCUUUUUCCAGAGAAUUCAUACUUCACAACUCACCACUUUCUUUAGGUUAUGUUAUUUUUUUCAAGGAAUACGAUCCUCUAUAUAUACACACAGAUAAAAGGUCUCUUCCCUUUCCUAAAUGAUUUACAACUAAUUAUUUUACGCGUUUUAAAUCUGUUAUUCGAUAUACCGUUAAACUUAUCUCUAUAUCUAUUUAUCCGCAGCUUUUUAUUCAAACGUUUAGAUUUUGAUUGAAGAUAUAGAAUUAGGUUUUAAAAACAGAAUAAAAAAUCCAGGGAGCCAAAGUUACAUGUAAAAUUUGAAUAAAUCAAAAUCAAAUCUUAAAAAAAUUGAAAUGUUCAUGAAAUUUAUCUUUUUAUUUUCAAUUUCAAGAUAUGAAGGAUAAACCCUCCUUCAUAAUUUUUUUAUUAAAAAUAGAUAAAUAUGAUAUAUUGAACUAUUUUUUUUUGUUACAAGAGGAAAGGUAUAUUGAACUAUAUUUGAAAUGAUUAGGAUAAUUAUUAUUUUUAAAUAAUAAAUUUUAAUAUUAAGAUAUUCUAAAAAUUUAAAAUGAUGAGAAAUGAAUUUAAAUUUGUUGGAGUCAAGUCUCACAUUAGAGAAGUUAGGGCAGGGGGGAGUUUAUAAGGAGGUGAUGAUGAACCUAUAAACCUAAUGUCUUAAGGUUUUUGGUUAAGAUGUCUUGUUCAAUAUCUCCUUGGUGUCUCCCUCGGCCCGAGUCCUCGUCGUGACUCUUCCCAACAAAAUUAAAAUUAAAAAUAGUUCAAGAUUUUAUCCCCUCCAUAAAUUUCUUUUCUUUUUAUUUAAGUUUUUUUAAUUCGUCAACAUCUUUUUACUCAAAAUCAAAUUAAACUAAUUAACUUAAAAAUUGAUUUGGUUUUAAUAUUAUUACUACCUUUCAAAAAAAAAACUUAAAAAAAAUCUUCAACUUAAAACUUACGAACCCAAACACCAAUUCACCGAAAAGUAUAAAUUACAAUAUUUUCAGUUUCACCAUAUAAUAUCCUGCAGAUUUCUAUUCAGCUUCUAGUUUCUGAAAAAUUAAACUGUUUUAUAUGCUAAAAAUCUUCUCUACCACUAAACUAUGAAACAUAUGCUAAACAUAUCUUAGUAAUUUUUAGGGUUGUAAUCGGACCGGAUUAAUUUGGAUUUAGGGUGACAAAAUGUUCGAACCAAUCAAACAUGUUUGAUUUAGGUCGGUUCGAAUUUCAUGAAUUUUACUUCUAAAUCUGAACCAAAUCAACCUGAUCUCAAUCGAAUUGGUUCGGUUCGGAUGGUCGGAUUUAAAAUAAAAAAUCUUAUUUGAAACUAUGCACGGAAAUUAUUCUAAAAACGUGAAAAAUUAUUAAUAAUAUAGAAAAAUAUAACAUUUUUUUAAGAACGAAACAUUCGAUAAUGACAUAGUCCAUAUAAUCUAAAUAAAACUAGCAUCUCUAAUAGAAAUAUAAACAUGUAAUGUAAUGUGCUGAUUGUUUGAGUUUAAUGUAAAAAAAUUCUCAAUUUAUUGGGUUGAUUCGGAUUGAUCAGUUUUUCAAUCCCUAAAUCCGAUACCCGAACCAAUGGUGAUCAGAUUCAGUAAAAAAGAUCCGAACCAAUGAUCCAAUCCAACCCACCAUAAUGUGUUCGGUUCGUAUCGGUUUAAUCGGAUUCGCGGAUCGAACUAUACCCGCUUACACCCCUAGUAAUUUUAGCUUGAACAAGAUUACGCCUAUGAUUCAAAUUAGAUAAAAAAACACUUUUGGUCCUUGAUGUUUCAAGUUUGUGAAAAAGUUGCCCCUAUUUUACUUUUGUCGACGUUUUUACCUCUCAUAUUUUUAAAAGGUCCACCGUAUACCCUUCCGUCGGUCAUACGCUGAAAUAAGCUCUUCUCCGUGUGUUCGAAACAGCGUCAGUGUGAAGCAAGCAGCAAGCAAAGAAGCAGCAAGUAGCGGCGAACCCAGUGAGAGCGAGAGAAGAGAAGAGAAUGGCAGAACCGAAAGUGAAAUACGAUCGCCAACUCAGGUAACUCCCUCUCUCUCCCUCACUCCACUUCGCUCUACCCUAACUGUUUCCCCCUUAAAGCCCUAACAAAUUCUCUUGUUCUUAUUCUUGCUGUGUGUUUCUUAGAGCGUGUUGUCAAAAUUGAUUAUUCAUAGAAUUGGCUUUGGUGAAAUUGAUUAUGAUGAAAGUGAGUUGAUAGUGAAGUGAUUUAUAUUUUUAUGUGGAAAACGGUUUCUAUAGGAUAAUGUUGUGAAAUUCAGUUAUGGAAACUCGUAAUUGAUUAUGUGCACCGCAGAAACUAGGAUUUGUUGUGCAAUCAGUGUUGUCAUAAUUGAUUUUGAAUAUAAUUGAUUAUUGUAAAAGUCGAAAGUGAAAUGAUUUAUGUUUGGAUAUAUUUUUGGGAAAAAUGAUUUCUAUAGUGCAAUGUUGUGUAAUUCAGUUAUGAAAUCCCACAAUUGAUUAUGUCCACUGCCGAAGCUACUCUCAAUAGCUCCUCUGCAGAAUUGAUUUUGGGGCUGAAAUCAAUUAUCUAAUUCGAUAUCCAAACAUCUAUAUAACCACUGGUUCUGGUCAAUGAGAAUUGAUUCUAAGGUUCUCAAAUGUGGAACCAAACGCACACUAGCUUCAUCCAACGAUUGAUUUUUAAGCUAGAAUGAAUCAUGAAAGGAAAUAUUUGAACACCUAAAAAUUGAUUAUAAAAUUGGAGAAGCAAUUCUAACACUUAUAAAUAUGAAACGAAACAUGUUCUUAACUUGUAGGCUGUAGCCCUUUGUUGCUAAAUUAUGUCUCUCUCUGUGUGUGUUCUGAAUUUGAUGUAUUCUGAGAUAUGACUUUGAAUUCUUAUCUAUCUGCUUCUCCAACUGUUACUUUUUUUUUUUGGGCUUUUGGGUAAUCUUGAACACAUAUUUGAUCUCAUGACUCAUAUUUACUGCAAUGUUUAUUUGACAAUGUAGAAUAUGGGGCGAGCAGGGACAGGCAGCCCUUGAGAAAUCUAGUAUUUGUUUACUUAACUGUGGUCCUACUGGUUCUGAAACACUUAAGAACCUUGUUCUUGGUGGGGUUGGAAGCAUCACGGUAGUCGACGGGUCCAAAGUUGAAGUGGGUGACCUCGGAAACAAUUUUUUGGGUACAUUAUCUUAUUGUUGAGUUCUGGUUGUGUUUUGUGUUUGUGUGUCUCUUAUAGACCUCAUUUUCUCUGUUUUUUUUUUUUGUAGUGGAUGAAUCAAGCCUUGGGCAGUCAAAGGCAAAAUGUGUAUGCUCAUUUCUUCAAGAGCUGAACGAUGCAGUUAAAGCAAAAUUUGUAGAAGAGUAUCCAGAAACAUUGAUUGAGACAAAUCCAUCAUUCUUUUCUCAAUUUACUUUGGUUAUUGCCACUCAGGUACGCUACUAUAAUGCUUAAAACUUCCAUAAGACAGAUGCUUCAUUUGGAAAUUUGUUGUAAAAGUAUAUUAUGUGCCUCCAUUCAAACUGCUGAUGUCAUAAUUAAUUGAUGUAUAACUUAAUAGAUCUCAACAUUUCUGCAUGAAAGAAACCGUUCAGUUACUAAUAUAUCUGAAUUAUUAAUUUAGUUUAAAAUUUGAGAAGAGCAUAUUUCUUUAUUUAUUCUUUUCAUGUGCUAUAUCAUUGACGUACUCUGUUAAACUUCCAGCUGGUGGAAAAUUCAACAAUAAAACUUGACCAAAUCUGUAGGGAGGCGAAUGUUAUGUUGAUCUUUGCCCGCUCCUAUGGUCUUACAGGGUUUGUUCGAAUUAGUUUGAAGGUAAUUUGGUAUGUAUUUGAUAUUACAAGUUCAAGGAAUAUUCUAGUACCUGACGAAACAUAAUAUUGAUUUUCAUCACUGAUGCAAUUUUAAUCUUGUAUUUGACACGCAAAAAGAGAGAAUAAAGUAAAUGAAUAUGGCUAUUUAAAAAAUGUCAUUAAAAAGAGCAGGGAAGUAAAGGAUGGAAUUGCAAUAGAUUGACUAUAAGAUAGGCCGGUAAUUUUCUUUUGCAGUCAUAUAUAUGUAUGAACUAGAAAGCUCAAAAAUACCUUGGUUAGAAAGAAUUGUCUAGUUAUUGAAUAUAUAUGAUUUAGAUUUGGCUGAUUAGUACUUUUUGUUGGUUCUAUUAGGAACAUACUGUUAUUGAAUCAAAGCCUGAUCAUUUCUUGGAUGAUCUCCGGUUAAAUAAUCCUUGGCCUGAACUCAAGAGGUAUAGCAUAGUUUUGUUUUAUUUUAUGUUUCAUUUUAUUUCCUUUUUGUUCUGAGAUCUGGUUUUCCCUUCAUCAAUUUUGCUUGUCAGCCAGCUAAAUUGUUGUAGCUAAAACUAUAGGCUUACUCACAUUCCACUUGGUUUUCUCAUUACAUGUGCAUCCAAAGGUUUGCAGAGGGCUUUGACUUGAAUCUGCAAGAUCCUGUUGCUCAUAAGCACAUACCAUAUGUUGUCAUUCUCGUCAAGAUGGCUGAUGAGUGGGCCAAAAGCCAUGGUGGUAGGCUUCCAUCGACCAGAGAAGAAAAAAAAGAAUUCAAGGUUUGUUGUUUAAUCGUUUAGUUGUUCUAUUGAUUGUUGUUCUAGUUAUGUGAUUAGCUUUAGAUGUGAACAAUGUAGGAGCUUCUUAAGGCUGGGAUGGUUGCACAAGAUGAAGAUAAUUAUAAAGAAGCUAUUGAGUCCUCAUUCAAAGUAUUUGCUCCCCGAGGAAUUAGUAAGUAGAUCAUUCAAGAUUAAUUGAUUGUAACUUUUGCCUGCCUUCAUUUUUAAAAUCACCCUAUCUUUUGUUUUCUUGUAUAAUGAGCAGAAGAAUGUAUCAUCUUUUGUUAACUUGUAGGUUUAAAUUUAUAGGAUCAUUAGACAGGGUUGGGAGAUGAAUAAAAUUGAAGACAAGUUUGAAUAUUUUAAAUGUCAAGUAUUUAUAAAGGUUCUAAAAGUCUUUUUGUUUAGCCUGGCAAUGAAAUCUUUGUAAACCUAUCAUUGAGAAUUUUGUUAUUUAGCCUCUGACUGUUGGCAAAACUAUACUUUGCUUGCUAUGGAAGAAUGUAUUGCCACAGACUCAUGGUUAAGGGUGGGGUUUCAAGUUUUAUUUUUUUUAAUUAAAAAAUUGUUUUCAUCUAGAAUGUUUAGCUAUUGUGUGAAAAUUUACUGCCUCAGUCCAAUCAAAAUUUAAUGCUCUGUACUUUCUUAGGUUUGGAGUUACAGCAGAUACUAAAUGAUAGUUCUGCUGAAGUGGACUCUAAUUCAUCAGACUUUUGGGUGAUGGUGGCAGCUCUAAAGGUUGGUGCUUUUGAUAUUGCAUCACUGACCUCGCUUCAGAUACAGUUUGCCUCGCUUUAAUGUGGAAAAAAUUCUUAUGCCAUUUGAUAUUGUAAUGUUUCUUUUUGGGUGGUACUUAGAACUUGUGACAUUCAAAGACUGGAGUAGUAAUAGAGAGUUGUCAAGAGCCUUUCAUAAUUUGGCACUGGAACUAUGCUGCUCAGUUUUUGAGCUAGAGAACUAUUCAAAGUUCUUGGUUGCUUGCUUAUAUACCUUAGUUGUUUGUUGAUACAUUUCUUAUCAUUUUGCAGGACUUCAUUACAAAUGAGGGUGGUGGGGAGACACCUCUUGAAGGAUCUAUACCAGAUAUGACUUCUUCUACUGAGUUAGUGGCCAAAUCUUUACAUGUUUUUCAGAACAGUUUAUAUUUUCUAUGGAAAAUUAAGAUCACCAAUUUAUUUACCCUAUAUCUGUACUCCUGCAGGCAAUAUGUGAAUUUGCAAAAUAUCUAUCAGGCUAAGUCCGAGGCUGACUUUCUUGUAAUAGAACGACUGGUGAAAAGCACCUUGAAGAAAAUUGGUAGAGAUUCAAAUAGCAUUCCAAGGGCAACAAUUAAAAGCUUUUGCAAAAAUGCAAGAAAACUCAAAGUAAGCAUGUGAAGUUGCAAAUCAGUUUAAAUUUAAAUUGUAAAUAAUUAACCUUCAAAAGGAUUACAGUGCUUUUGGAUUUUUGGGUCCAAAAUAAAAUUCCUUCAGCCCUCUUAUUAUUAUUAUUGUCAUUAUUAAACUUCUCUUCAGCCUUUUGUCUAAAAAUAGAGCAAUCGCAAGACUAGAGAUUUUUGCUUAGUUUUCAGUAUAGAUUAUUUUGUAGGUUUGCAGGUACCGUUUGAUUGAAGAUGAGUUUAAUUUUCCAAACCUGUCGGAGUUACAGAAGUACCUAACUGAUGAAGAUUACAGGUUAUAUCAUUUUACAAAAAAUGCUUCUCGAUGAUUUUUUUUAAGAUUAAUCCACGUAGAAGGAUUUAUCUUGAUGAAAACCUGGUUUCCUGUUUAUAUAUGUGGCAGCAUUGCUGUGGGAAUUUAUAUUUUGCUUCGUGCGGUUGAUCGGUUUGCUGCUAAUUACAACAGUUUUCCUGGACAGUUUGACAGGUAAUGCCUCAAAACUGGUGAAGGUCUAUUUUUUUCCCUUUGUUUUAUGGUUGGACUCAUUAUUGAGGUUGGUUUUUUUAUAUGUUGUAAUUGUUUUGCAGCGCAAUGGAUGAGGAUAUAUCUCGAUUAAAGAGCACAGCAAUUGGCCUACUUAAUGACUUGGGAUGCAAUGGUGCCACAUUGGCUGAGGACCUUAUCAAUGAGAUGUGUCGAUUUGGUGCUGCGGAGCUUCAUGCUGUUGCUGCUUUGGUUGGAGGAAUUGCUUCACAAGAAGUGAUCAAGGUUUGCAUUUCUAGCUCAUGUGGAAUAGUUUUGUUUGAGAGCUUUUAUUUUCUUGGGCUGUUUGUUCCUAUGAGAUUAUAUUCUUUGCAUGGAUGUUUUAUUGGAUUCUUGUCUUGGUUCAGUCAUUUAGAUAAUUAGGCCAUGAAAAGUUAACACAAAAGACUCUCAGACAGCAAUUAGACACGUAAAAAGAAGUCAACUAAACUAAACCUAUUUUCUCAUCUUUUGUAAGGAUCCCUACGUCUUGUCCCUAGGGCAUACUGGUUUAAGCCCUAUCUCUAUAUCUGCUUAAUGCCCAAUUUUCUGUGCCUCAGCCCAUUAUUAAUCCAAUCACCCAUUCCCAUAUAUAUAAAACCAAAAUGCUGUGUUUUUCAAUAAAAUUAAAAUUGAGUCAACAUUUCCAACUAUGAGUUUUGUAGAACUCUACAAAGUAGAAGUAGAGCCUUGGCUUAAUAGUAAAAUCUGCUCCGAUGUGACAAUGAGGUCACGGAUCUUCUUUGCAAGUGCAUAAAGUUGCAUUUUCCUACAAUAGCUCACAAUAGGACUCAAUGGGCUAGACCCUUCUGAUAGAGCGUGUAGUAUCAAUAUCUUCUGGUGGAAGCUUCAAAAAAGCACCAGGUUGCCUUUUAGAAGUUCUGCGCCGCAUGUGCCCAAAGUUCAUAGCAGAUGAAGCUUGGCUUGGAAUUGUAUCAUGUAUGUGAAGGGGAAUGUUGUAUUGAAAAAUAUUGAAGAGAAAAUGGAGCGUGGGGGGAAGGGAGCCAUUGCUAGGCUUUAAGAUGAAGUAUAAAUUACCUUUAUCCCACACCUCUAGUUUUCCUUAAUAGUUAUCCACACACUCUUUUAACAUCUGCAUUGAACAAUAGAUGAGGGAGAGGAAUCAGGUUUAUCAUAGAAGGACAUUGGCACGAAAGAAUUGAGUGUAAUCUAAAUUGAGGAGCUCUGCUAUUUUUUUUACUUAAAAUUUAAGCGUUGGCCUAUGCAUUUGAAUUGAGGCUCAUGUUAAUGGAAUUGUGUAGUUACAACAAUUAGCAGUAUUCGGUAAAAUUCUUUCAAAUGAAUGUGCUAUGUGCAAAGAAAGGAAAUUCAUUUUGCUUCUGUCCUAUACCUGACAUUACUUAUGUUCCUUGCAGCUCAUAACAAGGCAAUUUGUACCAAUGUCCGGAACCUUCAUAUUCAACGGCAUUGACCACAAAUCACAGAUAUUGUCACUGUAAUUGUUUUCACUGUGGUAAUACUUUAACUUUCUAGUUUGGCUCCAUAACCUUGUCGCUACAGUUUUUAUCCUUACAUUGUAAUUUAUAAUGGUGCUGAUGCAGCAGGGUUCUAUUGGAAGAUCGUCGAUUUGCUGGAGUGAGCUAUCAUUAACUAUGGCUUCCUUGUAUCUUGUAGUGCGCAUUUUUGAAGCAUUUCUGAUCGUUAAGCAGUACUAGUACAUUCUUCCUUGUAUGGAAGUUUUGUAACUACGGAUGUCAUGUCAGACAGCGGAUUGAGGAUUAGAAUAGAUAUUACAAAACUGAAGAGACUACUUUGUUUUAUGAAUACUUUUUUACCUAUGUUGUACAUUAAGAUCUCUUAGCUGCAGCGAUCAAUGUAAUCUCAGGGAAAUCAUAUUAUCAUAUAGCACUAUAAUUUAGUAAUGAUCCAUUGAAUAGUAAACACAUUACUUAAAUUUUAUCCCUAAGAAAAAAAUUCUUUAUUAAUGUUCGAAAAGAUAUCAUGUGAAGAAUUUGCCUCAGGGAUGAUCCAAAGCAUAGAUGUCAUGUUUGAAAAACAGAUUGCUCCUUGUGAUGUUAUAAUUUGAUGAGAAUGAUUAAAGCAUGGGCAAAGUCCUUCAAAGCUACUUGUCCCUCUUUCUAACUACAAAAAAAUUACAUGAAAAUUCUCAUAAAUAAUCAAAUUAACAAAAUCAGACUAAAGUACAAGCAACAAAAUGAGAGGAAGUGUGGCAACUAGCAACUAGCAACUAGUAGGAUCCUGCAGAGUCGCUACAUACUAACAGCAUCCACUCUUUUGUCAGUAUUGUAUACACUGAACUUGCCGAACUCCCUUCGUCCACUGGCAAAAAGUGUCCAAUGUCAAAGCCUUGGUGAAAGGAAUAAUAAUUCAGUUGUUAAAAUAAAUAUCAGUAUCAUAAGUGCACUACUAACAACCAUUUGGGAUGACCAUCAAAAAGUAAGCAAGAAGAAAAAUAAAUAAUUACAGCAUACCUGUGUUUCACAUCCCAACCACCAGGAAGAAAUCGUGGAUUUACAGCAUCCACAAAUACUUGUCUCCAUCUUUGACAAAACUCUCCAAUACCCUCUUCACCAAACUCCUUCAGUAAAUGUUCUACAACUAAAUUCCCGUGUGGUCCAUGUCCCAAGAGUGAUAGUUUCGAAUUAUGCUUCGCUAGUGUUGAUUCUUCAUAUUUGGAGGGAUCAAACAAGUCGCUAACUCCAUUUGGUAGCGUUCUGCUCAGACUGUUAUCAACAUUUAAAGAGUUCCCACCUUCAUUAUAAUCUCCAUUUGAAAUAGCUGCAUCAACUGCAAGGUCAGAAGCUAAUAAGGGGUUCCCUAGAUCAUCUUUUUCCAUCAAAAGUUCUCCAUCAUGAGCAUCAUCAUUCAAUGCGUCCUCAUCACCCGGAGCGCAACCAACAUGAUUCUCCAGUUGUGGCACUGCAGCAGUACUCUCCGUAGAAUGUUUAAAAGAAAACCCCCUCUUCUUCUCGAACCGUCUUCUCUCUUGAGGAGUCAUGCCAACUUGCAAAGCUCCUUCUAGAUCUUCCUCAGUUAUUUCUCUCCCUCCAUAAUAUCUUUUUACAAUCUGCAAAAAUAUAACAUAUAACCUUAUAAACAGAAGCUCCUAUAGUUGAUGUUCUUCAGUAGCAAUAACAAACCAAUAUAUCACUACAGAAGUGCAAUUUAGAACCCAUAUUUUGUAUUUAAAAUGCAUCCAAAAUAGCUUAAACAAAUCCAUUCCCACUUGGCUAUACCCAAACUAUAAAUUACUCAUCAAGUGGGGCUCUACAACAGCUGUGUCAAAAUAACCAAUAGCAGACAGAAAUAUGAUCAAACCUCAGUUAGUUCUUCACGGCGAUCGAGAGGCAUUCUUGGUCCAUGGCGUAGAAGAGCCAUUGCAGCUGUUCGUAAUUGUAAUGGAGAUACACCUCCCUCCUCAGUUUGUUCUUCAUUCUUUUCCCUUGGAUGAAUUACACUACGAACAUAGAGAGGAAUCCCAUAUUCAGCAGCUAUCUUUCUCUUAUACUUCUCUGCAGCAGCAUGGGCAAUUUCAUGGCAAUCCACACAAAGUAGGACAAUAUCAUGAGAACGAUGGCUUUUCAAAUGCUCAGGGAAAUGUAUUCUGUAACAUGAUGGGAUUAUUCGAUACCGCAAGUAGUGGUUUCCUUCACCACACCCAACACAUAUAUUUUUCUUACUCUGGAUAUAAAAGUCAUUGUCUUCAUCCUCCGGGCGGCCUUUGGGUUCAAAAAGAAGCAUUAUACCUGGGGGAUCGUCAUCAACAAGUUUAGCAAGAUCCCGGCUGAGGUACCUGGAGGUUUGAACAUUAAUCAUGAAGAAAGAGUACAUUUUAGUCUUUUACAAAUGGAAUAAAAGUGAAAGUGCACAAACCAUUCAAGCUUCUUCCGAUCACAAUAACAAAGUAGCCUUCCAUCAUUAGCAUAUAUCCGACAAUUGUGAUAAACAGGAGCUUUGCAAGAAAACUUUUGAACGAACAAAUCUCUAGAAGCCUUCCGGGAGAAUUGUUUAAGAUUUUUUAGUCUUGAAUGCUUAUGGACUGAAGUAGGUCUCGGGCUACCGUUAACCAGCAAAGCAUAAUUAAAUAUAGAAAGUUGACAAAUCCCAUUUUGACCAAGACACUUCUGAAUAAUCACUGAAUAAAUAUCACCACGGUUAACCAGCUUGUUCGCAAGCAGAUCAUAGAUAUCAUUCAGGUGGCUACAAACAACAGGAGAUGGGGAAGGGAUGAUAGAGUUGAGACCCAUUUCAAAAUUGAUAUCAGUACGAGCUAUAGUUUUGUAUAUUUCAGUGUGAGUUGCUGGUGGCUGACUUGCCAAAGCACCAAUUGCCUGAUCUGACAGUACAUAUUUUAAGCUCUCAUCAUGAAUACGAGCCUGAAAGGAUGAACAUGGCACAGAAUAAUCAACUCAAGGUGCUAAAAUAUAAUUUUCUGACAUCAAAUAUAAUGCAUCCAGCAUUACAUCAAAAUUUGCACAGCAAGCAAUGAAAUCUUUCAUUUAUAAAUUUAGUUUCAUCACUAUAAUAGAAAGUAGAAUUAGUUUAACUUAAUUUUAUAAAUUCUUUUGGUGACAAAUCAUGGCAGAAUCAAAUAUAAGCCUACAUAUAUUAUUACUAUAAAAAAUAAAGUUGAUGCAUUGUCAGCAGUUAAUAACUAAACAAAAGUCAUGUAUAUUCAAUCAUAAUAAAUCUCGAUACAUCAAAGCAAUCUUAGAAAUACUUAGUUAAACUGCUAUUUUUUUUUCAUUCCAGUAUUACUCCAAGUUUUAUUUUAUGUAAUGGCAUGAAAAGUAGAACUUAUAAUCUCAAUAACCAUGUUUCGAUCUCUAAUGACUAUGAACAAGGUACAUUAAUUUCUGAUCCAAAUCCAAUCCAUCUUGUAAUUUUCAAACUUAGUUUUUUCUAUUUUUCUUGAUAAGCACAAAAUUCAAGUUAAGCAGUAAGACAUAGCUACAGUAAAACAACUCUUCUUAUCUAAAUUUAAGCACCCUUAAUAUUCAUAACUGACCAUCAAAUCUCUCCAUGUGCAUAGCUGCCUCACAGUAUGCUGAAACUGUAAUCAGAGAAUUAUGUUAGAAUAUCAUAUUCAACAGACCACUCACAUUACACUACUUCAAAUGCUGAACCUGACCACUCAUGUUAUGCGGCAAACCUGGGUUUCAUUGGAAAUUGAAGGCACAUCUUGGCUGCUCACAUGACGAGAAAAUAAUGAUAAUACAGAAGAUUCUCCAGGUGAAGCUUCAAUAUCCUUUGUGAAAAGUUGUAAACAGAUCAUGUUUGAACGCCGACAAGCCUCGAGGACAAACUGGAUUUUAUCAUCAGAACCAGAGUUUUCUGACCCAACAACAAAUUUAAAACUUUAACUCAACAUUAACAAAGAAAGGUCCUAAUCAGUUGCUAAGUUGAGAAGUGGCUAAGAAAAAAGAUCCAUUUCUUCAUUUAGUUUAUCAAAAUUAUCCUGUUAAAAUAACCAAAUGCUUACGAUCAUGAAUCUGCUUAUUUCUUUACCACAUUUCUUUGGGGCAUGGGAAGGAAAUAAAGGAGGAAAAAGAGCUUGGCAAGAAGGAAUACCGUUGUCAAGUUGUCUGAGUUCAUUGAUCAUACAGUUUGCAAUAUACAACAGAUAGUGUGCAUCUGUUAGUGCAUAAUGUAACAUUUCUGCUGAGAGAGGGCGCUGUCUCCAGUCUUCACGCUACAUUAAGCACAAAAGAAAAUUGCAAUUCUAGUCAGUAAUUAAAAAUAACAUCCCAAAUCCAGAGUAAUAGCCUUCCAUCUUAUUUACGACAUUUUAGUAUUUUACAAUGAAAAAAUAUUUGUUAGAAUAAAAAAAUAUUUUGCAAUAUCUUUGAUUAAUUUAAGGUAAUUUAGAUGAUUCUUUGGGAUUAGUUUUUUUUCUUCUAACUAAUAUUGAUUUGUUUUCUUAUUUUAUUAGGAUUAGGGGUCUUAAUUAGUUUCUCCAUUCAAUUAUAAUAAGGAGUCUACCAUUACUAUAAAUUAAGGUAAGUACUCUGUCUUUUAUAACAUCACAUCCAAUAUAUUAUAUCAAUACAAUUUUAUUCUCACUAUUCCUUUUUUCUCUUUCUAUAUCCUAAAGACCAGGGCCGUGUAAGGCCUUAGUUAAAAUAGGCAAUUGCCUAAGGUCCCCAAGAAUAUAUAGGCCUCCAAAUAUAUUUAGUAUGUAGACAUGAUAUAUUACUGAGACUUGAGAUGGUAAUGAAAUAAUGAAAAAUUAGAUAACAUGAAUUGCAACAUGAGCAAUGCAAUGUAAAAACUUAGAAGUGCUAAACUCAAAAAAUUAAAUUGUGUUACUCAUAAUAGUUUUUAAUAACUUAUAUAUAUAGUAUUGUAUAUGUUUGCUCUUCACUUUCUGUUUCUUCUCUAGAAAAAAAAGAAUUUUUUUCAUUUUCUAUGUACGUUGAAGUAAAUUAUCAAAGAAGAUAUUUGACAUUAAAGUGUUGCAAAAUCUCUCAUUAAUUUAUUCAUUGUGUUUUAUGUUCUAUUGUUCAUAAUUUUUUUUAUUUUACAGUAUAAAAGUCUUGAUAAAUGAUUUCGCACCUUAAAAAACGGGAAGAUUAAUAUAAAAAAAUUGAUAAUUUAUAUAAUAUGUUAGGUCUCUUUUAGAUUCUUGUCAAAAUAAAAUGACUUUAACAUUUUCACCUUAGGCCCUAAAAUCGCUGUACACGGCCCUGCUAAAGACUAAACUCUAUAAUAAUUCAUUGAUGUACCUCAUACUAAAUGCUUAGUCGCCUACACCAUUAACAACAAAUGCAACACAAUUUUAAAAGAUGUCUUAAAAAUGUAAUUAUUGGCACACUAUAUUCAUUGUUCAAAUUCUUCAGAAGGCUACUUCUGAAGCAGUAGAAAAGGGAGAUUUUCUCAUACAUCAUUUAGAAAUCUCUUCUUCCAUGUAGGAGCAACCUCAAUGUCAAUUUAAAUGAUGACUGCCCUUAAUCUCAACUGCUUGAGAUCAAAUUUCUUUACAAGUUAGAAUUUUAAUCCCGUGUACAUAAGAAAAUUAUGAUUAUGAUUUAUAUUACUAAACAAUUGAAACCGUAAUAAUGUGUUUUUAAAGCUCAUUUAAGAAGCCUAUCAUUCUUAGGGAAAAACACAUAGGAUGCCAGAACUUUAUAAUGUGUUUUUAAAGCUCAUUCAUUCUCAGUUGAACUCUGCUAUUUAUUGAAAUAAAUGAAAAAUUUAGGCAUUGCAUUUUACUUAAAUAUAUCCAUGCUAAAUAGUCUCCAACAUUGUUGAUGACAAUCAAUGAACUUAUCCAAUGUAAUAAUUUGUUUGUGGAUCAAGCAUAAGAUCAGGUCAAACCUGUAAUAAUUUAUUUGUCACCACGCCACAGUAAGUUUCUAGCAAAUAAGCAAGUGAUUUCUGUGGUUUUGAAAGCACUUCACAUGCCUGCAGUACAUGAAGACAUGGAUUAAAAAAGGCUAUCAAUCAAUUGUAGAAGGGAAACUUCUCCGGUCACCAUCAUGCAUGAGGAGAAAUUUCUGUAGGGUACAUGACACCCAAUAGAUAGUCAGAUAACAAGACAGGACUAGGAGUAGCUCACCUUAGAAGUAUCAAAAAGAUUAACAACAUAAAUAUGGAAGUCCCUCUGUAGCCAGAGAAUAUCAUUGUCAGCUCCAUGGAACACCUAUCCACAAAUAUUUCAAUGAGAAAAGAGACUGAAAUAAAUUGCUAGGACAACAAAAACAAACAAAUAAAUCAACUAAAAUAUUUUCAUAAAUGAUAUGCUUUAGCCCCAAUUCCAAAAUAUAAGGUGCAGUAUAUAUAUAUAUAAAAGAGAAAGAAUCAGAAUCAUUCAAAGAAUUUAUGAUGAAAAUCUUACUAAAAAAUUAUAAAUUUAGGCUUAAAAAGAGAAACUAAUUGAAAUAUAAACAUCAUCCCCCCUGCCCCAAUAAGUUUCCAAAUCAUAUGAAACCGCUAAGAAGCAUGAUUCCAAUAACUUACAUACUUUACAAAUGGAAGGAUUAGCAAAAACUGGGCGAAGGAUUCCCAUAGAAUCAUGCAGAGCAAUUGUGUCAACCAAAUAAUCUUUCUUCUGUGUAGAAAUCUGCUUGAUUACAUCAAAAGACACACUAAUCAUCACCAAAUUCAUCCGGAAAAAAAUAAUAAUGGCACAAUGCAAUCAGAGAUAAGUACUUAAAACUUCAAAGCAGCACAGAAUUACCUGAACUAAUGCUGUAAAGCCUAAAAAAGAGUGUAAGCUAUGUUGUUCUGUGUCCACGGCAAAGAACUUCUCCUUGCUCAAUUCAUUGACCAGUUCCUUUAACAGUACCUCUGUAUCGACCCAAACAUACGAAUCAUUCGUCUCCAAGUCCACAACCUCAAAAUCAUCACUAAGUUCAAUUUCCGGCUGAGGACUUCUUACCAAUGCCGUAAUCUCUGCCUCAAACGGAUGCAAAUCCGAACCAUUCUCUGUAACAAAACCAAUAAACUCAGCUAAAUCUUUAUAAUCUCGCACAGAGAACUCAACAAUGAUGAACUUCCUAGUUCUUAUUUUGUACCAAUUUUUCAAACAAAUCUAUAAAAUGGAACCUUAUCACUUGAAAAUUGAAAUCUAAGACUUUGCCAUAUCAAAAUUUCCGAAAAUUUCCACCAUUUUUGCACUGAUAUAGCUCAGUGUUAUCAAAUAGCGGCUAUAGUGGUGCUGCGCCUAACUGCUACAGCGGCGUAGUGGAUUUUUGGCUCAUCGCAAUGCCGCUAUUGCCAACUAUAGCGCAACUAUAGCGCGCUAUUCCAGCUAUUUGCCGAUAAAUAGCGGCCGAGAUAGCGGAUUUUUUACUCACCGCGAUGGUCCGCGAUCGCGAUUUGACAACACUCAUAUAGCUACACCGAACUAGACUACGCUACUUCACUUGUCUAACCUGAUGCAAAAUUCGCAGCAAAUGAAGAAACAAAGUGUUCACAGAAUCAUAGGCAAGCAAACGUACCAUCGUUGAGGCUCAAGUGUUUGAAUGGAGCGUAGGAGUUAUCUGCCAAGACACGCUUGAACGCGCACUUUGGCUUCCGUUCGGAAUGUGAGUAGCACGAGCUCGGAGGGGACUCGUGCCGGUGGUUACGGCGUCGUCGUGCGGUGAAGAAGAUGGAGAUGAUGGUAGCUGCUAAAGCAGCGAUCGUGAAUGCCGCCGCCACGCGCGUUUUGUUUCCGGUGUUCAUGUUUUUUGGUCUUCGCUGCUCUGAUGAGUUGAGUUUGGGUUUUUUUGUGCAGAAGGCACGGUGGAGGCGGUGGCCGGUGCGGCUUGUGGCGGCGGAGUUUAACUUGCGCUGCUUUGAUGGGCUUAUUGGUUAUUGAGCCUCCGAGAUAUAAGCCCAACCCAAAUUGUUCUAAUAGUUGGGCUGAGGUGAAUUAGGCCCAAAAGGUUUUUUUUGACAAAAAAUGGAAAAUUCUCUCUUUUUUUUCUUCUUCUUAGUAUCGUUCGAGAAACAAUUGCAAAUUUCUACGAUUAAAUUAGUUUUUUAUUUUAGAUUCGAAGUUGUGCUCUUAUUUUUUGGUCAAAGGUAAGUGAUUCAUUCAAGAGGUGAAUUGUCUAACGACACUUACAACAACUGAUCAUUCAUACUUGAAUCAAAGAAAUUGGGUCAUAGCCCAAAACAACUUACAAGAGAAUUCAUUAACACUUAAGCCUAUGACUCUUAGCACAUAUAAACAGGGUUAGAACGAAGAGAGAUUAAGACAAAAUACUUGCAAGAACCACCCAAAAGGAGUUAGGCCCAUAACAGUAAGCCCUUUAGAAAAAUGGGUCAGUCAAACCAUAGCUUUUGGGGUCUCCAAACCCUAGCCAACCAAAGUAAAGGGGCGGCAGAACGAUGGUGAGGGGACGAACGAGAGUGACUCCAAAGCAAAGUUCCAAAUACAUGAUCUAUAGCAUACAUAAGCGAAAAUUUAAUCUUUAUUGUGCUCUUAUCCUUUCAGAGAUCGAUUUUCAUUGGACUAACACCUUAUUUGUCUCCCUUUUUAGUGGAUCCACCACAUUCAAAUUUUUUGUUGACAACUAUUAAACGACAAGGGUUUCUUAUCCAAAAAUGAAUAUGAAUUAUAAUUUUGUAAUAAUCUUGGACUCCCCUACGCUAUUGUUUAUUUUUUUUUUAACAUUCCCCUACGCUAUUGUUGAAUCUGAACUUUAUGCAAUGCUGAAAAGUAGAUAGAUUUCUUGUUCUAACAAACAGUUUGUCGAUAAACCAACUUUUCAAAGUUUGCUUGAAGCAUUGGUUGCUAUAUUAAUAAAUGGGUCAAGACUUCUAGAUACAUACAAGGCAUAACCAAUUUUUCAACUUAAUGCAUGUGUUCUUUGUCAACUUCCUAGAAGUGACCAUGAAUCCUCCAAAGAUGGUGGUACUUGUAAAGUUAAACAAAGGGAUUUUACUCAUUUAAAGUAAAUUAUUAUAAUUAUUAAUAGUGAUUAUAUACUUUGACAAGUUAAUAAAGCAAUUUAAUCAAUGAAAAAUAUAACUUACUUUACUAUUUAAAAUGAAUUUCUGACUUUAGAGGACAUCGUCUCAAACAAAUCAAAUCUGUAAGUAUUUUGAGCCACCAGAGAUGGUCAUUGGCCACCCAAUCCCUUGAAUUGGUCAAUGCAUUGUUAAUUACGACUUUUAAGUUUUAACAUACCUGGAUAAUGCAAUUUUUUUCUUGAUUAGUGACUAGAAAAGUAUUGCCCUUUCUUUGAAGUUUAUAGGAGUUAAGAACUGUAAAUUGCUGUUACAUAAAAAAAGUGACAUCUCUCCGAAACACAUUAGUACUUGCAGCAAGUUAACACAUGUUGUGUAAUCACGUUUAAAGUUAUAAUUAAUUUUAAGGGAAGGUCCUAUGCUGUGAGUGCUUUUGAGUGAGAAAGAAUUGAUCAUUAAGAGGUUCAUGUUUGGAUCUAGAUUCAAAAUCAAUUUUGUGGACUCUGUGAGUAGCUUCUACGUACGGGAAUUGAUUUUGAAAAAAGAAAAAAUUGAAACAUGCUAUUAAUCUUCCUAUACACAUGUGGUUCCUUGUAAGGUCAAUUUGAUGAAAAAGCUUAAGAAAUUUUACAGAGGCUUUGUUUAUGGAAGUUAACUUUAGAGGUGAAACAAUAAUGACACCAUGACCAUAACUGGUGGUAGACAGUGGCACCGAGUUAAGUCUGAUUGCAACCUUCUUGGCUUCUUGCUAAGCUCGAUCGGAGUGCUGAUAUAUAAAGAUGACAAUGAUGGUGAUUUGGAUUUGGUGGAGGCAACUACAAAAAUGUUAUUUUGAUUAUGUUUAUGUGUUUGUUCCCCACCAGGAAAAAGAAACUUAGAUAGUGAUCUCAUAUUCUCAUUAUCCAUCAAUGGGCUCUUCUUGCGCUUAAAAACUUUGCAAGAUUAUUCAAGGAGAGCCCUUUACUGUUGCUGUAGUAUGUCGGCAUAUGUGAAGAAAGGUUAAAAGCAUUGAUUGAGUCGUGUUGAACUUAUUUUUCUUUAGAAUCAAUUUUAAAUCUCAAAAGUAUUUAGGGUGAUAUGUUUUAGAAUUAGUUUUGGUUUAAAAGCACUAGCUCAAUCACGGUUGCUACAACUUCUUACCUUGGGGACAGGAUUCCACGACUCUCUUAUUUGAAUGAGAGUCCUUAUCUCGGUGCGAUAUACUUUUGCUCUAACUUCCACUUUCUCCUAUUGACUGUGCUCGAACUGCUGGCUAUAACAAAUUGAUGUGGCAUAGCAACGACUGAAAUUGAUCUGAAUGAAGCUUUAAGUGUAGUUCUGGAGCUUCUCCUAUUCCCCGCCUAUACGGAGUGGAGGAAGAUUGUGCAUAGUGUGAUUUUUCUAUCUAUCUAUAACUGCAUACAUUAAAAACUAGACCAUUGCAAUUUUUUUAUUACUAUAUGAUAAUUUUUUUCUUUUUAUUUCUAUAAUUGCUACUAGUCACAUUACAUGGUGCACUUACCAUUUAAAGAGAAUAUAAAACUUCAGAAAUGCCAUCUACCUCAAAUUUCAGUUUAUAUAGAUCUGAGCAAUUGUUUACCCCUAAAUUCAUCCAUGACCACUUCUAUAAAUGCAAUUACUUCUAGAAUCAAUUACCAAAAACAGGGUGGAGUUAAAUAGUUUAAUUGAAAUUUGACAAUUGUAAGAGGUAUCAAGGUAACAUAUUUCUGUGCCUGCCACAUUGUUACCUUGGGUGUUUUAUUUCAGCUAAACAAUUAGUAAUUUACUGAGCCAAUUAAGGAAUUGAGACAUAAGGGAGCCCUCUUUUGGCAACUCUCUCACUUUGGGUGUUAAAAAUGACAUGUGGCAGCAGCAGGUGUAGUCAUUCACUGAAAAUAACUCACAACUUUCAUGGUAGUGACUGAUAAUGACAUUACUUUUAACUUACUUCAAUGCUCUCAAUCCGGUUAACCUACUCAUGGGACAAUACAUGUUCUUUCAGUAAAUAAAUAAAUACAGACCACCUACUCUUAGAGUGUAGUGUUUUUUUUUCACUGUAGAUAUAAGGCCUGAAUUGGUGGAUAAUUUGUUAGUAUUCCUGUAAGCGACCAAUAAUUUAAGAAAAAUGCAUUGACUCAUGUGAUAAUUAGAACCGAAUUCACUAGAAGCUUUCUUUAAUCUAAACAGUUAAAAAAACUUUAAAGAACACACAGAAUCAAACAAAGAUCAUGAACAUUUAAAUCAAACAUGAACAUGGUGGUGGAGGUAGAAUAUGUGGAACUUGGAAGUGUAGCACCACAUCCCUAUACCACAUGGUGCUCUGGCCUGCAGACACAAAACAGUAGAUGAAAGACCAGGCCACAUGGAAAAAAAGGGUGCUCAAUUGUGGCAUUUUUUAUAAUAUAAGAGGCCAAUUACUAAGGACUGUGGGUCACACUGACCUUCACAUGUCCAAAAUUGAUGAUAAAUAAAAACAAUAUGGUUGGAUGGUCUCAUUUUUUGAUCACCACAAAAAUGGUCUCAUUAAUGAACGGUGGAUGUUUGCUUUUGUUUAUUGAGAACUAUGUAUCAAGAGAAUCACAUUGUCAGAACUUGACCCUUAUAGGGCCAUCAAUUAGUGAGAAAUAAUUAGUCGUCAUUAUGUGAUGUAAGGAUUCAGUAUUUUGGGAGGCUUAGUUUAGUUAGUUGAAUUAAUAAAUGAUAUUAUCAAAAUGGAAAAAGUGAAAUUAAGAAAUAUGUAGAAUAUAGGCACACCCUUUCAUUGUGUUUGGUCCAUGAAUGUGAACAUGUUAAGCAGUGCACUUCGAGUUUCUAUUUAUGUCUUUAGAAUGAUUAGCAUAUCUUAAAAGAGUAAGGUGGGUGUGGAAGCAAUUUCUAUGGGCCCUAGAGUUCCCUUCAUCCAACUCUAAUUUCUCUUAAACUUGUUCACAUUCAUUUUCUUUUUCAUUCUAAUUUCAAUUUUUUUUAAUUUUUCUAUUUUAUUUCUAUCACAUUAGUUAUUUCUUUCUUUUAUUUCCUUGCAUUAUGUGAACACAAAUAGAGUUUCAAGUGCCCUCCAUAUUUAUAUAUGGUAGCUGAUCUUUUAAUUUAUGAAAAAUUGAGUCAUAUAUGGCACAGUUACAGCACCAAAAAGACAAUCUGAAAAGUAGAAAUUGAUUAGAGCAAUGUGGACAAUCAUGGACAGAUGCACUUAUCAUAAUCUCUAUUAGCCAAAACUAUUGUCAUUAUUACUCCAUGGUAGGAUGAUCAACCUAAAGUUGCAAGCCAGCAUAUUGUCUCUUUAAACUUCCUUUGAUUUCUCACUGUGGGGCGUGGUACUAAUAAGACGAGAUAACACUCAGUUUGUCCCCUUUCUUUCUUUCUUUACUUUAUUUCCUUUUUUGUCAAUUGAGAUGAAGUUGAUGGCCAAAGCCACUUAUAAAGGUAAUGCCUAUCCCUAAAAAAACAAAAACUCCAUACAAACAGAAGAAAAUGAAAAUCACCACACCACUAAAAACAUCAACUGCCCAUCAUUACAUCCAAAGCCGUCUUAUUUCUUUCAAGCGAAUAUAUAAACAUGGAAAAUGUUGGUAGAUCAGAUCUCAUCGCGUAGACAUUCAGAGUGAGAAAAUAACAGAGUAAAUAAAUAAUUGAUUAUAUAUGUGAUAAAAAUUUAAAAAAAUGUGGAGUAUUUGAGGUAUCUAAGUAUUAUUACUCGUAUUAUUAGAGCCUUAAAGGCAAAAGAAUCCUUGAACGAAUUUAGAGUGUGAGUGUUAGUCAAGGCAUUUUUUAACUUGUGUAACAAAGCAUCUACAUACACCAGUCACCAAACUACAGUUGGUCUCGUCUAGUACAAUGGCUGGCAGCUUUGGGUUGCUUCAAGAUAAAAAUGACACAGGAAUCCUAUUAUUACAAGCAACUAAUUAACGCGAUCUCUCUAUGCCAUUUCCACACACCACAUAAUUAACUGGCCUCAAUGUUUGGUAACCUGAUAAGUGGUCACCUCACUCUUCUAAGCUAGAUUUUAUUUCUCACCACUCUGUUGUGAGCCAUGAUCAGCUGGAAUGUUUUUGUGUCAAAUAUUGCAUGUGCAGCUGAGAAUGAAACUAUAAUGUAGUUAAUAUUUUAUAUGAAAAUGGUGCCCCAAAGAGACCCCUAUGGCAGAUACAACAUGUGAGCUGAUCUGAACCUUCUUUUUGAAGUGCACGUGAAGUUCACCACCACCUGUCUAAUUAAUUUUUGGUAUUAAAAAACUAUCUCAGAACUUGAAACUCUAAAAUUGCAUAAGCGACUUAGCAUCUUAUUAAUAAAUCAUUUUUUAUACACAUUAUUCAAGAUAAAAUUGAGUUAUCUAAUAUUUAAGAAAUUCAACUAUCUAUCUAUUGCGCAUAAAUUUGUUGAUAUUCUCUCUUGUUAACUAAAGUGAUUUCAUGUUGAGCACCGCAUGCAUGAAAGUAAUUCAAUUUGGUCCUAAGUAGUGGUGGGUGGCGUGAAAGGUGGUGUUGGAGUUAGUGGAGGUGGUAGGGUGGCAUAGCAGAGGGUGACCUCACGGUAGUGGGGCACGACAGAGAGCGAUGGUCGAAACUUGUGGUGGUGGCAAGGUGACACCGGAACAGGUGGCAAAGGUAGAGGUGGCAUCGCAACACGACAGAUGGCGCAAAGAGGGCGAUGUCAUGACAAUGAGAAACAAGUGACGUCGCAACAGAACUGGUGGGAGAGGGGGAAGAAGGGGUAGGUGGGAGUUAGGGACAUAGUGAGCUAGUGGCGAGGAAGGGAAGGGGUGGCGUCGUGUGACCUCAUAUGUGGUUUGUUGUGUUUGAAAUACAGACACAAAGAGUAUGUGCACUCUAUCAGUAAAAUAACAUUUAUCGUACCUUAGAAACUAAAGCAUCAAUACUUGAUUUCAAAAGCCUAAUAUGUAUUUUAAUUUUAUUAAUUUAGUUAUAUUUAUUAUUUUAAUUUUGCAUAGUCCUAGGUGGCAGAAAAACAAAUCAUUCGCUUAAGACUAUGCAAAAUCCUUUCAAUUGAAUUCCUUGCAUUCGUCUCGGUCAACGCAAAUCCUUAUCUCAUGUUGUGUCGGACUCAAUUCGCGUGCAGACAAGUGAAUCCUAAUAAUCAACGGAUUAACCUAAUCUUAAACGAAUCUUUUGUUUUUCCGCAACCUGAGUCAUGUAAGAUUCUCUGUCCUCCACAUUUAAGACAUUCGCUUAUGAGGACGCAAAUUCAACACUGAUAUUUGCGUGGGGUGACAUAAAUCUAUCCCCAUCCACCACAUAAGCUCAAAGCUAUCCAAAAUCACAUCAUUGGGGUAUAUAAAUAUUUGAUUUUUUUUUCCUUCUUAAUAAUAAUUAUUUUUUCCGUAUAAUUCAAGAAAAAAUCACUAAUAUUGUUAUAAUGGAAUUUUGAAACUUUUACAUUUACUUUUUCUUCUGGUUACUCUCUCUUCUUUUUCUUCUUACAUCACCUAUUUUGUUAAGAAUAUAUCUCUCACAUGGGAAUUGAGUUUGGUGCCCCACCCCUUAGGCUUUGCACCCCACUUUAUUAAAUACGGAAUUUAAAGUUCCGUAUCAAUACGGAAAAUAAAAUUCCGUAUCUGUUUUAGUAUAUAAUGAGUGGUUGAAAAUGUGACACGCAUGCUUAAAUACAGUACGGAAUUUUAAGUCCCGUAUUCAAUAGGGAGAAUACGGAAUUUUAAAUUCCGUAUUUGAUAAAGUGGGGUGCCAAGCCCCAUAGGUGGGGUGCCAAACCCAACUCCCCUCUCACAUGUGUUUGGUGUAAAUAAUUUAUUUUCCAGUCAUAUAAUAUGAUCCUCCCAACUUCAAUCUCCACCGUAAGAAGAAGAGAUAGUGUAGUUUGCACUGCACAUGGUGAUGGUGUGGUGAGACCAGAGAGAUGAAAGAGAGAAAGAAAGGUUGGUUUAUCUGGCAAGGCUCAUGGUUACGUAGGGAGAGGGCAUUAAUGUCAGAACAAGAAACUGUCACUGAAUUUUCCCAUUAAAGAACAUUACAGCCGACAGAGACAACAUGGGCAUUAUGGUAAUAUAAAAACUGGUCGGUUAACAAGUCUCUUCACUUGUGUUCAACGUCCCUCACCACACCACACCUCACCUUGGAACACAGAACUCACAAACCAAACCAAACUUUACAUCAUUGGAUAAAAGCUAAGCAACAAACAAAACCAUUUGUUAAAGACAGAGCAUCUAUCUUCCUCUGUUCUGUUCUGUUCUGUUUUUGCUCUGUUCAGAUUCUCUCUCUUUUUGUGUCCCUCUCCUACCCCAUCUUCUUCUUCUUGCUUCAAAGGACCACUUUGCUUUCAAUAACCCAGUUUUGCAUUUGGGGUUUGCCUCUUGAAUUGAGAGAGAAAUCAAAAAGUGUUUUUUAAAGAAAAAGUUGAUGACUUGGAAAAGCAGGGGAGAGGCAUCUUCUAGAAACGUUAUACACCAGAGAUGGGCACUUUUCUUGUGCCUUGGAAGCUUCUGUACUGGGAUGCUAUUCACUAAUAGGUUCUCAAUUCUUCUUCACUUUAUCCUGUUGAUGAAUUUCUCAUCUUUUUAAUUGAUAAUUGAUCAUUUCUUCUUAGUUUUUCAAUGUUUGAUGAUUUGUCCAGUUUCUGAGAAUAAGUUCAAGCUGAAUUAGCUUUUCCAAUGAUUUCUGAGUUGUGGUUUAUCUUCAGUUCAGUGUUCUUAGAUCUUCAUGAUGCCUGGUUGCUACUUUCUAUGAUUAAUUAAUAGUUUGAUUUAUUAGUGGGUUUCAACUUUCAAGUGCUUAGUUAAUUAAUUAAUUAAUUUAUUAAUCAUCCACCUAUGGGUUUAGAUCUGGAUUCAAUUAUCAUGAAAUGAUUGUAAAUCAUUCAAAUUUUCAGUUUAACAUUCCAUUCUACCCAGUAUGAUGACUCUUAUUGACAAGUCAGCUCUGGUGUCUGGAAUUAACAGCACUUCAUCUGCCCUCAAUAUCUGUCAUUUUGUUGAACAUUUAAUUCCUGGUCCAGUUCUAGUUACUGAUUUUUUAUGAAUCUAUCCGCAAGUUUAAUUGAUGUAGUUGUUGUAAUUUAUGCUAUAAUUUAGUGAGGUAGUUAUUGUGGUACUUUUUCUGAUGAGAAAUGUUAAUUUUUCUUACAGGAUAUGGAGUGUUCCUGAAUCUAAAGGACUUGCAAGACCAACAGCUACAGAAGCUGAUCAAUUGAAUGUAGUUUCAGAGGGUUGCAAUUCGAGAGUUGUAAGCAUUGGUUUCAUUUCCAAUCCAUACUUUUAAUAAAUCUAAAUAAUCAUGUGGUAGUUAUCAAAAGAAGUAUAUCUUGAAGACUUGAACCUUUUCAAUGUUUAUCACCUGAAAUUCUUAUGCUGUUUUUUAAUGUUUGUUGGCCUCCCUUUUAGUUGCAAGAGAUGGAAAUGAAGCGCGAAUAUAGUGAAGAUUUCAAGAGUCAUAACUCCAUACAGUAAGUUAUAUGCAUAUUUGAAAAUCCUUCUACAGUUGUUUCUAAAAUCAAAAUCAAUUAUGGGGAUAAGCUUCUGUAUGUAGCUUUUGGUUGUCAGAAUUGAUUCUGAGGAAAUAUAAGCCGGUUGUAGUUGCAUGUUGUGAUUGUAGUUUGUAGUGAAAUUAUUUGUGUUGUUUUGAAUGCCAAACUUAUGGGGAUGUAUUGAAUGUAGAAAUUUGGACAAGACUAUUUCAAAUUUAGAGAUGGAAUUGGCUGCUGCAAGGGCAACUCAAGAGUCUGUAAGAAGUGGUGCUCCUGUUCCAGAAGAUAUAAGGAUUAGUGAUCAGUCACCGCGUAAGAGAAAGUACCUUAUGGUGAUAGGUAUUAAUACUGCAUUUAGCAGCAGGAAAAGAAGAGACUCGGUUCGGGAAACCUGGAUGCCGCAAGGUUUGAUCCCAUUUCUUAAUAUUUUUCUGUCAUGAACUUAUGGUUUUUAAUGCUAUUCUUUCUAUUUUAGUAGUUAAGGUUUGUGAUGAUUGGUUCUUUUGAUAACAUUGAAAAUAGGUGAGAAAAGAAAGAAGCUAGAAGAAGAGAAGGGCAUUAUCUUCCGCUUUGUAAUUGGACAUAGGUAGCUUAUCUUCUCUCUUUCAAAGAUAUUGUUGCAUAAUUGGUGACUUUAUCAUUAUGAUGAUCAAAAUGCUUUGAUGGAAGUUUAUACACACAUAUCCACAUAUAUAUCAGAAAUAACUCAAAUAUAUUGAACAGAUUAUAAAUUUGAUAUGAAUUUUUUCUUCUUCAUCUAGUGCUACAUCAGGAGGUAUUCUAGACAGAGCUAUUGAAGCAGAGGACAGAAAGCAUGGAGAUUUCUUGAGGCUGGUAAUUUGACAUAUAUGAUCCUUUUUGUUUCAGUGCUUCUUCCCUGCUCCAUGUCCCUUUUUUCAUUUUUUCCCCACGGCUUUUGUAAUUGCUUGACAAUGCCAUAACUUUUGAAGUGAAAAGGAAAAAUAGCACACGUGUUUAGGUCCUUAUACUUUGUUUUGUUUAUGCAGAAUCAUGUUGAAGGAUACCUUGAAUUGUCCGCAAAGACAAAAACAUACUUUGCCACCGCUGUGAACUUAUGGGAUGCUGAUUUCUAUGUCAAAGUUGAUGAUGAUGUUCAUGUAAAUAUAGGUAUUAAAAGUCUUAAAAACUCUGAUAUUCUAUAACUAUACACAUAAAAGCAUGAGGAAUUGGCAUUUUGUAAUACUAGAAUAAUAUGAAAACUCCAUCAUAUACAUCUUAGAUCUGUACCAAUUGGUCUUUUUUCUAUGCACUUUCUGUCUUAAUAUCCUAUUCAUUCUGUUUCAGCAACACUGGGGGAAACUCUAGUUAGACACCGAUCAAAGCCGCGGGUAUACAUUGGAUGCAUGAAAUCCGGUCCUGUCCUAUCCCAAAAGUGAGAAAUGAUGUUCUUCUUUUCUUCAUCUUUAUUCAAUUGAAGAGUUAAAACUCUUCCACUCUUCCACUUUUAGAUUCUUACAUGCCUACAUUGUUUCACAGAGGGGUAAGGUAUCAUGAACCUGAGUAUUGGAAAUUUGGCGAAUCUGGAAACAAGUACUUCCGCCAUGCCACAGGGCAGUUAUAUGCCAUUUCAAACGAUUUGGCAACCUACAUAUCAAUGAACCAGUAAGUCCUACUUCAUUUGGCAACAUAGAUAUCAAUUAUUAAGUGCAUGUUUGAAAUUCACUUUACGAUUGAUUCUAAAGUCAAAAUUAAUUAUGGGGAGAAGCUUAUGUGAUUAGAUUCUCGAUGCCAGAAUUGAUUCUAAGAAAAUAUAAGUUGAUUCAAAUAUGAUAUAAAUGAAAUUAAAUAAAUAGACUAAAAGGGUGGUGCUUAUGUUUUGUGCUCUUGUACUUAUGUAUACAUGUUUAUCUCAGGAAUGUUCUUCACAAGUAUGCCAAUGAGGAUGUGUCACUAGGAUCUUGGUUUAUUGGACUUGAUGUGGAGCAUAUUGAUGAUCGAAGACUUUGCUGCGGCACUCCUCCAGGUGAAUCUAUUAAUUAUGUUGGAAAUCUUUCUACAAUUAAUUCUAAAGCCAAAAUCCUUUCUGGAGAAGCUUUUCUAUGACUAGCUUCUAUGUGCCAAAAUUGAUUAUGAGGAAAUAGAAGUUGAUUCUGUUAGGUUUGUUUACAACUCGUAAACAUUUUCAAGUUACUGAGUUGGUUACUCUUGCAGAUUGUGAAUGGAAGGCCCAGGCAGGCAACAUUUGUGUUGCUUCAUUUGAUUGGAGCUGCAGUGGAAUAUGCAGGUCAGCUGAUAGGAUUAAAGAGGUACAUAGGAGGUGUGGGGAAGGUGAGAAUGCUUUGUGGAGUGCCUCUUUCUAACUCAGGAAGAUUACUACCCCAGAAAGAAAGCAAGCCUGCAAGAUUUUUUUUCUUUUUUUCCAUAUUUUUGUCCAGUAUAUAGAUGUAUCAAUCAUUUUAUAAGGAGUGAGAGAGUGUGUGAGGGAGAGAGGGAAUGGUUGCCCCCAUGGACCUUCUGCAAUUUUAAGAGGAGAUUGACCAUGGUAGCACUAGCCAGAAGAGGACACACAUGGUAUAGUCAACAUUCAUUCUUUGAUGCUUGAAGGGUCAUUCUGUUUGUUAAUAGUUCUAUGGCUUUCAAGUUUCAAGCUCCUAAUAAAGAUAUAAUGGGUGGCUUUUGCUACCCUUCUUUGUGCCUGAAGUUUUUUUCUGUUUUGGUUGAAAUGACUCUUAAUGAUCUCUUAGGCUAUGUUUGGAUAUCUUUUUGCAUUGCAAACGGACAAAAAAUGAACGAAACCUAUCUCAUAAAUUAAGAUGAAAGUUUGUUUCUUGCACUCAAUUGGUAUCUAAGCACACUUAUUUUAUGAUUGGCACUUGAACUAUAUUCUAGCGAAGUGGACAGCUCUAUCGGAUUAUAAUGCUCACAAAAACUUCACAUGAUAAUGUCAUGUUGAAAAUUUAUAUUUACCUCUCAUUUCAUACAUAUUAAAUAAGUGAAACCUUCUCAAUAUUUAUAAAGAGAGAUAAAUAUAAAAUUACACUUGACACAAAAAGAUCCUAAGCCCAUCUUUUUUUUUGAACACCUAAGCCCAUCUCUAUUGUAUAAGAAAUUCAACUAGAGAAAAAAUAAAUUAAAAUGAGCUUCAAAACCUUGUGACAGAUCAUACUUUUUAACCAGUGUAUUAAAAAAAAAUUCAUAAACCAUGAAAUAGUAUGGACCACUUCCAUACAUAUAUAAAAUACAAUGAUCCCACAUAUCUAAAAUUUCCAAACACUAAAUCAGUUUAAGCAAUGAGAUGCUAUUUUAUGAGAAUGCUUUAAACCAAUGUAAUCAAAGUAAAGGUAAACCCUUGAUAGUCAAUCUUAUUGUGCCAAACUUAUUUGUAUAUUAUAUCUGUAAGAGGAAGACCAAUCUUGGAUCUUUUCAAUGGACAGGCCAAAGGAAUGUUAAAUCUUUUUUUUGAUAGGCAAAGGAAUGUUAAAUAAAUUAAUCCUGGUUCAUGGGUUAUUGUUAAUUUGGUAUGUAGUUGAAAAUUGCAACCUAAUGAUUUGACCAUAACAUGAUGCAUGUGGUUGGGUGGGAUUCCCUAGUUAAGAAGGGUCAUUGUGUUUAUGGGUCAACGGGAAGAAAAGUUCAAAGUACUAGGAGUAUUAAUUAAUCAAAUCAAACAAAUUGGCCAGGGUUUGCAUAUUGGAAAUUUCAUCUCGGACGCAAUGCAAGAAAAUGAAUGGAGCAUUACCUAAUUAAAUAAAAACAUUGGUGGAGAAAAAUGUAAGAAACUAUAUGUAGCUGGUUUCAAUUCUAGAUACGGCUGACAUCAGAAUAAACGAACCAGGGAUUUCACUCUUCUAAAGUGAAUGACUCAUUUUAAAUGAUAAAACAAGUUAUUAUAAUUAUUGACUGAGUUGUUUUAUUGAUUUUUCAAAACAGAUAACUAUUAUUAAUGAUAAAGCAGACUCACUUUACAGCAGCUAAAUCUCAUUUUAAAAUAAAAAUAAUAGAAUGAAACUCUUCUUAUGAAAGUACUAUAUUUUAUUUUUAUUUUACAUGAAAAAAUAAUGCAAAACAAUUACAUUAGCAAGCUGCGGUAUAGAAGGUGCAUGCAUAACAUUGGAAGGCAGAAACUUCUAUAAGCAAUAACAUUCAAACACACUAUUAUUUCUGAAAAUAUAAUGGAAAAAGACAAAGGGAAUAGGCAAGAAGGCACAAAUGAGGCAAUAGGUAGAAAAGUUUUCCAUUGAUUGUGUUUAGUACAAAAAUUCAUUGCAGUGAGUAGCAGAAUCAGAAUACAUGUCCAGAGACCAAUAUUGAAUAAUUCUGUCAUAGGAGCUGUACUGUACCCAAGUUGUACUCAAAGCCUUGUUUUAAAACAAACUACUAUAAUCAUUACAUAUGUGUUUUAAGCAACUUCAGUUCUGUGUCUUACUCUGAGGAAAUUCGUGCAAUGUGCCAAAAAGAGGUAAACUCAAGUUAAGAUGGGGAAGGGUGAAUAAUGAUNNNNNNNNNNNNNNNNNNNNNNNNNNNNNNNNNNNNNNNNNNNNNNNNNNNNNNNNNNNNNNNNNNNNNNNNNNNNNNNNNNNNNNNNNNNNNNNNNNNNACCAAAGAAAUAAAACCCGCAACCAUAUACCACAAGUUUUACACAAAUAUGAGUUCAAAAAAAAAAGUUUUACACAAAUAUUUAAUUAGGUUUCACCGUUUUAUCAUAUCAUGGAAAAAUUAAGAUAAUAUGUAUAUAUAAUGAAAAAAUAUAAUUGUACAUCUAAGUUACAUCCUUCUGAAAACCAAAGAAAUAAAACCCGCAACCAUAUACCACAAGUUUUACACAAAUAUGAGUUCAAAAAAAAAAAGUUUUACACAAAUAUUUAAUUAGGUUUCACCGUUUUAUCAUAUCAUGGAAAAAUUAAGAUAAUAUGUAUAUAUAAUGAAAAAAUAUAAUUGUACAUCUAAGUAAAACUCUUUGUGUAUAAUGAAUUAAUGAUUAAAUUUGUAAAACUAAUUUUCUUAACCUACUUUGAUUCAGCACUUUGUCACAUAAAUAAGUGGUUGAGUGUUCGAAUUUCACCUCUUGAUAAUAGAAAGAAAAAAAAAUUCAUUGGACAAUCUUUUAUCGUUUAUUGCACUGACCACAUGACGAUUGAUUAGGCUCACGCAUAUAAGCUGUGGAAUACCUUGAUAAAAAAGAUAUCAAAAGUUUUCUGAAAAAAAUAACGGCAAUGUUAGAGAUGAAUUGAUUUUGGGCUUACACAGUUUAUUGUAGGGCUUUAUGGCCGAAGUGGGAACUUCAAGCCUCGCAAUAAAAUGAAACAAUUGACCAAAAAAAAGCCUCCCAAUAAAAUGAAAAACACAUCCCUAUGUUUUUUUUUAAAAUAAAGUCUCCCUGUGUUUAGGCUAAAUUUGAUAGUGCUCCGUAAUAGUUAUAUUAGUGACAAAAAUGUGUUAAUUGGAUCAAAAUCCUCUCAAUUUGUAAAAAAGCUUGACUAUGUUAAAUUUCACCAUGGCAUAUCGUUCAAAACAAAUGAGACACAUUGCUAACUAUCAAAAUAAAAAUAAAAAUGAAACACAUUGCUAGAUUUUCAUUUCUCAUGAAAAAUGUAAAAUUUAAAUGGUGUGCUCACUGCAGCCAUUAAAAGUAAAACAUAUGCAUUUAAUUGGCAAAUUUUAGGAAAACUCUUAAUUUUAAUGUAGAAUAGAUUUGUUAUAAAAGAAAGGUUAAAAAUGAGCUUUUAAAAAAUGGUAAAUCCCAGAAAGAUGGAAGAGUAGGUUAGAGAACUUUUAAAAAAAGUGAAGUGAAAAGAAAAGAAAAGGUAAGAAUUUUGAAAGCACAUUAUGACACAAAUAUAGAGAAAAUUAAAUGCGCAGAAAUUUAACAGCUUUAUCAGAAUAAAUUUAAUACUUAUGCUCUUUAUUCAUUAAUAUAUUAACUACUCUUUCAAAAAAAAAAAUUGAAUACAUUAACUACAACACCAACAAGUAAUACUUUUGUUUUUGAAGUGAACAAGUAAUACUAGAAUUCCACGAUUAGAGGAUAAAAUAAGUAAUUGUGGUAGUUGAUUGAAAAAUCAGGUUGUAAUCACAUAUUUGUGUAGCACACAUGGUUUUCUAUAAAUCUCAACCAUUAAUUACUCAAUCAAAUCAACAGUUGUGAUAACUUAUUUCACGUUCAGACUCAUUUUGGAUAAGCCAAAUCAUGGUACCUGAUUUCCCCAUAAAUAAAUUGUUCUUAAGUAAGCAAUUACUAAAAUCCUAUCUUUGAAGACAGUGCUGUGCUGCCUUUGAAGUCUUUGCUUCUUACAUUCAAGCUUUUUAUGUUUAAAUCUUAGAUGUCGAUACCUUGAUAUGUAUAGAAACAGAUUUAUGAAACGUGCUUGUGUUGAAAAGCAGAGAAUAAUUCAUUCAAUAAAAAACAGAAGCAGAGAGAUGAAAGACAGUCAUACAGAGAAUGCUUAAAGAACUGCACAAGGCUUCCACCCUGUAUCUACUCUGCAUCAAACUUUAUUAGCCCUAAAAUGUUGUGCAUAUAUACAUGAUGGUUAUACAAAUAUAAACAUGUUUGAGUUCACGUUUAAAUCUUCCAGAAUCAAUUCUCUGUUCACAAAAGUUACUAGAAUUGGCUUCUCAAAAUUACUUCUCUGCCAUGAAAGAGUUUCCAAACACGCUAAAUAUAUUCACAUACUAAACAUGCUUCACAGGCCUAAAAUAUUUCCUGAUAUAUAACUUCUGAAAAAGAAUAAUGAAUGAAAAAUGUAGUUAUUUAGAAAUCAAACACAUGACAUAACUAGAAAAGGGUAAAAUAAAAAGGCAAGAAACUCUGUCAAAGAAGAACAAAAGACCUAAAAGAAAAUCAAAAAUAAAACCAGAAUGUUCAAGAGGACAACCUGAAUAUACAUAUCUUCUUUGCAUAAGAAUGCAAACAGAAAAACACCACCUUUGAAACUUUUGAUUAGAAGCUUUCAAGGGUGUGAAGAGCACAAUGUCUCAUGAACGUGAUAUUGGCACGGCUCAAUCAAAAAACAAAGCUCCAAACGUUUCGAGCUUUGCUUUCUUAUUGAACCGGACCAAUAUCCCGUUUUUCUCCUCUACCCUUCAAUGCCAUUGCCACCACCAUGCUUUGCCUUAACCUUCAAAAAGCAUAACAUAACAAAGCAUCAAGUUAUUGCAAUUGAGUUAACAAAAAUUCAAAAGGGUCACUUUUCCCUUAUUCCCAACAAUGUAACAUGCAUAAUUUCAUACAUCUAAGUGAUAGUGAUCUAUGAAUGGAGAAGAAACAAGACAUGUUGAGAGAGAGACAGAGAAAGAUAAAAACACUCUGAUUCUGAAGUCACAAGGUAACUUUAAAGAAGGUAUAUAGUGAAGAGAGCAAGAAAUAUGGGUGGUGAUGGGUAGCAUUGAAGGAGUUGCAUUAAAUUCUCAACCACCAAGCAACUGAGGAAGUUGGAAUAUUAAUUUAAAGAGGUACAGGAAUCGUGAAAAAGCUCAGAGGAGACAAAUCUGUAGCUUUAAAUGUGGUGCAUUUAUGGAUUAUGGGGGGGAUGUUGGUUCUGUUCAAUCAGCAUUUAUGUGUAUCAAACAGUGAAAAAGAACAACAAACAACCCUUGUUUGCUUUGCUUUCUUUAAGGGUUUUAUUUCAUCGUAGCCAUCAUUCAUGCCCAACCUCUCAUGAGGCACUUCGUAGGUUCAGUGAUUCCUUUCUUCCCACUACAAUUGAUGCAUUUGCUUGCUCACAUCCAAUUCUUUGCUAGAAAUGAAGGUAAAUUGAUGAUUAUGAUUCUGAGCAUGUGAACUAGUUGUGCCAAAACUAGCUAAGCAAUGUAUGGUCUUUUUGGUUUAAAGUUUCUUUUAGUUAUGCCUUGUUAGCUUUAAAUUGGGAAAUUUUAUAAUGAAAUAACAGAAUCAUGAAACUCUCUACAUGCUUAUUCAUGGGUGUCUCCUGCUAACAAUGGGCAAGCUAGAUCCCUAUAAGAAUGAGGAUAUAAGUACAAACUCUAGAAAAGUCAUUUCUUAGGAGGAAUUGACCCAGUUUUUCGAACGAAUAUACACAUGUAAAAUCGCAAAAAAUAAAAAUUCAUAGGUAUUUGUUUGCUACUUGAUUUUUUUCUAUUGUCAAGGUAUCUCCACAUUUAUCCGCCAUGAGACAAAUCACCUUGAGACUCAAACAUCACAUUAAAUGAUCGGUCUCUUCCAACAAAAUCAUUCUUAAUAGAAACCGCUCAGAAAUCGAACAGUCAAUUAAAUACUCAAGGAGUCAGGCACUCAGGCUUCUAUCAGUUGUGUUGGGACUUGGGACUUGUUGGCUGCUACUCAUUUAAUUAUAAAGAAAAUAAUCAUUUUUUUUAAAGUCCCCACAAAAUUCACAAGUGUGUAUAUUCUAAUAAACUUAAUUAAAAUGUUGAAAUGUCAAUAUAUAUGAAUUGAGAUGAGUUAGGAUACCCUGACUUGAAUAAUUUUUUUGAAAGUGUACAUGCCUUGUUAGAUGACCAAGAGCAAUACAAAUUCAAAAUCACCUUAGGGUUUGUUUGAGUGCGCGUUGGAGAAAAAACCGCAUAUUUCCCACAACUAUAACUUGGAGCGUUGAAACAUACAGUUUGGGAGCAACCCCAAACAAGCACUUAGUAUUUUGAGAUACUAAAAACGGGCUGAUGCUUAUAGAAAGCUAGCUUUUUCGAUGAGGAAUCUUGAAAUAAUCUAUAGUGCAUGAUUAUUAAAUUUUACUAUUACUAAGAGCAGUGUAGCACUAUUCCCAAAAGAACAAAAGGAGCUUUGACUAAUUGUUGAUUUUGCUCGCUAAUGAUUUUCAAAUAAGUGGGUUAGGACAGAAAAUUGACAUGCUAAUAUAUCUGUGUCAACUUAAGAAUAUAAAAUAUUGCAUUAUUUUAGUGGUAUUGUGUUUAAUUUUACUGAAAAUCUGGUCGGCACUAUGGAUUGUUAAAGGAAAUGGUGUGGGAAACAGGUAGGUUGAUUUUGAGAUGUUAGUGAUGUAUAGCUUUGUUCAAGAUAUAAAAUUCCUUGAUUUUAUGCCCACGUUUUUAUUCGUGUAAACUUGUUUUAGUGCAUUAGUGCAGGUUUUAAAUUACAAUGAACUCAAAAUUAUAGUGAACCGCCUCAAAAGUUAAGAUAUUAUUUUUGUCCAUCAUAAUUUUUGCUUGUUGUGAUUUUACAUUGUCUAUUUAAACAUGUACUAUAUAUACAUCAAGUUUGAAUAUGGGGUCAAAUCUCUUAAUAUCACUAUCUCACCCAUAAAAAUUAUUUGGUAGUAGCUUAAUCAGAAUCAUUUCUCUAUCAAAUGUGGAAAUUUAUAGGAUUUCUAAAUUCAUGCAUAGUAUGUUUGGUUUGACAUAUAUCACACAAAUCAAAAGCACUUCUUCAUAAAACACACUUUUUAACUUACUUUUGUAAGUGAUUAUGGGGUUCCAACCAAAUUAAUCAAACACGUACACAUAAUUUUUCACCAUGUCAAAAUAAGCUUUUGAAAUGUAGUUUUUUGUGACAAUACUUACAAGUCACUGGAAAAAAAAAAAUUACACUAGUCGUACAUGAAAAUUAUACUCUUUUGUAGUGGCAAAAUUUGAAAUUGAGCAACAUGUUUGUACAUAUUUUUGUCAACUCAACUCAAACCGCUUUUCUUUACAUGAAAGUUACUUGUUAACUUCCUCAUAAAAUUACUUCUUCCCAUGGGAAACUUAUCAAUAUUUAUUACAAGGAAUAAAAAACAAGCUACUCACAAUAGUUUUCUAAGCUCACCAUUAGAAAUGUUGCAGCAAACAUACCCAUAAUGUCUUACUAGAAUUGAUUUAAAACUCAAAAUGAGUUGCAAAAAUUAAACCAAACACAUCAGGAAUGGUAGCCACAAACAAGGACAACACAGAGUGGGUCUGUGUGCUUGAUACUUUGGAUCCAUUAUUCCAUAUAUUAGGAAUUAUUGAUGCACCCAUAUAUAAUAUUAGUAUAGUAGUUAGCCACAACAUGUGAGAAGGACUAGACCAGUCCAUUAAAUAGUUCUGCUGCGUUCUCUUGAUGAGAAGGCAUAUAUACACAUGAGGGAAUAAAAUUUCCUACAUUUAAAUUUGUCAUGUGUACAUUAACGUUACCUGUAGGCAAUAAACAGUAUGCAAAACCUACCCACUACACUGUUUCAGUUUUCUGUUGUGUAAUCGGGAUCAUUUUCUAGUUUUGGGUGAUGGCUAUCGUGGUGCAAGGAUUGAUUGGAGCUCUCUUUUUUUGUUUUACGGUUUGGGGUUUGGGUAGGUGUGUCUUUUUAUUGGGGGUGGGCAUGAGUUUUGUUUGGUUGGUUGCUGGAUGGGUAUUUUGGUGUGUGCUGGCUUCAUGCUUUUGUUGUGCUCUAGUUGCUCAAGCUUUUGCAUGCUAGUCUUCUAGAGUGUUUUGUUUUGGCUGUAAUUUUUUCCUGGUUUUUCUUUUCUUUGUAUUUGGGUUUAGCACCCAAUACAAUAUUUGGCCUAUAAAAAAAACACAACAAAUUAUUUUAAUUAAAUAAACAUAUAAACUGAUCAAAUAAACUAUAAUUGAACAUAAAUGACUUUCUGAAAACACUCUUCCAACACAGUAUUCAUUGAGAAAAUGCUCAACUUCAAGAAACUUUUUGUAAAAAACAAUAGCAUGGAACUAACAUCAUACUACUUUAGUGCUAAAAAAACAUCAUACUACUUUAGAGCCAAUUUGGAUACCCGUUAGAAAGUAUGAAAACAGGUAUCGAAACGAGCUCUUCGUUUCAAGGACCUUAUCAUGUGCGACCUGUUUUGUGAUAUUCAUCAUAGAAAAAAGAAGUCUAAUUGUAAAAUGCAUUUUACAUCUUCAAAGGGAGUAAAUUGCAAGUUGGUUCAUGAGUCUCAAAAUGAAGGUAAAUAAAUGAAAAGGGUACUUAUUGAAGACCAGAAGACUAAUACAUAAACAAAAUCAAUUGUAAGUCAGAUGAAAAAUUUGACUAGGAAGAUUGCAAUUCUAGAAUCCCCUGGGUUCAAUUUAUCAGUAUAAAUGAACCAAAACCUUCAUCCUGAUAAACUUUAGUUUCAACAAGGCUUUGUGAUUAUUUACUCCGGACUUUAACUUGCAAACUCCAGUUAACCUUGCCCUCAGGCAAAGGGAUGGACCUGGGUAAACGCAGUGGAACCUCAUAUUCUCCCACGGUAGAUAAUGGUGAUGGAAGAUGCAGGUUUUCAGGUGCAAUGUUUACACAGAGUUGUCUUGCCACCUGAAAAUAGCACCACAUUUCAAAGUCAAUACCAGAAAAAGAAUGAGCGGGAAAAGGAAAUUGACCUUUGACAUAUCUGAUAUUAUUGUGAUGCAUUAGAAAAAGUUUAUGAGUUUAUCUUAUUACAUAAGGACUUAAGUGAGGCUUAACCAAACCUUGAAAAUAGCUUAUAACCUACCUAUAAGCAACAAGUGUUUGGUUAAUUUUAUGAAAAUAGCUUACAUCCUACAUUUUUUUUAUAGGCCAAGUCAUUGUAUUCAAAACAGCACAAUGGCAUGUUUAUGGGAAGGAAAAGAAAAACAAGUAAAACAUAGUGACUGGAAAAUCUGAAAUUAAUUGAUUUGAUGUAAUUAGAAGACAUACCUUAACCCCUAUUGAUAGGAACAUUAAACUCCAAACACUAAUUAAAUAAGAAAACAAAUCAUGAAAUAUGGAAAACAUUCUAAAGAAUUAAUCUAAGGACUCUUAAAUAUUGUAAUGUAUAAAAUAAUAUUAUGAAAGUUCUCAACCUAUUCUAAUAUGAAUCAUUAUGUAUUUCAAGUUUCAAAGAAUAAAAGCAAGAAAAGCACAUUAGCAAAUGACACAAACUUCCACUACACAUUUUCACUUGGCAGGAACCUCCAUUGAAGAAAUUGGGUUGGGAAAGGUGAAAUCGAGCUGCUGGUACAGCUGCUUCGCUGAAACCAGCUUGUGUUGGGGUUUAUAUAUGAAAAGGAAAAGUUGACCUAGCUUGAUGGAUCACUGAAUUUGGACUCGCAUACCUCAUUCCUCCGUCAGCAACCCCACACUUAAUUUCCUUCGAAUAUGAGGUAAUUCAGCUAAUUGGUAACCCAAGUUAAUAAGCCUAAAAUUUGGCACAGUACGAGGGGACACAUGAUGAAGACAUAGAGGGAAGAAUUAGUUAUAGGAAAUGAAAAAGAGCGAGAAGAAGAGGGGAUAGAGCGCAGAAAAAGUUAUUCGCAAUAGGGCGUAGAAAAAGUUAUUCACAGCGCAUUCAGCUACUGUGUUGUUUAGAAUCUCAGUUCUGAGAAUUGACAGAUUUAUAAUGUGGUUUCAUAUUGCUUUUCCAUACUUGUAUUUCUUUCCAAAUGAAAUUACAUACUAUCACUAAAUUUGGGAAGUUCAUUUCCUUAAGUAGUAUUUGCACAAGAUUGGAUGAUUGUUUCUCUGAAAUCUAAAUCUACAAGCAAAUCACAUGGCCAACAGGCCAAGAAAGUUUCUCCUGAAGCAUCAAAUACUAGUUGCAACUUGCAAGUAUUUCUUUUUAACACACUAUAUACUUAUUUCUAAAUUUGUUUGUUAGUUACAACGAAGAACACAUUAAAAUUAAGAAGAAAAAAUAUUACCUCAGCCACAAGUACUUCUUUUGUCACAGGUAAUCGUAUUUCCAAGGGUUCAUCUUUUGAUGCACGUGCCUUAGCUUUUUUAACAUCAAUUAACCUCCGCAAGACCUAUUAGAUGAUCACAUUCAAUUCAUAUUAAAAUAACAAAUAUUAAUGGGUGAGUUUUGACAUGAAAGACUAUCAAAAUAUCAAGUAAAUGUUUCUAGAAAAAUGCUAGCAACACUGACUUUAACACUCAUUAAUUCGUUAAAAUUCAUGUGGGAUCCAAUAAAAAUAUGGGGCCCCACUGCCAAUUUAGUGGGAUCCAUAUGAAUUUCAACCAAUCAAAGAUUGUUGAAAAUAGAGUGUUAGAGUGAGUGUUGCUAGCACUACUCAUGUUUCUAUUAUACCACUCUAACAGAAACAAUCUUGGGGAGUAUAUCAGAGUCAUAGUUUUGAAAACCAAACCAAAAUGGCAAGUUAAAUUUUUAUCUAACUUAGAUAUUAGUUUACUACUUAACAUAUUAUAUAAGAGUCAAGAUCCAAUACCAUCAAAUGUAAGUCUCGGUAUGCUUACACCACCUGAUAAUUUUUAUUGUUGAAUUGAAAGUUCUCAGGAAGUAGAUCAACUUUAUAAAAUUUCAUACAAAUCUAAAACUACUUUAUAUUCCACCACACCACUAUAUUUUAACAUAUAAUAUGCUACUUAAAAUAUAUAAACAAAAUUCUAUUAGAUUACAUAUCAAUGAAAACCUAAAUUAUCUAAAACUUUGAAUACAUGAUCAUCAAGAGAAUUUAACAUGGUUCAAUUGCCGGUUUACCUAACUCUGAAUUCUACAAAAAGUUACUCGAUGAUAUAACUGUUCAACACUUAAACCUAUUGUCAGUGGAUCGUAACUCAUCAUUAAUAUUUAAAAUAUAUGAUUAAUCGUCACCAGUUCAACUAUUUGAGAAGGCAAAUAAUUUCCCCAAAAAGGAUAGGAGAAAUAGUUCCAAACAGAAAUGAAAAGCUUUGAAGAGUAAGCUACAAACCAGCUUAGCCUUAUCAAGACGAAGUGCGGCUGCUUCAUACUCUUUCAUCAGAUCUUCCUUUGACUCUUUAACUACAGUAACGUCUUCUUGUUUUUCUUCUUCAGUAGGUUGAUAAAUCUGAAGUCUCAACAAUUGUAGAAGACAGAGUAAGUUAUGAAGACUGGCUAUGUGAGUAUGCAAAUGUUUAUGUGCCAAGCAAUGUUGACAAUAUGGGCUGCGCCCACAUUCAGAUAAACACAAAAAGUAAAGGAAAAGGAUGCACUAUUGUCAUAUCAAGAACUUAAAAAAGUUAUUCUAGAAGAUAGAAAAAUGCAGAGAACUGAAAGUGGUAGAUAGCAUAGAUGAAUAAGAAACAGAGAUCAAUGGCAUUGAACAACCAAUAGCAUAGAUGUGUAAAAUGAGACUAAUGAAAGGAUGAAAAACCUUGCGCUGCUCAGUGAGGAGAUAAGCAAACUUAUCAAUGUUAGGGACAGCGAGGAGCUUGGGCAUUAGGUGGUUGCGAAAAUAUCCAGGAGCAACCUUGACCGUAUCGCCUGCCUUUCCAAGCUUAUCUAUGUCCUAUAAAUUAGAAAUUGAAAAUAUCAGAUAUUUGAAUAAAAUUUUAUCCCAGUAAUUAAACAUUAGGAGUCAAGAUAGAUAAUUACAGUUGUAAGGAUGACUUGGAGCUUCCUGUUGUAUCGAAGUCCUUGAGACGCAUACAGAAGUGGGUUUACGACAGCACUAUUAGAACUGGAAUCUCUAAAUCUGAUGAUCUGCCUAACACCAAGUCUUCCAUAUUGAAGAUAACCCAUUCAGAUUCAGUCACAACUUUUCUCUGUCAAGAUUGAAAACAAACAAUUAUCAGUAUCAAACCAACAAAUUCCAUUUCUUCGAAUAGAUGGAAAUGGAUCAAAAAGUAGGAUAGAAAAGGAAAGUUUAUAGACAGAAAUGAGAUACAUAAGAGAUACAAGAAAAAAGAUACGAAAAUAUGUAUAUGCAGAUUCCUCCAAGUGUUUGAGAGAUUUGGGCUCUCCUCCCCAUAUUUUACUCCAAAAGGACCAAAACCAAAGACCCUUAACGAUUUAUUCCCUCCUAUUACUUAUACUCUGUAGAUCUCUAAUAGAAUUGGAAUAUAAAAGAAUAUUAUGUAUUAUUGUAAUGAGUCUUCAAUCCCUAACUUGUGUACCUGUGGGGUAACUGAACAGAGACAAUAAGAAUGAAUAUAGUAGUAUGCUAGGUGUUCAUGAGACUUAGAGCUCUCCCACAAAAAUAAAUUAAAAAAAUCUAAGCAUAUACAGAGACAGAGAGAGAUCGUGAAAAAGGGCAAUGAAGGUUCAGAUUGCUUGCAUGUUUGCUCGUACCUUGUUGUUGGUUGAUGAGGAUUGAGGAAGAAGAAGAUGGAGAUUUGAUUUGAGUUUGAGGGAGAGAAGGCAACAACGGUGGUGGGCUGAUGGAGCAAGGGCUUUUUGUUGGGUCGGGUUGGACUUGUCUUUCACUUUCACUUUCACAUUCACAUCACAUAUACAUAAAGAAAAAAACUUGGCCGGCACGUGUCAAUGGAUGGGGGUUCUUGACACGCACGCCUUCAUAUAAAAAUAUAAAAAUAAAAAAAAAUAAAAAAUAAAUAAAUAAAUAAACUUCCUUUUUCUUUGACGGAGGUUUCUUCUUCAUCUUCUUAUCUGAUCAAUCAAGCAAGCAACACAUCUUCUUCUUCUCUCUUUCGCUCUCCUCUCUCUCUCUCUCUGGUAAGCAACAUCUACUCUUCAAUUCUAAUUGCGAUCCUUUUUCCUUUUUAUUCGUCAAUCGUUUUCGCUCCUCAAUUCAUCGCUACCCUCGUACCAAACCCUAAUUCCAUAAUUGGUGCUGCAGAAUCAUCGCCAUGGCUAAGAGCUCAUUCAAGAUGGAACACCCACUUGGUUCGCUCCUCUCUUAAUUUACCAAUUUUUUGUUCAAUUGUUACUGUAUAGUGCAGUUUUAUGAGUUGAUCAAACUUGAUGCUUUUGGGAUUCUCGGGUAGUAAUCUAACUGUCUAGGGUUUGGUUUCUAUUUUUUUUUUAUUUGGGUGUUUAACUAUGAUGUAAAGUUUGUAUUUUUAAGCACCAUUAUCACUUCUUCCAUGAAAAUUGAAUUUUUACCAGAAAUUUUUACUCUAUCAAAUGCCAUUGUCUUGUCUUAACUACAUAUUUUUGCUCUUUAUAUUUAGUUUAGAGUUUAGUAUAAACAAUGACCUAUGUUAUAGCACUUAAUUAUACUUUCCUAAGUGCAUGUAAACUUGUAUUUAGUUCACCUAUUGGGUGAUUUAGGUCCAACAUUUAUCUUCUCUAAUAUGUGCAACCAUUAACAUGCCAGAAAGGAGACAGGCUGAAGCAGCUCGCAUAAGAGAGAAGUAUCCUGACAGAAUUCCGGUAAGACCUGCUUUCUGCUGUGCUGUCUGUGUGCAUGUGCCAUUUUAAUAUCAUUGGAUGCUUAUUAUUUUGGUUGAUCUUGUGAUGUAGGUUAUUGUUGAAAGGGCAGAGAAGAGUGAUGUUCCUGAAAUUGAUAAGAAAAAGUUAGUUUCUUCUACUCUUUGGGAAGUGAUAUUGCAAAUAUUGGUUCAGUUUAUUUAAUCCAAUUUUCGUUAUAACUAUUAUUACUUGUUUCGUGAAUAUUUCCCUGCAUGAAACUUGUCCUGCUAUGUCUGGUUGAAGUUUUGAAUGUAUGGUAGCUUUACUUUGAAAUUUGAAAAAUGUAGACACUUAUGGUUGCUUAUGGUUCAACUUUGAACUUAAUACAUGAUGAGAAAUUAUAGUGUUGUGUGAUCCAUGUAGAGACAUGGUUUGUCGCUGGCUAAGACCUGUCGUGUGUAUUUUCUAUUUAUGCAUGUAGACGAAACCUUAAUGCUCUUGGUUUUUAACAAUGUAAAUAGAAUGGAAACUGUAGAAACAGUCUAGUUUGAUCAUAAAGUGAGAACAGGUUUUUGUUAAGACUUGGGUGUUAAUAAUUGAAUGUAUCAGAAAGUUGAGACUUCAUGUCCCAAAAUCUGUGUGCAUCUGCAUUAUGUACUUGUUUGGGUUGGAGCCAUGUGUUAUUUUAGUAAGUAGUUAAGUCUCCAAUGGCAUUUGGCUUUUGUGGUACAUUCUUGCAAAACGUAGGAGGUAUAACUCAUAACUCACUGUCUUCUCACCUUCUAAAAUCAAAAGAAAAAAAUGACCUUGGAAACUUAGUGUAUAUAUAAGUUUCAGCCAAUGUGAAAAUGUCCUUUGGGACGUAUGACUGUAUGUCUGGGGUGUAAGACCGUAAGCCAAACAUAUUUUUAGUACACUAAGUAACCUGGCUGGUGGAUGGAUGUCUAGGAUAGAUAUAGGCAUUUCGACAUGCUCAAUGUUUUCAUUUACCUCUUUUGACUUCAAUAUUGGAUGCGUGAAAUUCUUAUUACACUGACAAUUAUCGGAAUGUUCUAUUGUGUUGUGUGGAUACUGGAUACAUUUUUCAUCUUUCAUCCCUUGUAUUUUCUUUAUUGAUUAUCGUUCCAUUUUGGAUAUAUAUAGGUAUCUUGUUCCUGCUGAUUUAACUGUUGGCCAAUUUGUGUAUGUGGUGCGUAAGAGAAUCAAGCUGAGUCCUGAGAAGNNNNNNNNNNNNNNNNNNNNNNNNNNNNNNNNNNNNNNNNNNNNNNNNNNNNNNNNNNNNNNNNNNNNNNNNNNNNNNNNNNNNNNNNNNNNNNNNNNNNAUCAUAGCACGAUCAUGUGAAUAGAGCUUAAUGAAAAAUGACCAUUAUGAAGAAGUCAGCUUAAUUGUAAAUUCUCUGGUUUGAUCUGGUUCUUGUAAAGUUCAUUAACUGAUUGCUUUCAAUUUCUAUCGUUUCUUGUACCGGUACUUAUUUGAAAAUUGCCUUGUGUUCACUAUAUUGCUAAAGUUUAAGGGUAUGUGCUCUUUAAAAUGUUUUCUCAUUUUCAUUCUUCUUAUUUUCAUAUUCGAAAAGUAAUUUUCAUGUUCAGUUUUUAAAAUUAGACAAGGGGGUUUUCAAACUUUUAACCGCUGUCAAACCGUUGACUCAGUGAUCUGGGGAUCUCUGAUGGGGUUACCUUUAGGUCAGACCAGACGAUUGUUUCAAGCUCAUCUGUAUGCAGAUUUAGUAAAAUGAGGCUAAAUUGUGGCAUUUAGUGUGUUUAGAAAAGUUUAUUUGAAUUUUUUUUGGUACAUAAAGUUUAUGAAGUGUGGCAAACGACUAGGUCAAUGAAGUCUUUGUUUUUUUUGUGCUUCGGAAAAUAGUGAAUGAAGUCUUUCAAGACUACAGAGUUUUAUGACUUUCAGCUUUUCAUUUAAUUAAAUUAUCAGCACAUUGUAAGUGACGAGGUUUGGAGCAUGUUGGGCGAGUUUUUGCAUUGAGUACAUCUGAUCCAGCUUUGGUUUUGAAUGGGUUAAUUGCUAAUGUCAAAUAUUCAAAAACAUUUAAGAAGUUUUUUUUUUUUGAAACUUCAUUUAAGAAGUUAAGACCGAUUAGUAUUUGAAACAUUAUUUAUAAGGUGAUUAUUAAGGUCUUGGUUAAGCCUUCACACUUAGAGACUUAGAGUAGUUUUAUAACGGAGAGGUGCACAGCUGAUGUUAUUGUUCAUAAGAAGAAGAAGAAAGUAGAGUACUCAGCCGAUUGGUUUAACCGUGAGGUAACACGUGGUGGUUAGUUCACCUAGCCCCUUAACCCUGAGGUCAAGGUUUCGAUCCUCCCCAUGAGAAUGAAUCACAUUUCAUGGUCAAUCAUUUACCGUUUAUUACGAGCACCUGCGGUGAGGAAAUUAAUCAUUGUUGUUGCUGGAUACUCUGAGCUCACAAAAAAAGAAGAUGAAGAGGGAAGAUAAGGACAUCACCUUUAAGCGGGAUCUUGAGAAGGUGCAUGAUCAUAUGAUCGAAUGGAUUGGGGCUUCUUGAAGAAUACCCUCCAUCAAUUUGGGUUUCCACCUGUUAUGUUUAGCAUGUGCAAACCUGUUUGGGAAACUGUAACUAUCUUUCCCAAUCCAAGGUUCGAUCUUGUGACAUUACCUUUACAGAAAAUCUAGCUUGCCUAGCACUAGACCAGCCUACCAACAUAUAAUUUUUAAAAUCGAUAAUUACAUAUUCAAAAUAAGCUUAGAGUUUAGGAACCAAGUUGGCUUUUCAUCUUUCAAAACAAAAUAUAUAAAAAAAAUGACGGUGCAUAUUAUGUUUAUAUAAAUAAAUUAAAGAUCUUCAUAUUAAAAUCUUUUUUUUUUAAACAUCUUCAUAUUAAAAUCUUAGAAAUACAGCAAUUGGAUUUUUAUUUAAUUUGGUCAAAUUAAAUAAAUAGCGAUAUCUAAAGUCUAAACUGAUAAAAAUUGACUUUGUCCAAAUUGUACAAAAAUCUAAUAUAAGCUAUAAUGACCGGCAUUCGCCUCAAUUAAUACUUCAUAAAUCGAUUGAAGUCAAUAUAAGCUAUAAUGACCGGCAUUCGCCUCUUCUAGAUUAAGUGACUUUUGACCAUAAAAUGCAAAAUCAUACUAGUACUUCUUUAGACAAUUAUUAAUAAAGCAAGAAUUAUAACUUCUAAUAAUUUUGAAAUUUGUUAUACAUGUAGAUAUAUUUUAACACAGUAUUAACAAGUAAUUUUUCAAUCAUAUUCUAUCUCAAGUCUCAACACUUUAGCCGCACAUCUUUAUCCUAUCAAUUCAUAGGGAACAACUGGUGCAAGUAAAACUGUGAAGCAAUUUGGAAACACAUUUCGCUGCAAAGCUGUUUUAAAUGUCUUCCUAACUUCAAUCCAAACAUGCACUUAUAGAUGGAGAGGGUAAAGUCAUAACAUUCCACAUUUCUCUAUAAACAAAUGAAUAAUAGAAAUAACAAGAAGUAUAAGCUAUUCUGGAUUGUUUGUAAUGCUCAAAACUGGAAGCCAAAACAUAAUCAAUCUUUAUCUCUAUGAAACAAACUUUACUGAAUCAAUGUGUAUGUACCAAAACAAAUACAAGGAUCAGAGAAUAAGUUCUUCACUUAGAGGUCCUUUUCUGGUACUGAGUCUUCAUCCAUUUGAUCCCAGCAGAGGUGCCACUCUUCACCUUCUGAGCACCCACCACAGCAGCUGUCUUAGCUUUGUCAGCACCCACAGCUGCUGCUGCCUUGGCCUUUUCCAUCCCGGCUGCCAUCUUCUUGCUGCUGCUGCCUCCGCCACUAAUGCUCUUCUUCGCCUUGUCAUCUUCCACAUGCUCCUCGUUCCCAAAAGCACCCGCUCCCCAUUGAUCAGACCAACUCGGUGCCUUGUUGCUCCCCAUGAUUGAUUUCCCUCCUUUUACCUGCAGAAAAAUUUAAAAUCUUCACUGAUUCUAAUCACUAAUCAGUGCAUGUUCGGAAAUCUUUCUAGAAUUGAUUCUAAAGCCAAAAUCAAUUUUAGGGAGAAACUUAUGUGAGUCUCUCCUUAGUUCUUAGUGCCAGAAUUGAUUCAAAUCACUUAUCAAUGCAUGUUUGGAAAUUCAUCUAGCUUUUGAUUCUAAAGUCAAAAUCAAUUAUGGGGAGAAGGCGAGAAGCUAAGUAUCUUCUAAAUGCCAGAAUUGAUUCUAAUCAUGUAUCAAUGCAUGUUUGGAAAUCGUUCUAGAAUUGAUUCUAAAGUCAUAAUAAAUUACAUGAAGAAGCUAAGUAGCUUCUUUAUGUCAGAAUUGAUGCUAAUCACUUAUACAUGCAUGUUUGGAAAUCCCUCUAGAAUUGAUUCUACUGCCAAAAACAAUUCUAGGGUGAAACUUAUCUUAGUAGCUUAUUGAUGUCACAAAGAAAACAGAAGCUAAUACAAACAUCCUAAACAUGCUAUCAAAGCAAAUUAACAAACAAAACAACAACAAAACAUAAAGAGACAAAAAGGUAGGCGGAAACAUUCACAAAAUCGCAUCUAAUCCAAGUCGCACAAGGUCAAUAAUGCCAAACACACAUGUUUGGUUUCAAUUGACACAGUUAAUUAAUCAAUGUGACAAUCCAAAGCAAGAAAAAUAACAUUUGGGAUUUUUGAAUUAACAAGAUUUGGGUACACACCCACCCACAAGAUCUCUAGAUGAAUCCAAAGCAAAGUUUGAAGAGUUUAUUGAAAAAAAUCAAAACUUUUUGCUCAAUAGAUAAGAAUCAGAAAGACCCAGUUGUUAAAUGGAGUAAAUUGCACAUAAUUGUUGAAAAAAUAGGGCAAAAUUUCAUUUUUAUGUAUCUAUACAAAGACAGAGUGAGAUCGUAUAAAAGGGCAAGGAAGGUUCAGAUUGCUUGCAUGUUUGCUCGUACCUUGUUGUUGGUUGAUGAGGAUUGAGGAAGAAGAAGAUGGAGAUUUGAUUUGAGUUUGAGGGAGAGAAGGCAACAACGGGUUGAAACUCCAACAAAUGGAAUGAAGUGAAGUGAAAGGGAGGACAAGUCUUUGUUUUAUAGUGUCAGGUUUUUCUCUUUUUACAGUUUUACUGCGUUACGCUUCCUGGUCUCCUAGUCCAAUAGGGGAUUUUGUGUUGUGCUCUUGCAUGAAUUUUGACCUCAUUUGGAAAAAAGUUUAUUUGAGCUUAUUUGAUAAGAUAACCUCUUAUGUCAGGGUGUCUGAGACAGCUAACAACUUAUGGUCGACCAUAAGCUUUUUUGAGCUUAUUAAAAAGAGUUUAUACUUAUAUAUAACUUAUUUUCGAUUUAUUUCAAUAUAAAAAUUAAAAUAGCUUAUGAAUAAGCGCUUAUGUCAUAAGUGCUUAUAACCAUAAGCGCUUAAUUAAACUAUGUUUCCAAAUGGAGCCUUUAUGGAUGGAAAAAUCAGGUUAACUUGUGUUGACUCUAAUAGAGUUGUUUUUUUUUUAUGUUUUAAACUAUUUAUUAGUAUUUUUUGAAAAAUACAUUGUAUAUUUUAUGUAGACAAUUUUAAGUAUUGCUUUUCGAAAAAGAUACACGCAGAGUAAGAUAAGGGAAGCUUGAUAAAAUCAAAUGAUGAAAAAAAUUAAAUGAAUUUGUGGUUUUUUUCUUAUAAAGUUAAGAAUUUUUACAAUUUUUUAUAUCUUCAUAAUAACAAGGAGAGAUGAAAACCCCUCGUAAGUAAGAAAAGAAGGGUCAGAGGCAAACACUAAUAGAAGGAGGACUUCCUAGCAACCAAAGAGGUCAAUCCCCAAUAUGAUCAAGGCUAGGGCAAACAUAUCAUGCCUAUUGCAAAACGGCUCAUAGCUAAACUCUUAAGCCAUUCGAACUACAAUGACGGUAUGAAGAGAGGAAACCCCCGCCAACCACUAGCCCACCGAUGGAUUAGCAUACAAAGUUCUUAACUUUCGCUACACGCAAACAUGCACACAUGCAUAAAAUGAGGAAAGCAAUAUGAAGACUGAAUAACUUCUCAAAACCGAAUAAAGACAAAGAUCUUGAAGGAGAAAUUGCUAGUGCGUCUCAAAGUAGUGAUUGGUGAUGACUUCCAAAACAAAAUACUUUGUAAGUAUGACAAGAGCAGGAGAAGAUGAAAUGACGUCUACUUUAUGAAUUUAUAGAUCACGAAUUGGGGGCAAAGACAAAAUUUCACCUCCCAAACAAGGGCAAAAAUGACCUUUCAGAUCCCGACUCAUCAUUUCACAACCUUUAGAAAGUGAGAUCAAUCCUUGCCAUUUGAUAUGUCAUAUGUAAUCACUCUCUCCCAUCUACAUCAACUUGUGACAAGACAUGCCUCUUCCAAUUUCAGAGACCUCAGACAAUACGUAAAUAUCCAAGGUAUAAACCUAUGACCAAACUGAAUCAAUUAUAAUCAUCCCACACUCGUGCCUUAGAAGCUGAUUUUAUUCUAAUCGAAGAUCAAGAGUAUACCACGAGAAGUAGGCCAAACAUGUUAUUGCUUCAAACUAGAGAACUCUCUCAGAUCUUAACAUUUAUAGUAAGAUGACUGCGUUUUUAAUAGAACGUCAUAAGCAUUGUAUAAUAGAGGAGAACACUUCCAAAAAGGAAUUUUGUUUUAAACCCGCCAGAAGACAACACUUUUAAAGAAAACAUCGUCGUAUGCUCUAAUUAGAAAACGUAUUGGAGAAGAUAUAUUAAGUUAGUAUUUUUUCAUUAAAAUUCAAGUCUCUAUUUUAGACACACAUAAAAGUCAAACUUUAACAUUAUAAAUACCCAUUUAACUAGGUUAAUUAUUCACCAAGUUUUCUUUCAUGUGUUUAUUUUCUCUAUUUUCUUCAUCGUUCUUUGAAACUUGGUUUUCCAAAAAACACUAAUCCAAUAGCUUCUUUGUCUCAAAGGCAUCAAACUUGAGAAAGAUCCCAAUGUCCCAUAUAUUAUGGAGAUGACUCUACUUAAUGUAAAUGUUGUUUCGACACCCUUUUUAUUUUUUUUCUCAUUUUUUCUUAUCAAAACCGUGUUUACAACCUUCUCAACUUAUAAACUUUGUGUUUUUAAAGAGUGGUAAAAUUCAAUCUUCCAUUGACAAUACUGUUGCGAAAGAUUUUUACUAAGAUCUGCAAGAAGAGCAAGUUUAUCAUUUUGGCGUAGGUGCGAAUACCGGCCCAUAUAGAGCUACAAAGCAUAAUUAUAAACUCAAUUUUGAAAAGACUAUUAUUAUAAAGCGUGAUUCAAUCUCAAUUGUUCUUGCAAAUAGCUUCCAAUUUGUUACGGUGCCUGAGAUUCUAAUUACCUAAUAAGUUUGUAUUCUUAAGGUUUACUUAUUAUUUCUAUCACUUCAAAUUUUCAUCACCUCAUGGUUUCCCUCCCUCUUUGAAGUUUGAUUAUGCAGACAUAACACGUUGGAGCAUAAUGAUUUGCUUGUUGUUGAUGUAGUUAUUUUUUUUUAAAUGGGUAAAAGAGGUUUUUGAGUUGCUACGUUUUAGUCAGGGUUGGAUUAAGGAGGUGACUUGGGACGAAUUUUGAGAAUCUCUAGGUUUCUUGGGAUGCAUUUUUGGAAUUAUGUUUUGGUUGAAAGAGGAAGGAUUGAAAUUGAUUAAAAUAUUUAGAGGGAUCAAAGGUGAUGCUUAAAAGUCCACGUGAUCACUCUUUAGGUGACAAGGCUCACCACUGGACUAUUGACCGUUCAAAAUUGAUGACACAUAGUUAAAAAGACUUAAUUUGAUUAAAAAAGUUUCUUAGAGAUGACAUUUCAAUUUUUGCAGAGACCCAAUUUAAUUUUUUUGACAAUCUCAGAAACCUCAAACAUAUUUAAGCCUUAAAACUAAUCAAUAAGCAACCAAAACUAAUUAAAAUCAACGCAAAUCAUAUUUACCAAAGGUGACACAGGAAAAGGAAGAAAAUGUAGAAUCCAUGUUUAAGGUCAAAUGAUAUCAAAUAUAACAGCUUAAGAUCUCAAAUAAACACACUACUUCAUAUCAAGCAUGUACUUAGAUGACACAGGAAAAUAAAAUUUCAUUUUUAAUAGUUUCAGUAAACCAUUUAAGAUUGGGAGAACAACUUCUCCAAGAGUGCUGAAAAAGUAGUCAAAACAGAGUAACAAAGAGAAAGAACAUCUAACAAAGAGCUACGUAAGACUCCAAAAAUAUCAUUGAAUCAAUUUAUUCAAAACACAAAUAACAAAACUGAGACAGCAAAAACACUUCAGGAGAAAAGUCUCUAGCCUACUAUAUAUAAGAACUAGGAAUUUAACCCGGCUCCGUGCAAUGCACGGACGAGUAGUUCCUCAAUUUAUCAUAUUUAUUUAUCAAUUUAUUUAACUCUAUCUAUUUAAAUCACAUACCAAUUAUUGUAACUUUUACUAAUCACAACACAAAAUAUGGCUUAACCGAAACAUAGACAUCAACGACUAAUUAUAAACAUUAAUAUGUAUAACAAAAGUUGUAUUGUCAUUUAUCUGUCAAAAUAACUUGAACACAAUUACAAUGUUAAAGUUUCCAUAGUAAAUAUAUGAAACCUCAGAGUGAAAAUGAUGAAAAUCUCAGUGUUUGACCUACUUUGGUCAACAAUAUACAUAUAUUCAGAAAGAAACUUCAGUGUCAAAUACGCAUAAAAAAAACACAAAAAGUACUAAUUUCCUUAUUGUACAAACUGACUCAAGCAAUUGACCUACUUACACAAGAAAAUUGCCCCACGCUAAUCAUGUAAACAAAUGAUAAUCAAGUUAAAAAAUUAUUUUAAUCUACUUCCAAGUAUGAUACCUUUGAGAGCAGUUGGGGUGGGUACAUGAAAAUCAUGAUUACUGUUACUUUUGUACUACUGAUUAGUAUAUUAUAUGUACUGAUAAGUCAAAUAAGUAAAUAUCUUACCUGGAUGCACCAAGAAGAAGAGAUUAGAAAAUAAAAUCUGUCAAAUACCUACUUGUAACAUGAUAGAAGAUAUACAAAGAGAUAGAGUUGAACGUCUCUUAUCCAUGUUCGGCAAUUAGCAGCAACAACGACGCUGACGCGAAGCCUAACUGCUGCACAAAGUGGGAUGAACACAAGUUUGUCCAUUGUUGAACAGGAAACGAAACAAAGCUCAGAUCACAAACAAUGGAAGGCUAAAAAGGGAAGGGGAGAAAGUGAAUCCUAACUAAAAGGGAGAGAAUAAGAAAAUUAAUUUUAUGAUGACAAAUUCAUGUCUCUGGGAAAAGAAAAACAAAGAUCAUAGACCUGCCUAACAUUUAACAAAAAAUUAAAUUUCCUCAUUCAACAAAAUAUUGGGCCGCCCAAAGUUUCAGAAAAUUAACUGGCCCACAUAGCCAAUUUCUAGUUAACCAAAAAAAAUUAACAUACUUACCCCAAAAAACAUAUGUUUCAUAAAAAAAAACUCCACACAAUUAGAACAAAUGAAAAAAAUCAUGCCCCACUCAAUCCACAUGAAAUAAGUGGACUAUCACAACAUUCAAGUAAAACAACUAUCUUACUUUUUUUAGAAAUAUCCUAGUUAUCAAAUAAUGUUAAUACAUAAUUCAUCCACAAGCUUCGAACCCUGCACCAUUCACACUUAACCCUUCUGAUCCCCUACGUCAAGUUAGUCAUAUCACUUCGGCUAACAUUCGAAUAAAAACAUAACUUUCACUUCAUAUUGAAUUUCAUAACUAAAUAAUAUCAACUCUAAAAUAUUAUGACAUAUAAUAAGAAAUAUAUACCAAUCUUCAAAGUGAAUAAAAAAUAUACUCUUAAUAAAUCUAUUUGUAACAGUGUUUCAUCCACAAGUUUCGAACCCUGUACCAUUCACACUUAACCCUUUUGAUCCCCUACGUCAAAUUAGUCCUGCCACUUCGGCUAACAUUCGAAGAAAAGACUAACUUUCACUUCAUAUUAAAUUCCAAAGCUAAAUAAUAUCAACUCUAAAAUAUCAUGACAUGUAGAAAAUACCAUGACCAAAAGUAUGUAAACACAUACAUAUAGAAAAAUCAAUGAAGCUAACUUUCUCCAUCUAUAGAGUUACAUAUAGACAAAUUCAUAAGCAGACUUUGAGAAGAAAAUCUGUGUUAUCAGUUCUGAUUUUUAUGGUCAUAUUUAGUUUUAGCUUCUUUUACUUCACCUUAUGUGUCUUGCUUGCCGCAAUGACAGUUAGUUGUCGUCCUAGAAGAUUAUGUUGCUUUUACUUAAAACUCCCAAAUAUUUUCAGUGUAGAUUUAUAUUUCAUCAGUUAGAUUUCAUUACUUUGCUUCUGGUAAUUUACAUUUCAGUCAGUUUCUUUCAGUUUUUCUACAAUCGAUACAUUUUAUACUUGGAGCUUCCUAAUUUAUCCAUGUGUUUAAGUAUACCGCUAUGGAAAGAAAUCUUAUUCGAAGAAGACUUAUUUUUUGUAUGCAAAACUCAACUUAUUGGCCAUGAGAUUCUGGGGUUUCAAAGAUAGUAGUCACCCACUUGAAUUUGUAACAUUGUUAUAGCAGAUAGAUCAAGUAGGGUUGGAGUAUUCAUGCCAUAGGGCACAUGAAAAUAAUUGGUAGUUACAUUCCAAAAGAAAAGAAGACUGAGGAUAGGGCUGGUUGUAUGUAUGAAGGCUAUAGACACUCAGUUCGAUUAGGUGGAAAAUAUCUAACUUCUUCCAAAGAUAUGCCUUGUGUGGUUUAAUCUGAUUCAGCCAGCCAUAGUUUAUAACUUUCACUAUCCAUAAACUAAAUGAUAAAGUGUGACACAUAUAUAGGGGCUUCCCUUCUUAGAAACUAAAUGAUAAAGUCUUGUUAAUAAAAAAAGAUGUAUGAAAGAGGAGGAUCACAAAAUCCAUGGAAUGCAGAAAAAAUAUAGAAAAGAACUAUCUAACCAGAAACAAACAUAAGUAAAUGAUAAGUACAUAAAACCGGUAGGAACUGCUCCAAGGGGAACCUUUAUUGAAAUAUCCCAAAUCUCCCUCUGAUGCAGUACUUACACCAAUUUUUCUCAGCAAAAUGGUGACACACUCACAAACCCACAAAAAAGAGUUGGCCCUUUUCAUUUUGUCUACUUCCUUUCUCCAAUGAAGUCCUUGAGUUCGAGUUCGCAGUUAUAAACUUGCCAUCUUUUGUGCUUGUUAUGUCCACACAAUAGUUGGAAUAUCUUUCUUUAAAACUGCAAAAUCAUCCACAGGAUCAUAUCCAAGUAUUUUUACAAAGAACCCUGCCAUAAAACCACAUUAAAGUUUAACUUAUGAGACUAUGAGACUAUCCUAAGCUAAAAUCCAUUCCCUUCCUCCAACCCCAAAAACUAAUAAAAAUGUAUAGCCAACAACAAUUUUACAUGUCAGGUCAUUGCUUUCAUCUGACAUAGCAUAAAACAAUGAACUUGCAUCUUGAGCCCAUGUCAAGCUAACACCACUGUGAAAUUAUACUUUUGGAUCUAUUAAUCCACUUCAGAAGUCUUUCAGACAAAGCAUAAACAGUUCACCACAUGAAAUUUUAACUGUGUAAGCAAGGUAGUUGUGACCAAGAAAAACUUUUCCAACGUGGACAACAAAAGGAAUAGAAAUAUAAAAAACAAAUCAUGUUUACAUAAGUAGAAACUUGCAUUUUUCUCAGUAGGUUCAUUCAAUUCAAGCAAAAUCUCCUACUUUUUUCAAUCAUGUCAUUCCAUGGCAAAGCAAAAAGGCCUUCAUCCAACCACUUCUCUUUGUUUCCAGCGUUCUGCACAACCCAUGAUAUUCCUUUACCUCUUGAAUGCACUGGUAAUAUAGCAUGACCAAGAGAAAGUGAAAAAAAAUAAGACUUACACAUUUAAGCAACAAAAUGAUUCGUCCAUUAUUCACUAUAACAUUCAUCAGUUCCCAUUUAUAGUUAGCUUCACAUCAUCAAUUUUCAUUAAAAAAACACAGCUUCUGCCAAUAAACAAACAAUUUAUACUCCAAUUAAGGCUUAACCACACAUAAGAGAAAAGUCUUUUAAGAUAAAAUCCAAAUCAAAGCUGGAAGAAAACUGAAAAGUUGAAAGCUACUGUUUGAACACAGAAAAUUAAUACGACUAUCACACUUGAAGAGCACAUCCUAGUCCCACACACAAUAGAGUUCCAAGCUGAUAUCAUGGAAAGAAUGAGGUUAUCACACAUGAAUAAAAUGAGCAUUUUGAAAAUCAAAACAAUGACUUGAUUAGCAGUAUAAAAAUNNNNNNNNNNNNNNNNNNNNNNNNNNNNNNNNNNNNNNNNNNNNNNNNNNNNNNNNNNNNNNNNNNNNNNNNNNNNNNNNNNNNNNNNNNNNNNNNNNNNGUCCAUGUUAGAAAAUUUAGAGUAAUCUAGUGACUAAAGCUCAAGCACUUGAAUGUAUAAGAAUUAUAGAUUUCAUCUUAAUUUCAACAUAUUCUUAUUGAGCAUUACUAUUCUCUUCUUUGGAGCUGGUGGACAUGUUAAUACCUUCGGAAUUCUGAACUCUUUAGCCUUUGGUGUAGUGCAUCCACUUGAACAAAGAUCUUCCUCAAUAGUACCCUCCUCAACAACAUUAAUCUUAAUACACGGCUAUUUGGAGCUUGAAGUAAUAGCAUCCUCACGAGGGCCUUGUUUGGUCUCUGCGAAAUUUCAAAGAAUUAGUAGCAUGCUUAUAUGCACCCUAAUUCUGAAGCAUCAAAGAAAUUUCAAAGCAAAGAGAAUUAUUUGAGAGGUUGAAAAGUUCCUUUCAUGCCAUUUUGUUUUCUUUUAUCUGUUUUCCUAUCAAGCAACAUAACCUUUCUAUCAAAAUAUAAACGCUUGAACCAACCAUCUAUUGCUAGAUCACAUUAGAGUUUGAUAACAUUAAAACUAUAUCCCAAUAUUAUAAAAACACAAGAUAUCAUGUAUAGUAGUUACCCCAUUUACCAUGACUAAAAAACACAUAAGUACUCAAGAAAAUAAAUAGGGUUGACUGGUACAUUUUUACGCCAGCAAAAACAUUCAAUGGGCUCUAUAAAUUCAAAGUUACUUCAAGUGAGUAGUGAUAUGUGAUGUACAGUCUGAAAAGCAAAAACUAAUAUGCCUAUAUAGGCAUUUAUAGAGGGACUUGGAAACAUAAAGGCCACCUCGUAAAUUACUUAUAAACAGUGAGAUAAUUUGAACUCUCAUGAGCAUCAGCUUGUACUGAAUCAAUACACCCAUUUCUUCAAUUCCAUAGCUUGUGGAGGACUUCCUUCCACCUUCUUGGAUCCCAUUUCUUUCCACUCUAUUGAAAAGCAAAGCACUGUUCAAUUUGACUCUAGCUUAUGAUUUCUCCGAAGAAUCAAACUGCUCAGUGUUAGCUUGGCAGCAGGUGCAUUUGACGAAAGAUAAAUAUCACAUUUCACAUGACAUGGUCUCAAUUAUAUCAUUAAUCAAAAGCUGAUAUAAAACAAAGCCUUAAAUUUCAAGCAAAUGUUCACCACACAUAAUUGAUAAGAGAUAUUGUUCACAAAGAACAGCUUUUAAACUGAAACUGCUAAUAUGAUUGGAGAAUAUCAGAGGGAUCAACUUACAGUAGUUGCACACUCAACUAAUACACCACGUGACAAAGGGCUCAAAUUAAUGUGAUCUCAGCACAAACAAAGAGUUUUUAAUGAACAACAUAAUAAUAGAAUUCGUUAGAAUUUGUAAUUAGGCCUCUUUUGGUACCAGAUUUGAACAAAGCAACCCAUCAUUCAAACAAAAAUAGGUACAAAUGAGAUCAAAAACUUAAAAGGGUACAACACAAAGCAAAUAAAAUAUUGUAUUUAUCAAGAUUUGUAAACAAACCUGUAAUCUGUAAUAAGUGACAAAUCCAAUUUUGAAAAUAUGAAGUGUAGGCAAAGUUAAAAUAUGAAGUGUAGACAAAUCCAAUUUUGAAAAUAUAAGUGACAAAUUCAUAUUUUGAAAAUAUGAAGUAUAGGCAAAUCCAAUUUCGGAGGAAGAGUUACCAAAAACUGAAAGUGCAAGAUAGAAAAGCCUCAACGAUGAACCCUCUAUACUGUUUUCGAAGAUUCGUGCUUUGAAAUCUCUUUAGUCAAUAAGAGGAAGACAUUGCCAGAAUCAUAUGAGCCACUUUCAUAUCUAAAAUGAAGAGAAAGGGAAACAUAAAAUGUUUAUUUUAGACCAAGUAGAAGAGACUUUUGCUAAAAAAUCACAACGGAAUAGCAACGAAUGGUGUAAAGAAGCCAAAGCUUAGCAUAUGUAAAAAAUUUGAUACAUCCUUUAAUUGCUUAUAGAAUUCAAAGGACGCAAAUUCAAUUGUAAACACCCUAAUUGUUUUGCUAGAAAUAUAGAGUAUUAUUCACCUAUAAAGAAACUCAGAAUUCAGAAAGCAUUUAAAUUGUUACCUUGUCACUAAAGGAGAGCCGAUGGCACCCUAAAUCAAAAAGCUUGGACUGGAACGAAAACUAAUUCGGCAAUUCAUUUAAACUUCCCAUACAACAGAGCAGUGAAACUCGUGCACAGCUGACUUCCUAGUAAAAAAUCUAUACGCAAAGGCUGGUUCAAUUGCAUAGCAGUGUUACUCUUGCACAAAUAAAGGAAUGAUUAAUACCAUGUGAGCAUCAAGAUGUGGAGGAUAAUCGUAAGUGUCUGUGUCAAACCAACUGAAUAUCAUAUUGUGACAACCAAAAAUCUUGAAUGUAGCAUUUCAUAAACUCAUACAUAAGCAAAAAAAUAAUAUACCUAGCGAUUUAUUCAUCUACAAGUUAUCUUUACAUACUCCUAAGAAUCACUCACAGGUCAUUCAUAAAAAAAAUUAUAAAUCAGAGAAAAAUAAAAAAAUUCACUUUCCUAGUGGCAGUUGAAACCAAUGGUUUACCUCUCACAAAGUACCAGCAGCAGAAAAACAUGGAGCAGCAAGAAGGAAAGUGUCUUCCCCGGAUAUAGGAAGACAGGCCGCAUUGUGCUCACCAAAACUGGCAACUGCAUCAAACGUAGCAGCCAAAGGGGGAAUUAAGCAAACUACAAUCACUAAUAUAUGACAAAAGGGGGACUCAAGCAAACUCCAAUCACAUAUUGAAAGAACCAAAAUCUAUUGAAAGAAGAACCAAAAUCCAUUCAAUUAAACGCAGUUGAGGGAAUUGAGGAAUUGAGGAACUAACGCAGUGAGGGAUGGGAAGAAACACCAAAGAAUGACAGUAUUUAUAGAGAAAUUGAAAUGCAAUACAAUAUAUGAACAGUGGGAUUUAUCAGGAAAGUGAAUGAACCUGCUGCACUUGUACUGAACUGACGUGAUCUAUCAUCAUCUUGGCUUCUGAAUCUGGUCCUUCUUCGUCACCAUAUGAUCAUCCCCAUUCGUAAACAGUGAAAUUUCGUCCUUCUACUUCCACCAUCUUCUCUUCUCCUUCUGAAUCUAACCUAAACCCUGUCUAGGGUGAUGAUGAUUUUCGGUCAUCUUCUCUUCACCUUCUCCUUGCUCUGAACUGCAAUCCUCUUCUCUUCUCCACCUAAUCCUAUCCUAACCCUAUCUACAGUGAGGGAACCCUGCAACGAUGACGACAAUUUCGGACAAAAACACUGUUCUCCUUUAACACCUCCUUCUUCGACAAGAUCAAUCAGAGGCAGAGGCAGAGAAAACGUGGAAGAAAACACUGCUUCCCUCUCUUUGGGUCACCCAAUGCUGUAGAAAAAAGAUGAAUGGCCAAGAUUGAUCGAAGGCAAAUCAGGACAAAAAAAAAAUAAAAUGAACGGCCAGGAUGGAGACCUUUCUUAGGAACAGUGUUCCUUCAAGCUCUCUAUUCAAGUUUAGUAGAUUACACAAAACAGAAAAACUGCUGGUUCACUAUCCUCUCUAUGCACAUGAACCACCUGGGCAUCCCAUGAUCAGUCUAAUAGCCCUUUAACCUUCAAUAAGUCUGUCAUGAAAUUAGGAUAAAUGCUGAAUCUAUUUGCUUCAAGGAUUGAAAAUAAAUCUUGGCAAUCUGUCUCCCAAAUUCCCUUACGAGAAUAUUCAAAUCCAAUAACUACAAACCAAAUUUAACUGCAAGUCAGCUAACAAAGGCUUCCCGUGCCGAAAUGAAUUCCUGAGCCUACAAACCCUCUUGCCAUGAUUAUUACGGACCGAUGCCCCAAAACCCAUGCUCCUCCUAAUAGGAUCAAACUACAAUUUACAUUGAUUUUGAGACAAUGCAGUGUGUUUUUCAACCUUGUCUAUAAGGUAUACCAUCUGGGUGACUUCUUCCUUUACCAAAGAUCAAUUUUAAUCAGUAAAUUCAUUACUAAUCCAAUUCUUGACAACCUUUGUGUCCAAGAAUCUUCCUAAAAAAUGCUAUUACUCCUCCAAUUCCACAAACCCCACAAAGAUGCCAUAAAUAAGACUGAGUGAGAUCCUCCUCUAACUUACCCAAUCCUAGACAUCAUCAGAUCUAAAAUUUGGCCAGCUAAAAGCCCCAAAUCUAAGCCAGAACUACUUCGAAUGUGAACAGUCUCUAGCACAGUGCAAAAUAUCUUCACAAAUAUGAGAAGUGUUUACAUGGUUAAGAAGGAGAAACAAUGAGAAAGAAAUAAUGGAACUGAAAUGACAGAUGGUUGUGGAAGAAGUAAAAAAUAACCCACAAAAAAUUGUUGGCAUGGCGCUAAUCGUUUGAGCACCAACAUGACACUUAUUCUCAAGGGGUUUUACUUUGGGAGUGAGAAAACAACUCUGAAUAAUCUCAAAAAGGUAACCAUCAGGAUCUACCACAAAUGCAAUUAACUUAUCCUCUAUGCACUUUAUCUCCCACCUGAAGCAACAACAUAAUUAGGAAUACAGAUAGCACAACUUGGUCAUGUUAAGGUAUGAAACGUUCAAUGUUAUGGUUCUUAUCUUAUCAUAUUCAAUUUGCUCGAGAGUUUUGUAUCAUAACCAUUAUGAGCUUAUUUUGUAAUUUGAAGGCUUAGAUGCAGAAAUACAUCCAGUUAAAAAAGACGGAAUUGAGCAAAUUAAGCAAAAUGAUCCCAAUUCUAAGGUAGUUAAAAAGAAGAGCGUUAAAUUGAAAGCAAGUUGUGCCGGAAUGGAAUACAAUGGAUGACAAAAAUAGUCUCACCCCUAACUCAGGACCCCAACUUCUCCCAAACCAACUCAACACAACAUUCACAAAAUUAAUGAAAUGAAGCAACAUGCGACUGUGCUGAUUGGUUAGGAACUGAGAUUGAAGAGAAGUUGUUUCGCUGAUAAGGUUGCUGCAUCUUCUUGUUUAAUGGAUAGCGAGGAGCAGAAUCUAACACCAACAGUGCCCCUGAUCUGCCUCAAAUCCUAAAGAGGCCUUGGCAACCUUUGAUAUCUUCGGCUUCACGACCUGGAAUGCGCGCUCACCCCUGCCAUGGAAGCCCUAUCUCCAUCACUCCUCCACCACUGUCAUGUGCAUCAUCGAGCAUUUCUUGAAUGAGAAACAAAGCGAUUGAAAACAAUCGAAAUGUCAUGACAAAACAAAAACUAAAAUUAGAAGAAAGAGAGAAACAACGAAUGAACAAGACCUACAAAGGUUUUACAACUUUCAACAUGCUUUGAAGAAUAUAAAAUUGAAUCUCAGUGCCAAACCAUAGUUUUCAAAGGCAAAAAGGCAGAUGGAACCAACGACUCUAGUUGAAUCUAUGACAAAUAAAUUUGUAUUUCUACUAAAAUAACCAUAGUCAAAUUUUGAAUGUAGUACAAUGAAAUAUUGAAUUACUAAAUUGCCUCUAGGCACUAAAACCUGCUUCUUUAUUUUAAAUAUAUAUAUAUAUAUAUAUAUAUAUAUAUAUAUAUAUAUUUAGCAUGUUCCUACUUCCCCAUCAGGCUCUGAUACCAAGAGGGGGUCGAAAGCAGAAGGAGGGGGAUGAGAAGAGGAUUAAGAGAAGUAGGACGCCACCACGGAGGGGCUUUUUGCAGAAAAUUAAAUUGCAGAAAUUAAAAACAGGAAUUAAAACAGGAGGCUCAGCCUUCCAUAAACAGAAAAAUAAAACUUGAACAAGAUGAAUUAAAACAGGAGGCUCAGCCUUCCAUAAACAGAAAAAUAAAACUUGAACAAGAUAUAUAUUACAUAAACAUAGAUUACAAAACUGAAACUUAAAACUGAAAAACUGAAACUUAAAAACUGAAAAGAUUGAAAGAAAGGAAAACUGAAGGAGAACUUACAGAAGGAAUUCUCUCAGUGUUUCUCUCUCUAAACUCUCUAUCUAAGCUCUACCAAACUCUGAUUAACAAGGUUCAGAAUGAGCCUAUUUAAAGAAAAGAUUGGACACUGUUUGAAUAGUUCCGGUUGAAUAGUUCCGGUAGACGGUACUAUUUGACUGGCACUAUUUGCUACAGUAAAAAGUCAAUUUUACUGUUGCUACAGUACAAAAAUUGAAUUAUUACAGAAUAAAAUGAUUACAAGACGACAAACUUAGCAGAAGUCACCAUCAUCUAAUUCUGUGGUUUGGACAAAAUCUGACGACCCAAGAGAGGAUGGCUCGGAGACUUUGUGUUGAGGGGCCUUUGAAGAUGAGGCCUGCUCAAUUGGCUCCUUCAAUAAUUGAAGAGCAGAUUGAAGAUUUCUUAGCAAGUCUUCUUCUGUUGAAGCUCCUGCAAGGGCCGCUGUGAUGUGGCCCUUUUGAUUUAGCAAGAGGCUGGUUUGCGGACUUGCAUGCUUGAGAUAUUUCUGAUUGGUUUUGAACCAUUGGCUCACAUUUUCUUUGUGGGCUUUUGUCGCAUCAAAGAUUUUCCACCAUUUGAUGAGAGCCUGUUUGUAAAGGAUUGGUUGGGUUUUGGUCUUAAGACCAUAACGCCAAGAGAACACCCAAGAGAGGGAAAAGAUUGUAAAAAAGUUUAAACAAUCUGGAUAAUUGUUCAACUCUUUGUUCCAGUGUUUAAUGAAGUGAUUGUAUCCCUCAAGAACUUCAGAGGGGAAAAUUUCAGCUGUAGGUCCAAAGAAGCUCCACCAUGAAUGAAACCAAUUUGGAAAAGAAUAUUUGUUGGUCCAUUUAAAAUAAAUGAGCCAAGAAUGUUUGAAACUUUUGUUUUGCAGACCAAGGAUUAUAUUAUCCCAAGCCCUGAUAUAGUCCCAAUAAUUAAAACCAACUGGGUCGAAAUUCUGGGAGAACUUUUUGUAACUGUUUGGAUUUGGUCCAAAGUCCUUGGGACGAAGGACACGGAGGAUUUGUAGUGUAGAAUGGGUAAUUAGGGAAUUAUCAUUUUUAUCCCUAAAAUGUUUGAUUUCCACACUGUUUGUGUCAACCAAAAUAAACUCAUAGAAUCUUUGGUUUUUGAUUGGGUGAGUGGGAUCAAGAUGACUUGGGAAGAACUUGGUACCAAUUUUAUUGGCCAGGUUAACUCCUCCAGAAUUGUCCCACCAUUCUGGUUCGAUGAAGGUUUGGAAUUUCAUAUCUGCUUUAGCCAAGUAACCUGAAUUUGGGCUAGGUCGGGCAACUGGGCUAGGUUGGGCAACAACAACAGGUUUUUUCCCAUCAUAAGUUGCUAAGCUUCUGGUUCUAUCAAUAAAAGCUUGGAGGGAUUGAAUUUCUUGGUCAUCAUCUUUGUCGGCGAUGCUGGCCCAAGAUUUAUUUGGAAGUUUGGUGAGGCCUUGAGGUAUUUCAUCUAAGCCUGCUUGUUUGAAGGCAAGGAGUGUUGGGAUGGAUAAAGCAUAAUCUGCUUUAGUUUGUUUUGGUUGGGAAGAUUGGGUCUGAGCAGUGGGCUCAAUUUUUUGGACAGUGGGUCCAGAUUGGUGAGCAGUGGGCUCAGAUAAGAUUAAAGGAUCAGAGAUUACAAUACCUUUAUUCCUUUCUCUGCUUUUGUCUCUUCCUCGUGAGGAGGAGGAGGAGGGGCCUCUGGAGGCCAUGUUAGGUUCUUCCCUGCAAAUAUUCACGAGUAAGAAAAUCAGGGAGAGAAUUGUUAGAUCCUUUUAUAUAUUCAAUAUCGAAGUCAAAAACGCUUAAAAUAGCUUGCCAUCUGGCAAAGAUAUGUUUUGAAGCUAAGUUUUUGACAUCUUUUUGUAAGAUUUCUUUCGCAGAUUUGCAGUCUACACGGACUAAGAAUUUUUGAUUAAUCAAAUCAGAUUGAAAUUUUGAAAUAGAUAAAACGAUUGCUAAAACUUCUUUUUUGACAGUAGAAUAAUUCUGUUGAGCAGGAUUCCAAUGUUUUGAAGUAAAAGCAAUAAUUUGUUCCUUGUCAAAAACCUUUUAUUUCAAAAUACCACCAAAGCCAAUAUCAGAGGCAUCAGUUUCAAUAAUUUUGAAAGCUUGAGGAUUAGGGAGAUAAAGACAAGGGAGAUUCUUGACACGAAGUUUGAUUUGUUUGACCACAUUGGUAUGAAUAUCGGACCAAGGUGGAGGAUCCUUCUUGAGUCUAUCAUGAAGGGGUUUGAUUAUGGUACUGAGUUGAGGACAGAAGUCCGCAACAUAAUUGAGACAACCCAGGAAUCUUUGUAGUUGGGUUUUGUCAAUGAUUUGAUCAGGGAAUUUAUCCGUGAACUCGAUGGCUCUAUUGAUAGGAAUGAUGGUUCCUUGGUGGAUGUUGUGACCAAGAAAUCUGAUUUUGGUUUGGAACAAACUGACCUUUGUCUUGGAUACAGCCAAGCCAUUCCUUUUGAUUACAGAGAUGAACGUAUUGAGAUGUUUGAAAUGUUGAUCUAAAGUUUGGGAAAAGAUUAGAACAUCGUCAAUGUAGACAAUAGUGAAUUUGGAAUAAGGAUUGAAGAUUUCGUUCAUAGAAUUCAGAUGGGGCGUUCUUUAGCCCAAAAGGCAUAACGUUCCACUCAUACUGCCCAAAAGGAACAGUAAAAGCAGUUUUAUACCUAUCCUUCUCUUGCAAUUGGAUUUGCCAGAAUCCAGAUUUCAUGUCGAAUUUUGAAAAGACCUUAGCAUCAUGCAGUCUGGCUAAGAGAUCUUUCUUGUUGGGGAUAGGAUAUCUAAUCCAACAAAGGGCUUGAUUGAGAGGUUUGUAGUUAAUAACCAGCCUAGGGGUUCCCCGUUCUAUCUCAGCUUGUUUGUUGACAUAGAAGGCUGCACAGGACCAAGGGCUCUUACUCCUGCGAAUAAGUUUCUUUUCAAGGAGAUCAUUGAUUUCCUUUUGGCAGAAAUGAAGAAGUUCUUCAUUCAUUUGAAUAGGCCUAGCCUUGGUUGGAAUCUGUUUGUCUGAAAAAUCUUUUUCAUAAGGAAGUUCCACCAUAUGGCUCCUUCUUUCCCAAAAAGCGUUGGGUAGAUCAGAACAGAUGCUGGAUUGAAUAUUUUCCAAAAUAUUCUCAAUCCUUGAUUUAACAGAAGGUUGUUGCAAUUGAUCCUCAAUGGUUCUGUAAGAGAUUUCUUCCCUGAAGAAGUUGAUCUGCUUCUCCUUGUAGGAUAUGACGUUCAAAGUCUUAUCUAUGGGAGGUUCAGAGAAUUUGAACAAGAUAGGCUGUCCAAGAUGCUGAACAGUGAUGCCGUUUUCGUCAGUAUUAUAGGGGAAGAGCUUCUUAAUGAAAGGGGUCCCUAUAAUGAUUUUUUGACUCAAAUUUCUGACUAACAGAAAUGGAGUUUCGAUUUCAAGACUACCAUUUUUGAUGAUAGCUGAGGGGAUUUUAUACUUGAUCUUUAGUCUAGAUCCUUCAGCAGCGCUGAGCUUCUCAGUAGUUUUCUCAAAAUAUCUGGUGGGAAUGAGUCCCUCCGAGAUACAACUGGAAUCUGCCCCUGUGUCAAAGAGAGCAGGGAUUUCGAGAAUAAAAUCUCCUAUGAGGAUUUUGACAUGGAUGAAGAAUUUCUGAAUGGUGACCUGGUUAAUAUUCUCCAGAAAGUCUUCGCAAUUGUUGUUAGGAGCAGGAUUGGAAUCAGGUACAGAAGAAUCAUCUUCCUCAUAAUUUCUAGUCAGUUUUUCUAAGAUAAGCUGCUGACUAUUUUGGAUUUGUUUGAGACUUUUAACCUCAGUCUUGAGGGAAUUGACUUCAGAUUGAAGGUCUUGAAUAGUGACGGGUUUGACCGUAGAUUUCUCAAGACGCUUGAAAGUAUCUCUAAGAUUGAAUUUAUUGGUGGUUAUAGGACUUUUGGGAGGCCUAUCUUCAAGAGUAGAUCUGAGGCGUUCCAAAUAGAUUUUCUUUUCCUCAGGAUCAGGGAUAGAAUUAAUGGCCCUGAAGAGAAGAUCUUGUUCAUUGGUCAAAGUGUUGAUGGACAAGGUAUUGACGGAAGAUGAUGAUUGAGAAUCAUCAUUCUGAAUUUGAUUUAGGUCUUCAGAGACCUCAGAAUCCGAAGGAUUAGAUUCUUCUUCAUCAGAAGUUUGAAUGAGGAGAUUGUUGAUCUUGUCCUCGAUCUCAGGUUCAAGAUGAAGCUCAGAGAUUCUCCUUUUGAGUCUGCAAUACCUGCUAAUAUGGCCCGGCUUGCCGCAGUUGUAGCAGGUAACAUCUUUUCCUUGAGAGGGUCUAGUCUCAGGAGGGUUCUUUGGAAUUUGCGAAGAUUGGGGUUUUGAUCUAGGCUUGGGUUUCCUAUGAUCAUUCCUGCUAGAUCUCUUUCUCCAUUGUUGUUUGGGAGGAGGAUCUUGCUUUCUGGGUUUAGGUUUCUUGGGACAACCUUGAAUUCCGAAUUGUUCGCAGAAAGUACCCAAAUCCCUGCGAUUCUGAGACUUCUCCUUAGUGAGUUGCUGUUGGAUUUUGUCAUCCUGACAGAUUUUGAGAGCAACUCUUUGAAUGAUAGCUAUGAGCUGUCCAUAACUAAGGGUGUGAUAUGGGAUUUCUCCCCCCGGAUUUUGGCUUCUAAGUUUCUCACGAACUUUGUCGCCAAAAGAUUUAGGAAGACCGGCCAGGAAUUUCUCUUUCCAGAAGGCUUGUUGGCUGUCUUCACGGGUGUAAACCCUGGUCAGGAAGGUAUCCUUAUACCAUCUGAAAUCACCCAAAGAUUUGCACUUCAGAUUGGACAAAAGAUCACCAGAUCUGUCCUUGAUGAGGGAAGGAUCUCCAACAAAAUGUUGGGCUAUGGUAAAGAUUAAGGAGUUGACAGCAUCAGAGAUGAAUUUGCCAUCUUCCAUGAUAGGAUUACCUUCUUCAUCAGUCUUGACAGCAGUCAAGAUCUGAUCCUUUUCGUCUUGAGUGAGAUAAUUAUCCCACCAACCUUUGAGCUGGCCACAGAAACCAGCAACCAAAACUUCAACUAUAAGAGAUUCAGGACAAUUGUUGGCGGUAACAUAGGCAGUGGCUACCAUAGUCAUAUUUUGGAGGAUCUUGGUGAUACCAUACUCAUUUUCACCAUCAAUGUUCCAUUCAUAGACAUUGUUGGCACUGAAGCUUUUGAAGUUUGAAGACUCUUCUAAAAGAAGAUCAGGAGCAGUAGCUUUAGGAUAAUAGAGCUUGGUUUCUUUUCUCCACUGAUUCUUAGAAUUGUGAAUGACAGUGUUGAUAGGAACACUUUUGACAGUUUGAUCAUCAGAUUGAAUAUCAGAAUCAGACUCAACCUUACCAUCUUCAAUAUUGUUUAAAGAAGUAGAGGUAUUACGAGUAGAAGUUCGGCGGAUUAAAGUCUCUUUAGGAGGAGCAGGAGCCGAAACAGUAGGAUCGGAAAUAGUUUCAGAAGUUGGUUCCGGGGUUGGUGUUGGCGUUUCCGGGACAACUUGUUUGAGAAGCUGAAGUUGCUCAACCACCUUUUGGAGGAGCUCAUUGUCAGAUUCCUUUUUAGCCCGAAGAGUUUGAGCCGAGUGUCUGGAACGGCUACUGAUUUGAAAAGGUUUGAAAAGAGGUUUCUCAAGUUGACAUCCUUUAGGGAUAUCAAGAUUAGAAGAGGAAGGUUCGAUCUUGACCUUUUCUUUAUUCCUGGAAGAGGAAUCCUGCGAUUGGGAUUCUCCAAGAAUUUGAAGAUACUUAUUGGUAUAGUUGGAUUGUUCCAUAAGGUCUUUGAUGUCUUUACCAGUGACAUCACCUUCUUCUUUCCUAGUCUUGAAGGGAGAAGCUAGGACAGGUGUAGAUUGGGCUCCUUUAAGAAGAAAAGGAGUUUUAGGAGGUAGAUUUGAAAGGGUUUCUUUUCCAUCCUUAUGCUGCCAUUUAAUCAUGCCAACUUGGAAGGGGUAAGAUUUCCUAUUCUUAUUGGCAUAAUCUUGAAACCAUUCAAAAAAGAAGAUGUUUUGCUGGGUUUUCUCAAGGAACCCAUAGAAUUUUUCUUGGAUCUUCUUUCUCUUUUCACCCUGAUACUUUGCCAAGAACCAUUUUCUUUGCUGAGUCCAUUGGUCAGAGUAAAAGUCUGCACGGAUACCUUCUUUGUCAAUGACAAAUUCGGAAGUAAUUGCUCCAAUGAAAUCAGAAGUCUCUCCAGGGGUUUCUAGAGAAGAAUACGUUGGAGAUAAGGUGGAUUGAUGAUCUUCAUUACUCUUGUCAUAGGUAGUUUUGACAGGAGUAGUAUUGACAUAUCCAGCUAAAUGGAUAGUAGAUCCGUCAUGAGAGAGGGAGGGUCGAGCACUAGACUCAGGCUGGUUCCUUCUAGUCAUAGAAAAAGAUCUUCUAGACAUGGCGGAUUGGAAAUCAUUUGAGGAUGUCCUAAUAGAUCUAGGGAUAGAGAAGGAAUUUCUCCUAUCAAAGAUGAGAUCUACUUGGCCAGAUUGGUGUUGGAUGAUUUCACGAAACUCAGGAGUUUCAACAGGUUGGGCUGGAGUAGCCUUUUCCAAAGACCAUUUUUCUGGAAGGGUGAUAUCACUCCAUUGGAUGGUUUUGGGCACAAUAACAUUGGCCUUAUCAUAAUCUGUGAGGAAGAGGGUAGUUUCUCCAGAUUUCUCACAAUUGGUUCGCAAGAAAUAAGAUUUGAUAGAGUUCAUUACCUUGUAUUGAACCCUGUAGAUCAAAGAGAUUGGAAUGGAAUCUUCUUUCAUAUCAAGGCCGUGAAGCUUGAUAUUUAGGAAGAGGACAUCAAGGAUGUUUUUAUCUUCCAGACUAACAGUUAGAUCUGGGAAGCAAUUGAAAAAGAUUGGUCCAUUACUCAGGCUGGUUUCAACCGUUCCUAAGAGGGAGUCAUGGAAUUGAUUAUGUCUAACAUCCCUAAGACAAAGGAGUACAGCGAUGUCAAGAGAUUUCCUGGUUAGGGGUUUAAGACCAACUUGAACACUACCUAUAUGAAGAUAGUUGAAGUUCUUGCUGAUAUGUUCUUUGAUGCUUUUCUCGGAAAGCAGAUGGAUUUCUUCAUCAUCAGAUCUGAGCUUAUAGGUUUGCUCAACGGUUUUGAUAAUGAAAUCUGAUCGUUUGAAAAAGGAUCCGUUUGGUUUGUAGAUCUCAGCAUGAGAGAUUUUUGGAAUUUCCCAGUUGUCAAGAUCUUGAUUGAUAUCUUCAAAAUGAAUUUCUUCUUUGAAGACAGAUUUGGAUAAUUGAUUGGAUUGAUGAGGAUGAUCGAUAGAAGAAGAAGAGGGUUGGGAAGAUCUGAAAGAAAGCUUAGAAGAGAAAGAGCGAAGCAUCAAGAAAGAUAGAUCUUCCUCACCCGUAAGUAUCAUCGCCAUCACCUGGUUCUAUAGAAACAGAUAAAUAAAUUAGAAAUAUAAGUUGGGUUCUGCGUUGUUCUUAAUAGUUGAGCAGUAUAGAUCUGGAUCAGACUUAAGCCACCACAAAAAGAAACUAAACAAGGACAUUAAAAAUAUUCAGAACUUAAUAACAUGUCUGUAGUAUGGCCAAUAUAGACUUACUGCCACACAGGGACUUACUGCCUUCAACGCCUCCGCUGCAGAGAUGAUCAUAAGUCUGAAUAGUAAUAAUCCUAGAAGGUUUUCAAAAGAGCUUUCAUUUUAGUUUAGUUCAAAGUGUACUACCAGUCCAGAUCCCGACCAUAGUGCUUAAUUAUAUAAGAACAGAACAGAGAAAUAACUUAUAUCUAACAUAUUUAGCAUGUUCCUACUUCCCCUAUAUAUAUAUAUAUAUAUAUAUAUAUAUAUAUAUAUAUAUAUAUAGAUUUCACCCACUAACAUCAGGGAGCGAAAGCAUAGACUCUGUAUACAAGGGCACUGAUGAAUCGACAAGACCAAACUGGUUGAAAUUCUCUAGUUGAUCUCCUUGUAGUCCUUCGUCACUAUACUUUGUGAGAUUUUCUCCACAUUCUAUAACAAGAUCACCACCUUUUGUAGAGCAUAAUGGAAAAAGGGGCUUCGAAGAUAGAACAAAAGUCUUGGUCCAAGAUGAUUGUACUUUGUAUUUCUUCAUAACCCAUAUUUCAAUUGUAUCUCCCUGGAAAGCCGUUAGACUAAAAAAUCUUCCAUGCACCCACAAAAUAUAAAACCCAAAACCCUGGGGAAAUAGAUCAACAGGCUGAGGCUGGGGUAUCUCUAAAAGUCUCUUUUCCAUUAAAUCAAAGGCAAUGAUAAAAUGCGUCACACGACCAGCCACGAAGUUCUGAGCCACCCAGUGAAUGGCCUCGUUGAAGAGCAACCCAACACUAUGAUCUGGAACAGUGGUAAAGGUAGGUAAAUCAGCACCCUUAGUAGAGGCCAAGGAAGAAGGCAAAUCAACACUCUCAGUAUAUUUCCAAAUAUUAGCUCUCAAUGAGAAAAACUGCACAUCUGCAAAAUUAGUAGAUGAGCCUGGUUUUACACCAGGGACUCGAACCACGAGGUAGUCAUCUUUUGAUGAAUCGUAACCAAAUCCAUAUUCAUAUGGAUACAUAUGAUCAUAUUCAUAAGCAUUGGCGUCAACAGGUAAUGGUUUGUGGACAUGUGUGGAUGGAUUCCAUAUAGAGAGACUUCUACCUCGAUCAUAGCCAAUUAGCAGAAAGCCUCUACACGAACCUACAAUAUAGGGAACAGUAUAUGGAAAGUCAUAAUCUAUUAGUUCAGAAAUACGAUCAGGGUGAAGUGAUUCCUCCAAGUCCAUGGUUCGAAUGCCAUGAUUGGAACGGAUCAAGAGUCUAGGAGCAGCACGUUCAAAAUGUGAUGUUGCAAAGUGGGGAUUGGAUAUGAGAGACCGCCAGAACUUGCACACAGCCUUGAAGCGUACAAGAGACUUCACCGGCAACCUCAACAGGAUUUCAGUAAUCAAAUCUUCACCCAUUUGCAAAGAAUUCUGGGUUUCAAUCUGAAUAUAUAAUAAGCAAAAUCACAAAAUCAAAAGCAAAUACUUGUGGCCGGGUUUCAAUCAGAAUACAUAAUAAGCAAAUACAGAAAAUGAAAAGAUUCAGAAGCAAGUUUUAGGUUUACAAGAUUCAUUCGAUUUACCUCCAUGUGAGCCAGACGCGGCUGCCGGCGGGCCAGGGCAAACGGCGACGGAAGCAGGGUUGGAGGGAAGCGAGUCUCUGAGCACGAGCAAAUAUAGGGUUUUGGAAAGCAUUGGAAGCGUGCGUUACAUUUAAGCAAAAAUAUCACGUCAAAUCUGCCAAGACUUUUCCAUUUUUGGUCUUUUGAUAGAUUGGCUCUUUAACUUACAUUUGGGGAUUGGAUUUGGAACCAAUCUAUUAGAUUAGAUUUUAGAUUAGAUUUACCACCCCAUUUUAAAGUAGGGAAAUACGGAAAUGUCUCUGCGCGAUUAACUUCGACAUAUCAAGUAUUAAACAGAACACUAGACUCAAACCUUUCACUUUCAUAUUAGUACUUUGGAAUUUAAAGUUCCAAAACAUAUUAAUAUUAAAAACAUAACAGGAGACUCAAACAUUUCACUUUCAUAUUAGUACUUUUGAACUUAAAGUUCCGAAGGGUAAUUCUGACAUUUUAAAAAAAAAAACUUGGGGUGCUAGAUCUAGUAGUACCUGAAAUGCCAAAUCUAACUCCUCUUGCAUUUGAAUAGUUCUAAUGACAAUGGUCUUUAAAAAAAAUGACAAUGGUAUUUAUUUUGUUUUUCUUUUCAUAAAAAAAUCAAUUUGAAAUACUGACAUUGCUUCAUUGAUUUGUACAAAACACAUUAAAACCAUAAUUUUAUUUAAUCAAAAUGUUGCUAUUUUAUUAACUCUGUUUGAGAAGAUCCAUGAUUUAUAUGUUCAUAAGCAAUCUACUCUCAAAGAAUUAAUGGUAAUCAACUCUUUUUUUUAAUUAUUGAGAUGGAACGAAAUAUUGUCUUGUCACAAAGUUUGCAUUGCUGCAACUUAUUUAAAACCUCAAAAGCAAAAUAUAAAACAACAAUGCGACACAGAGAUAAGUUAUCACCAUCAAUAUUGAUUUCUCAAUACAAUGUUGUGAUCUAUCUCACUACUCUCGACAUUGAUUUACACCUCCACCAUUACCCGCAUACAAAAAGUUAUCACCCCAAUAAGCAUCCUUAGUAUCUUUAAUGGAGUUGCUUAAUUCAUUUGCAGCACUUAAGCAACGUUGUUUAUUUUGGAGCAACGUCACGUGACAGUCUGAUUGCUUAAAUUUAAGCAACAGUUGCUGGUUCUCUUUCUUUUUGUUUUCUGACUAAAAAAUUAUAUUUUUUCUCUCAUGCAUUAACUUAAAUAGUCUCAUGACCUUGAAAUAAUAUAAAUAUAUGAGGUAUAGUGUGACCUAGGGAUGACAAUGGGUCUCGAACCCAUAGGGUACCCGCAAAAAAUACCCAUCAUGGAUAGGGUAAAAACCCGCUAGAUGGGUAUGAGGUUGAUUAUGGGUAAUUACCCGCAAAAGUAGUGGUAUGAGUGCGGGUAUGGGUACUAUAGUACCCAACCCGCCCCAUACCCGCACGCACAUAAAUACUCUGUAGAUCCCUGAAAUUGUCUGGCGUAUGAAAAUAAGUCCCUGAAUUUUUUUUUUCUGAUUCCGAAUCCCUAGAAAAUGUUUUUUAAUCAGAAUAAGUCCGUACUCGUGUUUUCAGCCUAUGUGACACAAUUUUUACUGAGUCAUUUAUUCCACGUGGUUAUUCUAUUUUUUUUUAAAUACACAUGGAUUAAAAAAAAUUAAACAUUUAAAUUUAAAAUUAAAAUCUUUUAGGGAUUUAUGGUUAAUUAGCUUAAUAAGAUUUUAAUUUUAAAUUUAUACAUUUAAAUUUUAAAUUUAAAUCUUUUUUGGGAUUUAGGGUUAAUUAGGUUAAUAAGAUUUUAAUUUUAAAUUUAAAUGUUUAAUUUUAUUUUUUAAUCCAUGUGUAUUUAAAAAAAUAUAGAAAAGCCACAUGGAAUAAAUGACUCAGCAAAAAUUGAGCCACAUAGACUGGAAACACGAGUAGGGACUUAUUCUGAUUAAAAAAAAAUCCAGGGAUUAGGAAUCGGAAAAAAAAUUUCAAGGACUUAUUUUCGUACGGCAGACAAUUUCAGGGACCUCCAGAGUAUUUAAACCUUAUUAUUAUUAUUAUUAUUUUGAAAGUAAAAGAAAAUAUUGCCAGGGGCUAAAUAGACUAUAUCAGUCAUACAGAGCGUUUAGAGCACUCACUUCUCUUUCGUUUUAUUUUAUUUCAGUUAGAGGAAGGAGCCGUAGUUGGAGAGAAUUCUGCUUGGGUUGCUUAAAUCUUAUAUUGCAGUUUGGACCUACCAGAAUAGUGUUUAAGCAACUAAACUAGCAACCAUGCAUUGUAGAUGGAGAUGCUCAUAGGCAGAGGUACUUUUGGAGAGUUUAAAAAUCACGAAAUGUAUGUACUAUACACAGAUAUUCAAGGAGUUCCACUUUAACUCUUUGUAUAUAUGGUAUAAUUCGUACCUGCAGAAAUCCUAAAAUUAUAAAUGGAAGUCUCUAACUCCGACACCACACCUUGUUCUUUUGAGGGGGUGGGAAAUGGUUUGAAUGCUUUGAAAACCUUAGCCAGCUAAAAUAACCUCUAGACUCCAAACCUAUAUAUCUCACCUCACAAAUCCACACACUCUCAUGGCAUCCUAGUUUUGACAUGAGCUCUAGCCCUUUACAUUCUUUCAUACAAUAUGGGCUUAUAUUAAUCUCUACUUUCUCUCUUUGUCCUUUAAAAGUUAAUACAUAUAUUUCACUAGAUUCAGCAUAUGUUAGGCACAUUGCUCCAGAAAUUUCCUAGAGUCCAAGCAAAUUCUUGACCUGUGGGGCUAGAAGAUGAAGCAUCUUGUUGAGUUUCAAGUCCUAAUGACUGUCUUUCUCCAUUGCGGUACCAUCCAGGCACAGGCACUUCUGAUGGGAAAUUGUUGAGAAGGCUGAAUAAGUCAUCAUCCAUGGAAUUCAAUUCCUCCAUUGAAUCUUCAUAAAUUAGCUUCUUCCCUGUGCAAAUACACAGUUUCAAUCAACUUUAGUGAAAUAGUCAUAUAUAUAAUAUAUACAAGCAUGCAAAAUCAUAUUAUUUAUAGUAUGUUUGGAUCAUCUUCUCUUUCCCUAAAAUCAAUUCUAACAUCUAAAAGCUACUCACAUAACCUUCUUCUCAGAAUUGAUUUUGACUCCAAAAUCAAUUAUAGAAUUUCCAAACAUGCACUUAUAAAAGAAAAAUUAUUAGUUUCUCCCUGUCUCACCUGUUAAAAAUUGAGAAGAGCUCACAUCAUUCCUCUGUUUCUUAUUAGUGAAGUUACCACUAUUUUCCAUAGUUGUCUCCACCAGCAUUGUGCCAUCCUCUUGAGUCAUGCUUUUCCUCUUAUUACAAGAUAAAUUUUUCCCUGCUGCAGUUGAAUCCUCACUCAUUAACUUGUCAUUAUGAGAAAGACUUUGAGCCUCCACCACUUGAGCAUCUUCAUAGUAGCCAUUAGCCACACCACUUGAAGCUCCCAUCAAGCCAUAAACACCACUAUUGUGGGAUGAUGUAGGGGUGGUGGAGCCAUCGUGUGCUGAUUGGCUCGAAGAAAGUGAGUCUUGUUGUUGAGAUCUUGCCAUGGAAUUACACUGGUUGAAAGAAUAGCCAUGUGAAGAAACAGUGGAUGGUGGCAGAACCAUUCCAAAUUUGUCAUUGGGAGACUUGAACUGAGGGUGUGAAUUGAUUAAAGAAGAAGAAUUAGGCACGUUUUGUUGGGGGUUUGUGGUGGAGGAGUGGCUUAGUGUAUUAAGUUCUUGAGGAUAUGAGGAAGAUAAAAAUGUAGAAAAUGAUAGGGAUGAUGGGGAGUGAGGUUGUGAUCUAAAGUUCUGUUUAUGCUUUUGUUGUUCUAGAUAGUAUGUGUUCUUAGCUUCUUGUAGGAAUACUUCUGGAGGAUAAAGAGGUAAACCAGCUCUUUGGCGCCUUUUCAUUCUGGUAUUCCAAAAGUUCUUUAUUUCAUUGUCUGUUCUCCCAGGUAACUGUAACCAUAGAGACACAAGCCAUUAAUUACCGAUAGUGUGAAGCUAGAAAGUUCAAGCAAUAUAGAAGUAAAAUCAUGCAAUGACUAGAUGUGAUGAAGAAGUGGAAAAGAGGAAACAACAGAAAUAAUUUAAACUAGUUUUUCAGCCAUAAAAAGAACAGCUUUGAAGAUGGUAGGAUGAUGUGAUAAGAUACAAAUGAAAUAAACAAGGUAAUUUUAUAAGAUAGAAACGGUCAUAUAUAAAUGAAAACUAAAAAAAAGCUUACUAAUAUCUAAAUGAUAGAUACAUACAUAUAUCACAUCAUGAGGACGGAUUUUACAUUAAAGUGGAUACAUAUUUUGGGUGAGCCCAAGGUAUUUAGCGCUGACCGCUGAUAGGGUGCUCACACAAAGUGGUAAAUGACUGACUAUGAAAUGUGUUUCAUUCCCAUGAAUGAUUAUUGAACUCUCAACCUCAUGGUUAAGGGACGAGGUGUGAUUAAAAUAAUGUCCAUCUCUAAUGUUCUAUGACUUCUAUCCAAUCCUAAUUAAUUAAUAGUGUAUCAUAUAUUAAUAUUAUGAUGAAUGCUAGACAAUCCCCUUUCUAAUUUCUGCCAUGUUUAUCAACACAUUCAGCUUUGUGAACGAGUUGCCUGUGCUGACUUAAGCACUAGUUAAAUCAAAAGCCAAAUCUGAUAAAAAUAAAUAGCAAAAAGUUUAUAUAUAUGCAAGAAAUAUCUAAAACUUCACAUUGAUAUUUACAUCCAAACCCCAAAUGAUUAGGAGUCCUUCAACAAACUUAAACCAUGAACAGAUCAAACCACAAUGUCAUGAAUAAAAAACUGUAAUAAUCUUAUAUGAAUGAUUACACAUAGACAUACACAUUUCAUUAAACACCCUUCGGACAUACGACUUAACGUACCUGUGCGGCCAUUUGAGCCCAUUUGCUUCCUAGCUUGGCAUGAAGGAGGAUGAUGAUUUGUUCUUCCUCUUUAGAAAAUGCACCCUUCUUCAGAUUAGGUCUUAAAUGAUUGGCCCAUCUCAACCUGCAACUUUUCCCACACCUUGACAACCCUGAAUUCUUUUGCACAGAGUUCCAAUUCCCCUCACCAUACUUCAUCACAUACUCUCUUAACAUGGCAUCUUCGGCUUGCGUCCAAGGCCCUUUCUUCAUUCCCUCACCACCCUCUUCCUUUGAUGCACCUUCAUUGCCAUUAUCCUUGUUAUGAUUUUUGUGAACCAUUCUUGGCAUUGUGAAUAUUAUAACUAGCACCAACUCAAAAUGUUGUUAACUUUCAGAGAUGAGUUAGAUGAUUUCUCCUCUCUCGAGAUGAGAGAAAAUGUGGAAAAGAGAGGAGAGGCAAAAUAAAAAAGUGAAAAAAAUACAAGAGUGAUAGAAAGGAACGGAAAAUCCCAGCUUGUUUUGUCCUCUCUUUGCCGUGUUUUGGUUUUGAACAAUGGUGGAGUUUAUGUGAAGAAAUCAACUCUGCAAAGAAGAAGAGAAAUUUGGGUUUGAGAGAAAGUGUUCUUGAUCCAAAGAUUUGGAGGGGUUCUUUGUUUUGGUGUUUGGAGUGAGAGAGGGAACAGCGAAUGUGAGGAAGAGCUUCCAUUUCGGUCCGAUUUGCAUGCCAAGUGCUUUGCCACGCCACGCGUUUCUUUUUCAUCUACCAUCAAUCUCUCCCUCGUAGACUUCAUUUUUCACGUACAAAUCAUAAUUCCUACACCUUCUAGAAUUGCAUCAUUUUUUUGGUACAUGAAUAGCAUUUUGCAAUUUUAUUCAAAUUAAAUAUAUGAAUAAAAUUAUGUUUCAAACUAUGUUUCCCUCAUUUGGUCCUAGUUCAAGUGGUAAGAGUUUAUAGAUUAGGAAGGGAGGGGUCCAGGGAUCAACACUGGAGGACUGUAAUUUAUUUUUUGAUCUAAAAAAAAUCACCCCCAUACAUAUAAAAAUUUUAAAGGUAAUUUACUAUUGGGUCAGAUGGUAAAGAUAGACCACUAUCCCUCAAAAAAUUGUGUGUUCGAUUCAAUCACGUUGUUAAUGUGAGAGCCGCGUUGGUGGAUAAUUUGUAAGAACAUUUUUAGGUAACAAAUGUUCUAGAGCCAUGUUUCACCCAUGGUAGUGACCUGAACCCAACCUACUCAACUUUCAAUAAAAAAAUGUCCUUACCCAUUAUAGGUAUGCAGGUCCCAGCUGCAAAUUCAACUUCCUGGCCUUUAAUUUUUACAUUAUAUGACGAUUCAGAUUGAUUAGUUAAAAAUUGAAUUAGUUAAAAGUUAGUUCCAAAUUCAUUUUUUUACAAUUAUGAGUAACCAAUUUUUAUGAAUCUAAUUACCAUCCUUACCCCUUUUCAUUCAUAGAUUCACCCUUUUUUUAUAGACCCAACUUUCUUUCGGAAAUCACAUUCCCAAUUUUGAGUAGUCUCUUAUCAUCAUAGAUACAAGUAAUCUUUAUGAUCAAGGUUUUGAAACUAAAAUAAAAGGAUAACUCUCUUUUUUCUACCAAGCAUCUUUAUUUAAUUUUCCUCUUAUCAAACAUCUUCUCUCCUUGUUUUUUUAACUCUUGAUCAAAAUGGAGUAUUCACAUUCACCAUGCCAUAUAGGUAAUAUGUGAGCACAGGCAACUCAACCCAGUUAUCAAUGUGUUUGGGAGGGAUGAGAUUGAACCUGUGAUCUUUAUUCUAAGUCCCAAUAACGCAUGAAGUAACUGAAAGCCCCUUCAAACAUGGCUUCAUCGUGUAAAACCAUCCAUUCACAAGGCUCUCAUAGUACUUUUGAAUGAAAUAUACCUGUCUACCUUACCAAUCAGUCUCACACACGAUAUAGUCUGAUAUAUCCACACUUAUGUGAAGUUGUGAACAAUACUAAGAGGAGCACAAAUUCAAGAAAAUGGGAUUUCCUAGAAUGUAAAUAACCAUCAAACCUUGCAUUCAUUUUGGAACAUUUUUGUUGCUAAUUACACUAAUCUUCUUUUAGAUUAGUGCUCAUCAUACCAAACUCUUAUCUGUUUGGUAAAUUACACUCGCAUCCUUUACUGGAGCUUAUCAUACACUAAUCUCCUUUUAUGAUGUCAGUCCCCAACAAGAUAGUAAAAAAUAUGGACAGGGAUUGAAAUCUUCUGUCUUUAAAUGGUGUUUCAAUUUUUUGUCCCAACAAUAAAAUUUUGACAUGUCAAUUAAAAACUAACAUGCUUGUAACUGCCCCACUCAAGUCUACUCUAAUUGACAUGACAAGAUUUGAUUAAUGGGACAGAAAAUUGAGUCUCUUAGGGGUCAGAAAAUGUAGAUCAUGUGGGCAGAUGCCAAUUCCACUUUCACUUCCUGCUUUUUAAGAGGAAAAGUACUUUAAGUAACCUCUAAGGAACAUUUCCCCUUUUCAGUUUGGCAGCCUAUCCUCCCACCAUACAUCUAACAAACAAUUUCCACUCUCCACAUUUUAUCCUUUCUUUUCCAUUUUAUCCCCUUUCUGUUUGUCCUAAUUAACAGAUGAAGAAAACAUACCUUGAUGUUUGUUCCACAGCUCAUUUCACAUAUGGAGGAAAUUGCAUACCAAAUGAGCAGUUCAAAAAAUUAUUAAGACAUGUAACUCAAUACCAAAGUUAAUGAAAUUAUAUCAAGCAAUAAAAUUUUGGACAUAUACAGAGCUUACUAUUUCUUCAGAUUCGUAAGGAAAAGAAAGUGUGCAUCAAUUUUGGAACAUUGAGAAAUUAAGAUAAGAUUUCACUCAGUGUUCAUAAUGCUUUAUUGCAGUAUAACCAAGUUAAUGACUUAAUGAUAUCUUCAGAUUUUAGAUCAAACAGUAACCAACAAUUUAUGCAGAUUAGAACCAUACUCUCACUGUAUAGGAAUAUGAAUUUCAACAAAGUUCAGAGAAAGAAGAUAUUAAAAUUCAUAAUAAAACUACAGUUUGUAACUUGUAAAAUUAUAUUCCAGGAGCUCAAAUACGAUCCUGAUCAGAUCAAUGAAUAAGUAACAAAGAGAUGCCUCUCACAUAACUUUCUUGCGGAAGAAACUUACCUCAACAAUUUACAAUGAUCUUGUCUCUUCUAUGGAUACAUCACUAGUUACGAAACUGGUGCAACAGCAUAGCAGAUGAGAGAAUCGUGAAAUGUAUUUAAGCCCCACUAUUAAUCUGAGUUCACAAUAAUUACAACAUUUCUUUGAUAAAAUCGAGGUUUAGGGUAUCACGAACAAUAAGGUAUAACCCCAGAAGUAAAACAAGCAUAAUUCCUGACGACAUGAUCCGUUGCUCCACUUCCAGAGGUAGCUUUCUCCCUCCCCUGGCAGCCUCAACAAGAAUCAACGCCAACGAACCCCCAUCUAAAGCAGGCAAAGGAAGAAGGUUUAUAACUGCAAGGUUAAUGUUGAGUAUGGCGGCGAACUGGUAGAGACCAUCGAUGUUCGACCGCGCAACUUCUGCACCAACAGCAAUAAUGGCUACAGGACCUGAAACCUUACUAGCUGACUGUGAGAAGUUUAAAAAUGUCUGCCUUAAGCCAUCUAAAA
rnacentral:lncRNA from 1 species